GUGCCACCCGGUCAAGUCUAGGUCUAGCCGCCGCUCCCCUCCCCACCCCCAGGGGAUUUAUCCUCUCUUCCUCUCCAGUCUCCUCCUCCAUCUCCAUGCUCUUCCUGCCUCGGAGUCGGAGACCCUUUACAAUAAUUACUUACUUGGAGCAUCUCUAGCAGACCCUUGACAACCGGGCCUGGAUCUGGAUCCGGAUCCAUCUCUUCUCCCCUCCCCCGCGCCGGAUCGCGCAUCGGCUUGGAGGCCCCUCGGGGCUGCCGCCGGUGCGGGAGGCGUCCGCGGCCGUGCGAGCUGGGAACAGAGCGGCGGGUUUCGAUCGAGGGCUUUCUCGGGCCGGCGCGGGAUCUGAGCCGCCGUCCAUGGAUUUCUCGCAGCUUGGGUUUGGUACUAUCCCCACCUCUCUCUCUCUCCCUCCCUCGGCGUUGACGCGCGCGCACCUAAACCGGAUCAGGCGAGCGCUCGUUGCCUGAUCGCUCAACCAUCGUCCCUGGUCGGCUGACGCCAGGUAUGAGCAGCUCCUGAGCCUGGUCGCUCGAUGCGUGCACGCACGCAUGUAUGCAUAUAUAUACUCCCUCUGUAAAGAAAUAUCAUGGUCAUGUUGCUUGGUGUGGAAUUGUGGCUGAAACAAUCAUGUCUUGGGCAAUCAAGACAGCCGUGGUGGUGGGUACUAAAUAAGAGCGUCUACGACCGGACUUAUUGACCCAUCAUUUGUACCGCCCUCUCAGUUCCCCGUCAGCUACGGUGCCGCCAGCCAUCGACAUUCCAUUGCCUGGGAUCCGGUUGUGGCGUGGGCUGGGAGCCGUACGGUGUUGUUGUCUGAUGUGUGCUGGAGGGUUUGGUCGGUCGAGGCCAGGUAUGAGCAGCUCCUGAGACUGAUGGAUGGAUGAUGUAUGCAUGCAUGAUACUAUGGUCAUGCUGGGACCGGAUUCACUGUUUUGACCCUAUUUGGAGAAGUUCAGCACAAAAUGAACCAUGUUGGAAGCUUAUCUGGGGCGAUGAUGAUGAAACAUGGCUGACAUAAACUUGUCUUCGGGCACCAAAAACACACUCCCCCUUCUUUUGAAACCUUUUCAUUCUCACAGAAUAUUGACGGCUCUGUCUUGGAUGGUCAUUCUGUUGAGUGAUAACCAGAGGAGCUCGACUACAAUUUUGGGGGCUGAUCUGGUGAAAGAAGAUGGUGGAGCUAGGUUGUAUGAUCUAUCAAAGGCGAAUCUGAGCCCUCUCAAAUCUCAAUGCAACUAAUAUUGUGGCCUCUACACUUUUAUUUACUUCUAUCACCUCUUUAUGUUUAAAAGUGAUGAAUUGUCGUGGUUGUGGCAUUUGCUAUCUCAUUAGGAGCAGCUGCUCACAAAUCACCUCUCGUGGUGUUUGGUUUGCUUUCUCAUGAUUUUGUUUUCCAUGGUGGGAACCACUUCGGUGCAUUCGGGCUUUUUCUUUUCGGUUUUACUUUUCCUUGAAUGGUUGUGAUAAUUCUACUGUCCCUUGGAUAGCUUUUGAGAUUAUCUUAUUGGGUUGGGGGUCAGUUUGCUUGUUUGAAUUGCUAUUUGGCUUUUGAUAUUGUCAUCCUUCUAUACGCUUUAUGUACUUAUUAUCAGUUUGCACUUUUGGCACUCCCCACUUCUUUACUGGUUUCAACUUAAGGGUCGAUGGAUUUUGGCAGCUUGGCUGCAUGUUGCUUCGGAUUCGGUACUGUCACCAUCUUCCUCUGCCCCCCCCCCCCCCCCCCCCCCCCCNNNNNNNNNNNNNNNNNNNNNNNNNNNNNNNNNNNNNNNNNNNNNNNNNNNNNNNNNNNNNNNNNNNNNNNNNNNNNNNNNNNNNNNNNNNNNNNNNNNNNNNNNNNNNNNNNNNNNNNNNNNNNNNNCCGAAACCCUGAACCGAAUCAUCAGAGCUCUUGUUGCCGCAUCACCGACCCAUCGUCCGGGUGGGUGCCGCGUCAGUCCCUCAGGCUCUACGGUGCCGCCAAUCCAUUGGCUUGGAUUCAGUUGUGCCAUGGGCUGGGAACCGUACAGUGAUGUCUGAUCGGUCGUCCGUGCGGGAGGUUUGGUCGGUCGAGGCCAGGUAUGAGUAGCUCUUGAGCAGGAUGGAUGCAGAGGGCGAUGAUGAUGAUGACGACGAGUGUGGCUGAAAUAAAGGUGUCUAGACAACCUAUAGCCAGCAGUCGGCUAUACUAUUAACCAUGCUCUAAAUAGAAUCGGUGAACGCAUUAGAGUUGCUCUUAGAGCCCACCCUUACUUCUCUUGCAGCCUGUUCAAUUCAUCGCUGAUGCUGGAUGUUCUGUGGCUCGGACGGUCAUCCUGAUGAGUGAUAACCAGGGCAGUUCUCCUCUACACUGAUGGGUAGAUUUUGCAGCAAGAGAUGUGGUUGGGUUUCAAGAUGAAAUGCAAAACUGAGCCAUCUUCUUUUGCUUAUCCUCUCUCUCUCAAACCCUAAACCAAAUCAGUUGAGUUCUCAUUGCCGACUCGUUGACCAAUCGUCUGUGUGGUUGGUGUGUCAGUUCCACACCGCUACGGCGCCGCCACCGCUAUCCCAUUGGCUUCGAUUCGGGUGCGGCGUGGGCUGGGAACCGUACGGUGUUGUCUGAUGCGUCGUCUGAGCAGGAGGGUUGGUCUGUCGAGGCCAGGUAUGAGCAGCUCCUGAGAUGGUGGACGGAUGGAUGUAUGCAUGCAUGUAUGUAUGUAUAUCAUGGUCAUGUUGCUUGUGGUUCGGUGUCCUUUUUGGAAAAAACUGAGGGGCGAUGAUGAUGCCUGUGGCUGAAAUAAUUAUGUCUUGAGCAAUCAGGACAUCUGUGGUGCGUGGGUACUAAAUAGGGCCUGAACGGGUGCUUGCGUUGGAGAUGCCCUUAAGGGCCCUCCCUUGGCUCUCUUGCAGCCUGUUCAAUUCAUUACCAAUUUUGGAUGUUCUGCGCCGCGGACGGUCAUUCUGUUGAGUGAUAACCAGAUCAGUUCUCUUGCAUCAAGAUGGGUAGAUUAUGCAGCAAGAGAUGCGGAGUGUUGGGCUUCAAGAUGAAACACAAAACUGAGCCCUCUUUUGAUAUGCUACAAAUACUAAAGUAGUGAUCUAAACGCUCUUAUAUUUCUUUACGGAGGGAGUAUUUGUGAACAUAGGGAGUAUCUAUCUAUCAGGGGCGAUGAUGAUCAAACAUGGCUGAUAUAAACCUGUCUUCGAUUAUUCAAGAAGCUGUGGGUAUCAAAAACCAUCUCUCCCCUCUUUUGGGACCUUUUCAUUCUCACCAAAUAUUGAUGGCUCUGUCUUGGAUGGUCAUUCUGUUAAGUAAUAACCAGCAGAGCUUGACUUCAAUGUUGGGGGUUGAUCUGGUGAAAGAAGAUGGGGCUAGUGUGAUCUAUCAAAGGCGAAUCUGAGCCCUCCUACAUCCGAUUCAUAAAAAAGUUGGAACAUCUUAUAUUUGUGAACUGAGGGGAGUAUCUAUCUAUCUAUCUAUCUAUGAGGGGCAAUGAUGAUCAAACAUGGCUGACAUAAACCUGUCUUUGAUUAUUUGAGGAGCUUUGGGUAUAAAAAACCCUCUCUCCCCUCUUUUGGGACCUUUUCAUUCUCAACGAAUAUUGACGGCUCUGUCUUGGAGGGUCAUUCUGUUGAGUGAUAACCAGCAGAGCUUGACUUCAAUGGUGGGGAAUGAUCUGAUGAAAGAAGAUGGUGGGGAUAGUAUGAUCUAUCAAAGGCAAAUCUGAGCCCUCCUACAUCCGGUUCAUAAAAAAGUUAGAACAUCUUAUAUUUGUAAAUAGAGGGAGUAUCUAUCUAUCUAUCUAUCAGGGGCGAUGACGAUCAAACAUGGCUGACAUAAACCUGUUUUUGAUUAUUUAAGGAGCUGUCGGUAUCAAACACCUGCUCUCCUCCCCUCUUUUGGGACCUUUUCACUCUCACCGAAUAUUGACGGCUGUCUUGGAUGGUCAUUCUGUUGAGUGAUAACCAGCAGAGCUUGACUUCAAUGGUGGGGGAUGAUCUGGUGAAAGAAGAUGGUGGGGCUAGUAUGAUCUAUCAAAGGCGAAUCUGAGCCCUCUCAAUGCAACUUAUAUUGUGCGUAAAAAGUUAGUAUGUUUAAUAAAGGUAAUAAAUUGUUGUGGUGUUUGGUUUGCCUUCUCAUGAUUUUGUGGUUCAUGGAGGGAACCAGUUUGGUGCUUUCAGGCUUUGCUCAAGCUCGUCUCGUUGUGGUGGUCCUUGUACCGGUAGUGUUUGAAUGUGUUUACUCCCUUCUUUUCGUGGGGUUAAAUGUGUGAAGCAUGGUCAGCAAAUGUUUGCCCUCUUUUCCUGUCUAUGCAUGUCCUCUUUUUCGUCCCCUUAUUUUUUUACUGGUUCUUAUGGCAGUGAUGUAAAUUCAAGUCGGCAAGUUGUCAACAUUUUUUCUACUGUUUUAGCAUAGCACAGCAACUGCUAAUUGGCCUUUAAGAAUACAAUUUGGCCGGUUUGCUUUUUGCUGAUGACCAUUCUAAUGCUUAUACAAGCCAAUGCGUGGAAAACCACAAAAAUCUUGUGUUGCGAAAAUACCACUUCUAUCUUUUCCUUUUUGAGAAUUUGUCUUUCUUGCCAAGCUUGUAUCCAUGUAUACAUAAAAGAUAUGUUGAGAGUUUGGUUUUGGUUUUAGUUCUUUUGGUAUGCAAAGGACUGUUUUGCAAGUUAACGUUUUGGAUGCCGCCUGUGCGGGAGGCGUCCGCGGCGGCGCGGGCUGGGGAACGAGCGGCGGGGCCCAUGCUGCGCUCCGGUCGAGGGCUUGGUCGGGCCGGCGCGGGAUCUGAGCUGCCGUCGAUGGAUUUCUGGCAGCUUGGCUGCAUGUAGCUUUGGAUUCGGUAACAUCCCCAUCUCUCCGUCUCUGACCCCCCCCCCCCCCCNNNNNNNNNNNNNNNNNNNNNNNNNNNNNNNNNNNNNNNNNNNNNNNNNNNNNNNNNNNNNNNNNNNNNNNNNNNNNNNNNNNNNNNNNNNNNNNNNNNNNNNNNNNNNNNNNNNNNNNNNNNNNNNNNNNNNNNNNNCUGACCCAUUGUCCCGAGAUGGCCCCUGCGUCAGUUCCACACCGCUACGGCGCCGCCAGCCACCGCCGUUCCAUUCCCUUGGGUUCAGUUGUGGCGUGGGCUGGAGCCGUACUCUGUUGUCUGAUGCGUCGUUGGAGCGGGAGGUUUGGUCGGUCGACGCCAGGUAUGAGCAGCUCCUGAGCAGGAUGGAUGGAUGAAUGCAUCCAUGUGUCGUGAACUAAAAUCACGACACUUAUUUGGAACGGAGGGAGUAGUAUGUAUGGAUGUCAUGGUCAUGUUGCUUGGUGUGCAGUGCCCGGCCGGGGGAUUGAACCCCCUUUUCGAAAAAUGAAAAUAAUGAGGGGCAAUGAUGAUCAUGACGAUGACUGAAAUAAUCAUGCCUUGAGCAAUCAAGACAGCCGUGGUGUGGUGGUACUAAACAGAGCUGAAAAAAAAACGGUGUCUGGGUUGGAGUUGCCCUUAGAGCCCACCCUUACCUCUCUUGCAGCAUGUCCAAUUCAUCGCUGAUGUUGGAUGCUUUGUGCCUCGGAUGGUCAUUCUGUUGAGUGAUAACCAUGGUAGUUCUCUUACAUCGUGAUGGGUAGAUUAUGAAGCAAGAGAUGUGAGGGUUGGGCUUGAAGAUGGAAAGACAAAAACCGAGCAUCUUUUGCUAUAUAUCUCUCUCAAAUCCUAAACUAAAUCAGUUGAGCUCUCAUUGCUGACUCGCUGGAUCUGGGCCGCCAUCGAUGCAUUUCUCGCAGCUUGGCUGCAUGUUGCUUUGUAUUCGGUACUAUCCCCAUCUCUCUCUCUCUUUCUUUCUCUCUCUCAGACGCUCACACACACUUGCUCUAGUAAAGCCUAACCCUCAACCGAAUCAGGCGAGCUCUCGUUGCCGGAUCUCUGACCAUCGUCCCGGUGGCCGCUGCACACCACUACGACGCCGCCAGCCACCACUGUUCCAUUGCCUUGGAUUCGGUUGUGGCGUGAGCUGGAACCGUGCUCUGUUGUCUGAUGCGUCGUUCGAGCGGGGGGUUUGGUUGUUCGAUCAACUUAUGAAAAAGGGUCAAAACACGAAAUUUAGCCUUUGGGUUGUGGCCGCGUCACUUCACUGCUGUGGUGCUGCCAGCCUCUGCCGUUCCAUUGCCUUGGAUUUGGCUGUGGCGUGGGCUGGGAACCGUGCGGUGUUGUCUGGUGCGUCGUCAGGUUUGGUCGGUCCAGGCGAGGCAUGUGUAGCUCCUGAGGCUGAUGGGGAUGGAUGGACAUGUGCACGCAUGUACUUCCUCCGUUCCUAAAUAUAAGUCUUUCUAGAGGUCUCAAUAUGAACUACAUACGGACAUGUGCUCGCAUGUACUUCCUUCGUUCGUAAAUAUAAGUCUUUUUAGAGAUCCCAAUAUGGACUACAUACGGAGCAAAAUGAGUGAAUCUACACUAUAAAUCAUGUCUAUAUACACCCGUAUGUAGUACGUAUUGAAAUCUCUAAAAAGACUUAUAUUUAGAAACGGAGGGAGUAUGAUCUAAAUGCUCUUAUAUUUCUGUACAGAGGGAGUAUGUAUGUAUGUAUGUAUGUAUGUAUGUAUGUAUGUAUGUAUGUAUAUCAGGGUCAUGUUGUGCCUGGUGGGCAAAGACCGGUGGUACAACCUCCUUUUCGGUAAAAAAUGAAGGGCGAUGAUGAUGACUGUGGCUGAAAUAAGCAUGUCUUGAGCAAUCAAGAUAGCUGUGGCCUGUGUGUACUAAAUUAGAGCCCACCCUUUCCUCCCUUGCAGCCUGUCCAAUUCAUCGGUAACGUUGGAUGUUCUGCACCUUGGACGGUCAUUCUGAUGAGUGACAACCAGGGCAGUUUUCUUACAUUUUGAUGGGUAGAUUAUGCAGCAAGAGAUGUGAGUGUUGGGUUUGAAGAUGAAAUGCAAAACUGAGCCNNNNNNNNNNUUUGCUUAUGAUCCUUGUAUCCCCUCUCUCUCUCCCUAAAACAAAUCAGUCAAGUUCUCAUUGCCGGCUUGCUGGCCCAUCGUCUCUGUGGCUGCCAUGUCAGUUCCCUGUCUUUACGGUGCUGCCAGCCGCAACCAGUCCAUUGCCUUGGAUUCGUUGUGGUGUGGCUGGGAACCGUAAGGCGUCGUCUGAUGCGUCGUCCACACUGGGAGGUUUGGUCGGUUGAGGCCAGGUAUGAGCAACUCCUGAGACUGUCUAAGUUACUCACCACUAUGGCCAGCCUGAUGGAUGGAUGGAUGGAUGGAUGGAUGGAUGGACGGACGCAUGCAUGCAUGUAUGUAGGGAUAGUAUGGUCAUGUUGCUUGGGGUUUGACCUCCUUUUCAAAAAAAAAAAAGGGGCGAUGAUGAUGCCUGUGGCUGGAAUAAUUAUGUGUUGAGCAAUCAAGACAGCUGUGGCGUGUGGGUACUAAAUAGGCCCCGAAUGGGGCCGGAGUUGGAGAUGCCCUUAAGAGCUCACCCUUACGUUUCUUGCAGCCUGUUCAAUUCAUGGCUAAUGUUGGAUGUUCUGCGCCUCGGAUGGUCAUUCUGAUGAUUGAUAACCAGGGCAGGUCUCUUACAUCGCGAUGUGUAGGUUAUGCAGCAAGAGACGUGAGUAUUGGGCUUGAAGAUGAAAGGCAAAACUGAGCCCUCUUUUGCUACGCUACAAAUACUUAGUUUUUCCUUCUCUACUAUACAUUGUUUUUUAUUUUCUGUUCCUCUCUAUUGUGUUGAUGUGAGAUCUCGAUCUGGAUUGCUAUCUUCUCUUGGUGACGAACCCAACCACCCUGGGUUACUUGGUUUGGUUCCUAGUUGGCGUUGUUUUUGCCUUUAAAGUUGUACAUAUACAUACUAUGUGUCAAACGAUUCUCCUUUUUUCCUCCAAUGCUUGUAGCUAUUGGCAGUUCUAUUCAUGUGGUUAACGAGAAGCUGUUCUCUUGCUUGUCUUGUCCUGCCAGAUGCUUCUUCAAAGACCAAGUUCUGAUCCGUUAUGUCUGUGUUUUUAUAAACUGAAGCUCAAAUUACCUUCGUAUUUGGUUUGGUCAGAGCAGACCUUUUGUUAUGAUUCUCUAUGCUAUUUAGUUCAUUGGUGAUUAGUCUAUUUUCAGCUGCUGCUGUCAAUAUUAACUGUCACAUUUUCGAUGCAUGCGUGUUACAGAUCCCUUGAACGGAUUCGAAAUGAGUGUCAAGUAAAGUUAUCAAAUGCAAAAGUGUAUUUGUUAAAAAGGCUCUUAUAUUUAACUGAAUGUCCUCCUGGAGCUUCCGCUUAGGUCAUUCAUGAUUUAUAUGUUGGGGGCUCGCCCCCUUCUCAUUAUAUAUUUUAAAAUUAAUUUAUUCAGUAUUCUUGCUUUGGUUUUGUUUUCAUUUUGCCAGAGGUUAGACUGACCGGUGUUCAGUUUCAUGGUGGAAUUGCCCACUAUCCAAUGUCACAUGCCUGACUAUUUAGCAUUAGAACCCCAUUUUUCAUGGGAUAAACGGGUGAGCUGCAUUUCCUGCUUUCUGUUUGUAUUAUAUGCAUCCCUUUUUGCAAGCUUAUGCUUUUCUUCUGUUUCAAAACGGAAAGUUUAUGUCAUCCUGUUUUUAUUUGGCUUGUAGUGACUCAACCAAGCCUUUAGUCUCAACACAUGGAUUGCUAGCUUCUACGCACCUCUGUCCAUGGCUAGUUCUUUGGUGAUAUUCCAUGUCCUCCUUUACUAUCCCACCCCUGUCCAUGGCUAGUUCUUUGGUCAUAUUACAUGUCCUCCUGUAUUAUCACUAUUAAAUUUUUACUGGUUCUUUUGGUAGUGAUGUACAUUCAAGUCGGCAAAUUGUGAACUUCUUUUCUACUGUUUUGGUCCAGCACAGCAACUGCUAACUGGCCUCAAGGAAUACAAUUUGCAUGGUUUGCUUUCUGCUGAUGACCAUUUUAAUGUGUAUAGAAGCCAAUACGUUGAAAAACACAAUGUUGUCAUAAGCCUGUAUCUACCUCCUGUUGCAAAAAUACCAUGGCUACCUUUUAUAAAUUGGCCAACUCUGAGCCUCCCGCCUAAUAAAGUUCUGAGUAAAAUUGAGUGUUUCCUUCCCAAAAUUUGAACUGAUCUUUUCCUUUUUGGUAAUUUGUUGUUCUUGCUUGCUUGCAUCCAUGUAUACAUAAAAGAUAUGUUGAGAGUUCGGUUAUGAUAUUAGUUCUUUCGGUAAAAUCAUGGGCUGGUGGAUGCAAAAGUAGUUUUGCAAGUUUAUAUUUUCGCCUUUUUUCCUACACAUUUUGUUGGUUUUGCAGUAUGUCAACCGGUUCUGUUGUUUUAGGAACAGUACUCCAGGCUCACUUAAUUCUUGUCUCUCUCUUUUUUUUUUUUCCUUUUUUGUUCUUCCUUUUUCUUGAAUGGCUAUGAUAAUUCUGCUGUGCCUUGGAUGGUAAUCUUAUUUGGUGCUGGGUCAGUUUGCUUGUUUCAAUUGCUAUUUGACUUGAUAAUUUUGUUCUUCUAUUGUACUCUUUAUUAUCUACUUAUCAGUUUGUAGUUUUGGUUUCUCUUUAGGCCGCGCUUGGGAUGGUUGUAUUUCAAUACGGGGGUAUUUAGUUUACACUUGUAUUUUACUGGCUGCUGAGGCCGUGUUUGAGUUGUCGUUUUCUUUCCAAAUACGUCUGUAAACAAUACAGAUCUCCAUCCGUCGUUUCGCUUCCAGCCGGGAAUCUCUAUUAGCUCGGUAAAUCACACCUGUAAAUUAAAUACAUUUGUAUCUAAAUACACCCAUUCCAAGCGGGGCCUGAACAAUUUCUGGCUGAAAACAAAACGAUGGCCCGAGGUCCGUAUUUUUUACACGUGUAUUUGAAACGGAAACCUGUACUUCUUUACUGGUUUCAACUUAAGGGUCGCAUAUAGCAAGUUCAGCUGUCAAAAUUACUGUCUUCUUUGUGUCACAUUCCUGAAUGGCUGUGAUGAUAUAACCUCCCUAUGAGAGCUAUCUAACACCUGAAUUGAUUUACUUGGUGCUAAACUAGGAUGGCUUGUGUCAAGCAAGUAACCAGUUUAGCGGCUAACUCCCUCAGUUCAUUGGAUUUUUCAGUAUGGACUACGCACGGACUGAAAGGAGUGACUAAACACACUAAAAAUAUACACCCGAUUAAGAAAAAAGUUAGAACAUCUUAUAUUUCUGAAUGGAAGGAGUACUGUUAAACGUUGGAAUUAAGAAUCCACUUAACAGUGUGUAGAGACGGACAAUGGAGAUUACAUGAUCCUUCUACUUAUGGUGGCAAGAUGGCGUUAUAUUUGAGCCAUUUACUUAUACAUGUCCCAGUUUUAUGUGUCCACCAGUUCAUGGUUUGCUCCUGGUAUUGUUUCUUUCUGCAAUCACUGAUUCUCCUAUGAUUUCUUGUCAUCUUGUGCUCUUUGACUAUUGGCUUCUUUGUAAUUCUCUUUGUGGUAUUUGCGCCAAAGUGCUGUUGAUGGCGAUAAUGAGUAAUGUUCAUUCAGAGGUGUAUUUAGAUCAGAUAUCAUCACUUGUUUAUAUGGUAUGUUUUAGGGUUAGGGUUUUGUGUGACUAGGUGGAAGUGUGCAAAUCGGGACGGCUUGCUUUCUCAUUUGAAUGCUGAAAUGUCACACAGGGAUGUAAGGGCAUCUGCAAUGCGGAUCAAUGCGGAUCACCAGGGGUGUAAGGGCAUCUGCAAAGCGGAUCACCAAGUGUAUCGGAUACAGAGUGGGUUCUGCCCAUAUGAGAGCCUCCUUUUUUUUUAAAUAAAUACGACCUCUACUUUUGAAUAUUAUUGGUUUUGAUUCUUCUCAAUCUAUUAAUGAUUUAUAGCAGUAUUGGGAUCUCAUUGUAAUAUACUCCCUUCGUAAAGAAAUAUAAGAGCGUUUAGAUCACUAAGUAAUCUACGACACUUACAAGAUAUGCUCAUUGCAAACUGGAUUUUGUUCUAUUUUACACUUGCAUACUCAGAAUGCGUUGAAUUACUCAUGCAUCAAGAGGUUGUACUUUAUUUGAAUAAAAAGCAAUCCUAUGUGCUGAGGGCCCUGGGAAGCGGCAGAGGGCGUAUUUUGCUUUGCGAGAACUACAGGUGUUCCUGGGUUUGCGCAUGUUCAUAUUCUCGACUAUUUUCUCACCAUAUACAUGUUCAGUGUUGCUGUACGUACACAUAGAUAAUGCCCGUUGCUAUACAUACACAUCUAUAAUGCCAACAUACGCAUAUAUAAUGCCCAGUACAUAACUAUCUGUACGUGAGAUUUUCAUUAUUCAUUACUUGGAGGCAUGGUGUUGAUAAUCUAAAUAUUGAGCUUCCUCAUACAGUAUGUCUCAUCAUACAGUUUCAUCUGGGUUCUGAAGUUGCGCCUCAUACGUACCGGGCAGUUGGAAUACACAGCACCGCCUGCAAAGGUUCCAACUCCUCUUGUGAAGCUAACCAUUUGGCCCUUCCGAAAAGAAAUCUGACUCUGUCCGAAAUCCUGACCAUGUGGUAUAUGGAGAUGAUUUCUGACACCCGAAGAAGAAUUGAAUAUCCUAAUCCAAGAGAAAAAUUGCCUCUGUUCUCAACAAGUGCAGGUGCCAAAGGAUCAUAUUUCAAUCGCUCCACGCAUCCUAAGUUCUUUCAGAAUAGUCCAUACGAUAGCCCUUGCACCUCGCCCUCUCCUUAGUUCUGAACUCAAGAACAAGCAAUAUGUUACUCUCGAGUACUAUAUGAAAGCCGAAAGAUAUUAUCUCAUGAAUUUCCAAAUAUCACCGCUACGCGAGAGAUUGGCUGUUACGCAAAAUUGCUUCAAGAGCUGGAUGAUUUUUGCCCCACCAAAGUGUUUGCAUUUGAGCAUCCCUUGAACCGCGAAACUGCAGAGAUUGGCUGUUACGCAAAAUUGCUUCAAGAGCUGGAUGAUUUCUGCCCCACCAAAGUGUUUGCAUUUGAGCAUCCCUUGAACCGCGAAACUGCUCUCCAGUUUUAUGCCACUCUGUACAUUUUUCAAGAAGAGGAUGACAACUCCAAGUGGAUCAUGGAAUGGAUGACCUAAGAAAAACGCAUCAAGUGCACAUCAACUGACUUCGUGUCACACUUUCAUUUUCCUCGUUUUGAGCAUGUCAAACAAAAUAUUCGGGUCCAUAAAUUGAUGUCAUCACUGAUGAAGAGUUUCGAUGCACCAGAGUUGCAGAAAAGAUUCAGGACUACUAUGGUUCUUCUUGUCCCGAACACCUAUUUUUUUAUCAUGCCAUGAAGACUGUCUAUGUUGCCAAGGCCACUCACAAGUGUUUCGUUCCUCCUGUGCGCGAUACACUACAAGUUAUGGAAGAUUUUACCUCGGGAAAAUCUCCUGCCCCAAUCCAAGAUGACAAUCCAAGAUUGUCAUCGCCAAUUUGUUGGCCCUCGUCUACCUCAACUCGGAAGGAUUGCUUCCCCUCUGCCGCCUUCUCAACUUGAAGUUAGCUUGCACACUCAGCAAGUUCUCGUGAAACAUAUUGAGGAAGAUUACUCCGAGAAAGAACACUUAGUCACACAGCUCAAUUUCAUCAACAACCUCACUCGUGUGAUGCACUUAAUCGCUCAUGAGAAUAAGAAGAGGCUUUGUAAAUUUCUUUGCAAAUUCUUCAUCAAAAAGCAACUCAUGAAUGCGAACCUUCAAGAGCUUUGUGAUUAUAUUGACAAGGGUUUCUCUAUCAAAGAUUUCCAAGAUCAAAGUGUUCCAUCUCUACCUGCUCGUGAACCUACAACUCAUCUUCUUCAUCCUAAGAUUUACAAGCCGCUCGAAGAAUAAAAGGCCAUGUCUCCUACUGUGAAACCAUCUGAAGGCCAAGCUCUCACUCGUAUUCCGCCUGAAGUUGAUCCACUUGUGCCUAGCUCCUCUACUCAGCACGCAGAAAAUCCUCGAGAAGAACCCACUUCCGUCGACACCCAAGAAGCUCCUACAAUGCGAGUCACAUCUGUAGAUGAAGGAUCUUCAGCCAGCUCUUCUAUAAAUUCCUCAGAGUAGUCUUCAUUGAGCGCUUCAUGCCUCAUGUUAUUCGUCACCUUUUUGACACUCGUUGACAAAAGAGGAGAAUUACAUCAAGUUUCUGAUAGAUUUAUCUUUUGGCGUUCAUCUAGAUUUGUUUUCCCUUGAGUUUGCAACUGUCCUUCAAUGUUUGUAUACUGUGUUGCUCUCUUUGGACAUUGUCAAUCAAAAAUGGACAUCCAAAUGAGUACCCAUCUCGUCUUGAACAGUCCAUGGUUUUAGAACAUUUGCCCCAUUGAAUCAUUGAGACCAGCCAUGCGAUGUCUUUCACCGACCACAUUAUAGCUCCUACGCGAAGUGGUUCUACUCAAAGUAGAAUGGACGCACUACACCACGACACUGCAUUUCCAACAAACAGGUUGGUCGAAAAAACAGCCUUUGCCAACACACAGUCGGUCGAGAAAGAGUAUUGUCGACCGAAACCGUCUGUUGGGGUAAGUCCAGACGAGAAAGCCUUUUCCCGACUGAUUGUUUGACGCCUGUAAAUAGCAUUGCUGACCGACUUUCCGAUGGCACAGGAAGGGCUCUUUCCCGACCAACUUGCGGUUGGGGUUUCCGUCGAAUCUUUCCCGACCAACUGUUUGACGACAAAACCUUUCCCAACCGAUUUUCAGCUGAUGUUGGUGUUGAAGCUUUCCCGACCGACCAUUUGACAAUACAGCCUUUGUCGAUCGAUUUUCUGCUAACGUUGGUGUCAAAGCUUUUCCCGACCGACCAUUUGAUAGCACAUAUUUUGCCGACCAACAAUUUGACAGCAUUUUCCUUAGCUGAGCAAUGUUUAAUACCCAUGUACCCUUGUUUUUACAUCUGCCUUACAAUACAAUGUCAAAUCAAGUUGCAUAUCUCAUUACAAGUCAAGUUACAAUAGCUUGCGUAUCUCAUUACUACUCGCGAGUAAAGGAAACAUUUAUGGUUCAAAGAUUGAAUCACCCAACAGGUUUACAGAAUGAUAGAUGCAUGUCCGAUAUUCAUUGUUUGCUCCAUUACACAAAAACCCAGGUGCACAAAAUGAGACCUAAAAGACGCAUUAUUUUUGCUCCAUUACAGAAAAUCUCUAGCGGAUGCAAACUAACAUCUUCCUGGGUCCUUCCUGCUCCUUUUGUAUGUCUUUUCUACAAAGGAUAAAAAUGUCAUGGUGAGCAUGCAUUCAGAGAUGAUGGCAAAAAUAAUAAUUGUAUAAAUCAUAGAUGCAACGUGACCAUGAAGUAUAUUUCAGGAAAUGUGAGCAAUACAGAGGUGUACUCGGAGCAACACAAGGCAACAUAAUUAAGUUGUAUUUCCAUCAUCUGGACAUAAGGCAAAAAUUUAGCAUGUCCAGACUCCCAGCUUUAAUUCAGAAGACAUGGUACUAUUUACUGUGGAGAGCACUACUCGCUACUCCCUCCGUUCCUAAAUAUAAGUCUUUUAAGAGCUUUUACUAGAUGACUACAUACGAAGCAAAAUGAAUGAAUCUACACUCUAAAGUAUGUCUAUAUACAUCCAUAUGUAGUCCUCUAGUAGAAUCCCUAGAAAGACUUAUAUUUAGGAACGGAGGGAGUAGUUUGGUUGGUGCUCGAGAGCAACUACAAAAUUGUGCCAGCCAGCUAUGAACUAUACAUUAACUUAGCCAAACUUUAGAUGAAGAGAAUAACCAAGAAAAUAUAUACCAUCACCAUUUAAGAAGUGGCAAUGAACUAGGUAGACAUUGAAAAUAAGAGAAGAUAGAACAACAUUGAUUGUUAAUGCUCAAUGUACAGAGCUAGAUAGCAACUAUCAUGAGGAAGAAGAUACAAGGGUCUGGUUAUGUUCAUUACGGUCCCUGGUUUUGUAGCUGAAAAAAUAAAUACUAGCUCAUGAAUCAAAUAUACCUUAGCGGCGGGACGAGGAAGAUGCCCCUAGUUUGUAGGGUUUCAUCUAGCAAAGUGAUCAUGAGUCAGUAUCACAUCAAACAAUUCGAGAUAAGUGGACAAAACACACAUUGUUAGUGAUUACCUUGCUAGAUGGCCAUGCAAUGGACCUUGUGACAGCAUCAUCGAUAAUUUGUAAACCGUCAUCUUCAAAAGGCAAAGUAGCAUCCCUUCUUAGGAACCUUGUGGACACGUUUCCCAUCUGCACUCUUCCUUUCAGAUUUGCAUCGUGAAGCCUUACAUUCUGGCAUGAAUUGGCAUUGACAUUGUUCUUCCAAAAUAGAAUGCAAUCAUUUUCAUGCAUGAAUAUUAACAUACCCAAGUCCUAGGCAUUUGACUAGUUUUUUGGCUUUAUUGGAGUUUUUGGGUAUUGCGGACUGAGGGUAAGCAUCUUUGAGUAGAUCUAACAACAGAUCAAAACUUAUGUCAGACCACCCUCCAAGCAGUUUGAUGUGAAGAAGUCUCACUAGGAAACGAAGCUUUGAGAAAUUCCUACAGCCUGGAUAUAGCUCUUCUCUAGAAUCAGCUUCAAGUUUGCGGAGAGAUUGUAGAAAAGAAUCAUCUUGAUCUAAACCACAAUCAUCUUCAAGAUCUCCCCCUUUAUCCAAACCAGCAAGGUCUCUUAGCAAAUCAGAUAUAUCAUCGCCCUCAUCCCUAUCGUCACCCUCAUCUAGAUUUGGAGGAAUGGGAGGAGAGACACGUUCCCUUGCAUACGAGGUGCUCACGGACUUCAAAUUCUUCUCUCCAGUACGAGUUCACACAGUUUUCGCAAGGACAUAAGAUUUUAUUCUCGACCGAUGAUUUACUAAAUGCAUAGCCUAGGAAUUUGGCAUGCUCUUGUAAGUACUUCUGUGUAUGCCUACAUGCAAGUGUACAUGUGCACUGCAUUAUAUAUAUAGUUUCAGCAUCUAAGAAAUUUAAAAAAUACAUGUGGCUGUUAUACCUAGGCGCAUCCAUCCAACUUUUAUCCAUGGUAGCUAGCUUCACACUUAGUUAUUACCAAAUCAACACUAAAUACUAAAAAGAUAAUAUCAUUACCAGAGAAUGCAAGGAAUUACUGCAAGUACUACCAUAAAUAAAAUGGAUCAAAGAUGUGGUUGACUCACCAACUGGUGGAAGUUGUAGUGACAAGCACGCAAGGGGGAUUAUUGUGCCACUACUGUAAGUUGAGUCUUUGGGAGCAAGAAUCCUGAUAACCAACCAAAUGAAAUCUGAUCGUGCCAUACAUUUGAGAUUGUGUAUUAUAUACAAUAAAAUAGCAUGCAAAUAAAAAACUGUUCAAAUAUUUUAAAAAUAGGCUAAAAUUUGUACAUUACAACACAUGAAAAUUAUACAUAAGCAACAUGAGCAUAUGUUCACAUGUACCGGAGAAUAUGAACUCUUCGAAAACAUGAAAAAAUAGGUUCAAAACUAUACAUCACAAUAGCAUAUUAGAAUUGACUUGACAACACCAUGAGCUGUUUAAAACAUGAAAAAUAGGCUAAAAACUGAAUGUAACAACAACAUAUUAUGAUAAGUUUGACAACAACAUUGCAUAUUAUAACAUGUCUAGCUCCAUUGCUACAAAAUUCACAAAGAACACAAAUCGGUUUAGAUCUCACUACCAAGGGACGGCAAGAAUAGCCAGCUGCAGAGCUUCUGUUGCUGAGAGUGCUUUGUCACGGCGCCCGACCUAUCUCCCCGGUUUGCAACAGGUUAAGCCCCAUCAACCCCGGGAUCUGCAGCAGAUUAAGCCCCAGAUUUGCCCUACGCGCGGCCUGACAACGACGAGGUGAUGAGAUAGCACCUGGGCGAAGGAGAAAGUUUGAGCGUGCGGGGCGGCAAGCCAGCAGGGUCGUGCGGCAGGCAAGGCCGUCUCCGGGGUUGGCCACCACAAGCAGCAGCACCUCCGAGACGUGCCCCGCCACGGCUGUAACGCCAUUCCACAGGGCAACUCUCCUCUGCAGUAGGUAGAGAGGCAACCGACACAGUGAAGAACCCGGCGGCGGCGUGGUGGAGCGCGGGGGCGCGGUGGAGAGCCCGAUGGUGGAGGCCAACAAUGCGGUGGAGCGCGGGGGCGCGAUGGAGCACGGGCGAGGGUGGAGAGCCCGGCGGUGGAGACCAACGGCGCGGGAGCGAGGUGGAGGCCAACGGCGCGGUGGAGCGCAGGGCGCGUGGGAGAGCCCGAUGACGGCGUGGUGAAGCGCAGGGGCGCAACGGAGACCCCGGCGGCGGCGUGGUGGAGCGCAGGGGCGUGGUGGAGCGUGGGGGCGCGAUGGAGCACGGGCGAGGGUGGAGAGCCCGGCGGUGGAGGCCAACGGCGCGGGAGCGAGGUGGAGGCCAACGGCGCGGUGGAGCGCAGNNNNNNNNNNUGGGGAAUGAAGUCAGGAAUUUGGCUGUGCGCGGCGUUGGUGAUUUUGGGGAAAACCUUUCGCGCGUUGGGCCGGCUAUUGGCGCGAAAAAAUUGGCUCUUCGCGCGCUAGAGGCCCAUAGCAUCGGACAGUCGGUCGGGGUUAUUUGCCGACUGAUAGUCCAUGGGCCAUAACGGUUUUCCCAAUCGAUACGUGGAUGGUAUAGGAUGUAGCAUUCCCGACCGAUGAUCCAUUAGAAUUUUUUCUAGCUGACUGUCGAUUGGCAAUAGUGCCUUUUUCCCAACACCCGUCAGUAUGUAAUGCAGUGUCGUGGUGUAUUGACGCCAACGAGCAUACCCCCACCGGACCGGUUCUUCUCUUGUGCAUUUAUUUUUCAAGAAACUUCUUCAGCAUUUUAUGCACCGGGCUGACUCAUCGCUUGUUCGUGUAAUCUUUGUCCAGGUUGGUUAGGUGGGGGUAUAUGCUCGAUUGCUGGGGUACAUGAUGGGCAGAUGUAGAUUGAGUAUUGAAAACAAAUCACAUCUUGUGCUUCAUGUCCGGUCCUUCAUGAUCGUGGAACCUAGGAUCAAUAACUUUAAAGUAGCGUUUGCCUUGAUCGAUGGUAGAAGUGAUAUGAGUGCCUAAGGUUUAGGCCUAAUACUUCCCCGUUUCAUAAUGUGUGGUGCCUAUAAAUUAUUUAGGAGUCAAACUUUACAAGUUUGAUCAAGUUUAUAGAAAAUUAUUUAUAUAUACAAUAUCACUUAUAUGUAGUAUGAGAUGUCCACCUCAUGAUACAAAGUAUUCUUUGUAACCCCGGUUAAAGUUUGUCUUUUGAGAUAAUCUAUGUGCAUUGUAUUAAGGAAGACAGGGUAUAUGGGUCAACAUUGAUUAGUUAAGCGACCGACAUGCGCUCAAGGAGUUGUGUCAUUCGAUUCUGUGGAUGAGCACGGUGCCCAUCUAGGCAUCUAUAUGUGGGGCACGCCUGUUCGGCUGAGCGGGGCCAAAGAGAAGAAGCAGCAAAACCUAUACGAGGUCGAGAUGCGCACGUUGGAUGCGGAGCGCGAGAUGGAGGCCGAGCGGUAGCAUGCGGCACACGGGUACAGGAUGCUACAACCGGUCUAGCAGGCGGCGCUAAAUGCAACACAACAGGCAUCGGGAGUUGGCAUCCUUCGGCCUUGUAUCAUGCAAGGUACUUAGAAGAGGUGUUUAAAAAAAACUAGUAUACAAGGUAGACUCUUAGUUAGGCGUCUCUCUUAUAAAAAUAGACACUGGUAUUUGAAAAAAAAAUCCGGUUUAUUUUUUUAAACACUUAGCAUUGUACAAGGCCUUCUAGACUCCUCCCUUUUCCAUGGAUGGAGACAUCGAGGCACGUCCCUAGAUUCAUCGUCUGUCUGUUUUCACAUUUUUAGUUUUAACUGGCAUAAAUGCCCAUGCGUUGAAACGGAAGAAAAUUUGAUAGAAAUUAUAAAAUCUCCCUCUUUUCACAAAUGUGCUUCGAGCGCCAAUCUUCUAUCCAACUCCGACAAAUUAUGUAUGAAUAUGGAUAGAAGAAGGGAAUGAUUAUAAAAACAUUUAGUGCACCAAGUAAUUUUUUCCUAUUCUUCUCUCCUCGAGUAGCGUUAAAAAAGUCACAAUUAGGGUUACUCUUAUUUGUAGUGAUAGUAUAAAAAUAAUGUUAUUGUCGUCAUGUUUACUAGAGUUUUAGUAAAGAAACAAAAACAAAAAUAGCUAGAAUGAAGAAGGGAUGGAAAAAUUAUGAAAUUUACAAAAAUGUUAAUUCCCUCACUUCAAAACUAUUCGAUCAACAUACUUAAUUCUUUGUUAAAAAUCAGAUUAUUAACACGAAGUUUCAAGCUUGAAAAUAAAAUAAAAUAACACAUCAUUCUCAAUGAUUUUGUUUGAGCAUCUCUCUCGCAUGAGCAAAUAGCAAAAACCACCAUAAUUGUGCAAAAGUCAUCAAACUCCCACCAAAAUGCAUGCUUUAUGGUGGUUUUUUCCUCAAGCAUUGAUAACUUCGACCUGAUUGUGAUUUUUUUAAUUUACUCCUCUCGCAUGCGUCUCUCUUUCUCCCCUCACUCAUCAGCAUGCCCACUAAAUGAAACGUGCAAGAACUCUCACCGAGCUUCUCUUUAAAAGUAAUCAAGGCUAAACGAAACAUUAUCAAUAGAGGUUAGUUUGCUGGUAGGUAUUUUUAUCCUAUCGAGGUCCUGUUUGUUUCAUAAGUCCUAGGACUUUUUUAAGUCCCGACUUAUAAGUCAUAAGUUACUACCUGUUUGUUUACAGGGACUUAUAAGUUUCGAGUCUCUGCCUGUUUGUUUACAGGAACUUAUAAGUUCAUGUUGCACCUAAUAAUACACUUGUUCACAUAACCCUUGUUCAUACAAAUGAAUUGCAGAAUAGUGACAAUCGAAAUAACAAUUGUUCAUAACACUUGUUCAUACAAACGAAUUAACACUUGUUCAUAAGAACCAAAAUAAGAGAGAGUACAUAACAAUUGAGAUAUCAAAAAUUACAUAAGCGAAGAACCUUGGGGCACGGGCCUACCACGACCAGGUCCGACCGAAGGAAGGCCAUGACCGGCCGACUGGUCGAAGAGGAGUUGUUGGUACGAGCCGAACUCCGGGAAGUCGUCGACGUUGCCGUUGAGAUCCAAGAAACGCCCGAAACCCAUUCCCUCCCGAGAUUUCCACCGGCGGAUGAGAACUGGGAGAAAAAAGGCAGCUGCUCCUCCUCCUCAUCAGCCAUGGUACGGUGACCUGGGACGCGAGGAUCGUCAUCAGCCAUGGCGCGGUAACCUGCAGUCAACAUGGAUUGUCAUCAGCCAAAAUGUCAACAAGAAACUGGAUGAAUCAACAGUAACAUUCCAUAUUUUUCAGUUAUUAUUAUACAGGAAACUAGAUGAAUCAUCUUUUAAUUAUAUUAGCAAGAAUCACCAGGAAACUGGAUUAAUUGCAUCGCACAUGACCGGCUUAAUUGCAUCGCACAGACUGGGUGAAUCAUCAACGAAUCAUCAGUGAAAUUGCAGCGCACAGGCCGACGGGACGGGACGGCGGGGGGACGGGGCGACGGGACGGGACUAACCGAGGCAGAAACGGGCGACGGGACGGGGCGGCGGGGGGACGAGCCGAGGCCGAUGGGACGGGACGGCGGGGGAACGGGGCGACGACGGGGCGGGUCGGCGACGGGGCGGGCGGCGACGGGGCGGCUACUCCAGCGAUGCGGGGCGGUGGGGCGGCGGCGGGGCGGGCGGCGACGGGGCGGCUAGCGAUGCAGGGCGGUGGGGCGGCGACGAUUGGGCUGGGAACGACACGGGGUAGGGCGGUGGGGCGGCGGGCACUGAUCGAUGCGGGAAACGACGCGGACCAACGAGCAUAAUUCCCAAUAAGCUCCUCCCUGAGAGUCUUAUUUGAUAAGUCCCAAAUCACCACAAUAAGUCCCAAUAAGCCCCUUGUGUUUGGUUUAGGUGGGACUUAUAGGGACUUUUUUAAGUCCCUAAACCAAUAAGUCUUUGAAAACAAACACCCUGUGAGAGCGACAUGCAAUGUGCGCGCACAUCCAUGAAAAGUCUCACAAUCCUGUCAUGCUGCUUUCAAUCAAUCAUGAAAUCAAUUGUCCAUAAUUCUGCUUUAAGUAUGCGUCGUUUCUUUUCGGGCGUCAAAUUCCUGCUUUAAAUUUGGCCAUGAAAUCUCCCACCAUCCUGCUUUAAUUAGGAGUCAAUUAGCCAUGUAUGCCCUAUUGGGAACGACAUGCAUCGACGUUCAAUUAGUCAUGAAAUUAAUAGUCCAUAAUUCUGCUUUAAGUAGGAGUCGUAAUGGCUCCCAAAUUCCCGUUUUAAAUUAGGCUAGAAAUCUCCCACAAUUCUCCUUUAAUUAUGAGGCAAUUAGCCACACAUUCCUCCUCAUUUAUCAAAUUAUUAGCAUGUGCAGCCAUGGGCAUAAUUUUGAGAGUUAAUUUCUUUGCUUUUCUAGGAAUUUGUUUCCUUGAAAUAAGUGGGUUUUUCAUAGGAUUAAUGGGACUCACAUGUCUUUCUCUUUUUGUUUAUUUUGAUGGCUGCCUAUUGACAUAUAAAAACUGGUGAAAUUUUGCAUAAAAGGGUCGGGGUCGUACAAUUUAGUUGGUAGAUGAAUCCAAAUUUUAAAUGAUAGCAUGAGCUAAAUGAGUUGGUUGGGUACUUUGAUAUGUAAUGUGAAGAGGUUGUGUGUUCAAACCACCAUGGGUGCAUAGUUUUUUAUGCUAUAUCUUUAUUAAUGGGCUGCACACUACUUUUAAUUUUUAAUGGGUUGUGUGUGGCCCAUGCAAUAAAAUCGGAAAUUUUAUUACAAAGCUGGCCUCGAGGGAUACGUGACAGAUCAAAUUUUACGUAUGUAGAUUGGAUGUUGACUGAAAAAAGGUCAUGGUGUUUUGCGUAAAAUAUUAUGACAAUUCAGAAUACAUAUUUUCUUUAUUAGUAGGGAGCUGCUACGCCUUGGCCUAUGGAUCUUUUUAAAAGAUCCGUCACCUCGCGAGUCCUUGGAUGUGGCAGAAUCUACCGCCUGAAUUUCCUCCUCUACUCCGCAACAUAUAUCUUGUUUUAAAAACAUUUACGACAUAGGUUGUCUUACGGAUUUUUUUGUACACAAACUGUGUUGCGGGAUUGUUUUUUUGCAACAAAAACUUUGUUGUUGCAGACUUUUUCUUGCAACUGAGGUUUUGUUGCACAUAUUUUUUGCAGGAGGGAUGAUGUUGCAAAACCUUGUCAACAUUACUGCCAUCAUUUCCUACGAUGCUUUGCGACAUAACUGAUGUUGCAAGAUAUGGUGAAGGAGCAUAGGCAGGGAAAAUAAUGAACCCAUACGAGCAUACGUGAGGACAAAUGGAUGAAGGGUGAUCCAACGGCUGCGCGGGUGGCAGAACUUUCCGCCUGAUCUGCCUGUAGAGUGUGAGUAAUCCCUUAUUACUAGGUAUAUAGAUAUAAAUAUAGAUUAUGUAAAUUGAACUUUUGUAGUUAUUUUAUUAUUUUUAGUUUUAAAUAUUAAAAUUAUUCUAUCCGCGUUUGGCUGUCGGUGAACAAGAACGGAUAAUGACAUCUGCUUAGGCCAACUUCAACCCACGAUUCCAAAUGGACGUCUUUUUUGUUCGGAUUUCGUUUGUUUGGACCGGCAAAACAUACGUUUGUGUCCGGUUUUCGGCGUCGGCCUCAGCAUGCACCCAAUGGGCGGCCGCAUCGCAUAUUGCCCGCAUCACAUGAAUAAAAAAGGCGAUCACACAUUUUAUAAUACAAAGAUAAAACUUAAUUUAAACAUUACUAAAUUCUAAAAAGUCCAUGCGCCUUAAAUAAACAUUACUAAGAAAACUUCAAUGCCACCACUGCCCGUGGCCGUCGUCGCUACCGCCGUCGUCUUCACGUGUCGUCUAUGGUGAGGUUGACAUACGACGGAGGCAUCCAGAGGUGGGUCGAGGGCGCGUGCGUUGGAUGAAUGCGUCGCGAGGGCGGGAGGGGCUUGAUGGUGACUGUGGUGGCGUGGGCGCCCAAGGCUCGGCACCUAUCGAGUCGACCAUCUCCGACGCGAUGGCCGACCAUGCGAGGGUUCCAAACACCAGCGACGGGCUCCUCUAUGCAGGGUGGCUCCUCCACGGCCUCCUCCUUGACGGCUAUCUCUAGCUCUCGGAUGGCGACGUCGUCGACCGCGGAGAGGGCCAUCAUCUCCUCGAGCCCCUCCCACUUGCGCUUGUCGUGGGUGUGGAGAUAGUCCUAUAUCACGUGCCACAUCGGCUCCCCCUCCCCAUCGGUGAUAGGGACUGGUUGGGGUGGCGACGACGGUGAUGGGUUGGACGUGAACCUAGACAGCCGACAAAGUACGACUAUCGCGCGCACGCCGUGUUCAUCACGGAACCAAGUAUCCCAUAGAGGCAAGUCUAUGGCAUACCGGUGGUCGUUGACGAGGUCAGGCGGUAGGUGGGUGCGGCGGUGACAGAUCUCCUCGCGAAGGGCCCGGACGCUCAUCGGGACUGGUGGGAUCGACACCCAAUAUGCGGAGAGGUGUCAGUUAUUGGGGAGGUGCACGUCGCUCCACGAGAACAAUGAGCACAUCUCCCAAUACCACUCGCGGAUCUCGGCCUUCACGUACGACCGCAUGCGAGGAGCGGCCGGCGCUGACGAGACGUGAAAUGGGGGGGUGUAGGAAGUGGAGAUGGAGGAGGAACGAUGGCCGGAGGAAGACCCGUGUGACAGCCCGAGACCGACGUUCCAGAAGCUUCCCCUUUUCUUUUCGUUUUCGUCGUGUGCGUAUUUUCAGUUGCCGCAUCAUCAUCGCAUCUUGCGCAUCAUCUGCAUUGCAUCGGCAUCUCCGUUGCCGCCAGUUUUCAAAACUUGCAUCCGUUAGUAGUUGCCGGUUCUCGUCGUUGCCCGUUCCGAGCCCCGACCGCACACGCACGCGCCCGCGGCACCGUCGAAACCCUGUUUUAAAAGCGCGUUUAAAACUCUCUCUGAUCGAGGUGAAACUUGGCACGCGAUCGCGAUUAGAUGUAGCUAGGCCGCCUGUCGAAUUUCGUCGCGAUCGGAGACCGUCUGGUACCCGAACGGUCGCUCGUAGCGGCACCGUAUUCGGGCUACUGUCGGACGUUGUCGGUGUUUUAAAGUUCAUGCCGCGCCGCCCGUUCUCCCUCUCGUCUCCGGACAUCUACACAACACGGUCGCGUACCCAUACCCGCGUUCGGAAUCGUCCGAAUCCGACCCCGCGGUUGGAUCCGGAGCGCGAUUCCGGUUAACCGAGCCCCCUUUUUCCUUAUGAAUACCCCCUCCUCCUUAAUUUUGGAUAGCCCCUCUUCCCUGCCUCGUUUUCCGCACCCCACCUACCAAACCCUAACCCUAGCCGCAGCAGCCCCUCCCCACCAGCGCCGCCGGCCCGCCCGAGCCCGCGCGCGGCCCGCCGGGCCCGAACCGCCGCCGCCGAGUGCCCGAGCCCCUGCAACCCCGAGCCUCCCCCAUGGCUCGCUGCUCCCGUCGCCGGCGCCGCCUCUCCCCGCGCCUCGCGCCGCGCCGCCUUCCGCCGCUGCGCCUCGGGCGGCGCCGACCAGCACCGUCGUCGACAGCCGCCGCCGCGCAGGGCCCCCUCCGGCCGCUGUAGCCCCAGAUCCUGCGCGAGCCGACCUCGUCGUCCAGGGGUCGCCUCGAGCGCCGCCGCCGGGACCUCGCCCCUUCGGCCGCGCCGCCGCGCCUCCCUCGCCAGUGGCCGCCUCGCCUGCCUCGCUGCGCCCCGUGUUGCCCCCCCUCGCCGGCCGCCGCAGCACCGCCCGGCGCCACCGCUCGCACGUCCUGCUCGGGAGCAGGGCAACGGGAGCGCCUCCUCCUCCCGCGUGGGCCCCGAGCUGGCCCAGCCGGGACGGCCCACCUCCCUCGGCCUCGCCCAGCUCCCCGGCCCAUCUCCAGCAGAGCCCGUCCGGUCCAGGUGAGAGCCCCCCUCGAGCCUCUCUACCUCGCGCCCCAGGCGCCUCUUAGUGCUUUCGCGCAUGGAUUUCGGCCCAGUAGACAUUUAGGAGUUAGACCGAAUUUAAAUUCUUUUUCAGGGUUAGACUAGAAUUUAAACCCCUGUAACUUUUAAACCGUAAGCCGGUUCGAGACGUGUUAUAUAUCGUUUUGGGGUAGCUUCGCGAGUAGAACACGUUUAUCCAACAUGCAUAUUUAUUUAACGCUGUUUAGAGUGCCUAAUGCCUCGUUUUACGUGCUGUUUAACUAGGUUUCGAUCCGUAGUUAUUUUUCGCGCGUGUCCGGACUGCCCGUAUGCCAUAGAUUUAAUGUCCAUGUUUUAGGGACCAUAUUUCUACGUAUUUUAGAGCGGUCACUCGUAUUUUUCCGUGUAGGGUUUUGCCGGUAGUUUAUUUUCUCGUUUAGAGGUAUUAUCUCGCAUUAUUGUGUGGCGUUAUUUUGUGCUGCAAACCCCACAUAUUAUAUAUGUUUCCGGGGUAGAAAAAUCCCAUGGAUUUUUCUGUGCAAUUAGUUUUAGCUUUUGAGGAAGUUAGUUCGCGAGAUAUUUUGCCGUGAUGCCCUUUUGUUUAAUCCGUAGGUUUUAUUCCGGGCCUCGUUUGAAUUAGUUGUCAACUAGUGUUUUGAUCUUGGAUGUUUUGUUUAGUCCCUGCUAUUUUUGGUUGCAAUAGAAAUGCAUGUUUAGGUGUUAUUUGACUGCCCUCAAGUUGCUUGAAUAGUGCUGUUUCAGAGGAGCCGAAAUAUUUCUAAGUCUGGAAUCUGUUAUUAUUUUGUUGUUGUCUUGUCUUGCUUCUAUCUUGUGAUCUGUAUCUCUUUUGAGGUUGGUCCAAUGGAGUUAGUUGUUCCCCUUAUGUUUCUCUAGCAUGCUGUUAAGUUUCAUGCCAUUUGGAGACCUGUAGCUUAGGGCUUUGCUGCUGUCAAUAUUGCUUCAGGCUGAAAAGUGCACUUUCAGGAGGUGAUAUUUUCACUAAGUCUGAAAUAGUGCGUGAGAUGCCAUUUUGUGUCUUCUUUUCCUAGUGCUCCUUGCUGCCAAGCUAGUAGUUGUUAGUUGUUUGUAGUAGUGCGUCUUGCCCUCUUUCAUGCCGUGCCUUGCUUGAGCUCCUCGGAGUUGUGUAGCCGAAGUUGUGAGUCGUAGAAGUUGCUAUGUGGCUGUUUUGGGCAGAUUGUAGCGUUUUCUUGUUUUGCUCGUAGUUUCCGAACCGUAGCUCCGAUUUGGUCAUGUCCUACAUGAAACUUGCUUAGAAUCUCGUGUAGUUUCAUUUUCUCUUGCUGGUUGCAUGUGAUGAAGUGCUCGUAGCCGCCGUUGCACACAUUUUGCAUUCAUGCUAUCAUAUCUUGCGGUGCUUGCAUCUUUUGAACCGUAGCUCCGUGGGAGAUGUUCUUUACGUGUAGGUUGCUUGCCUUGACGCGUAGAAUCACGUGAACCUAUUUGUUUUGCUGGUUAACAACCAAUUAUAUGCUUUAGUUCAGAUCUGGUCAGAAUUGUAAAUUAACUUGUGAGGUCGUCUCGGAGAUGCUAUAUAUCAUUUCCGACCUCAUUUAAAAUGUCUAGGUAGGUUGUUUAAUUCCCGCUCCACCUCUUGCAUGUUUAACAACAUUAACAUUGUCGUGUAAAUAACCGGGAGUGAACUAAAUAACUACCGUGGAGUUUCGUCAAUAUGCAACUCGUGCAUAUUGAACUUCACUUAAUGUGUAGUGUUUGAUUGUGUGUUUUGUCAUGCCGUGACUUGCAUGUAUUCAGUAGCUCAUGCAUCAUAUGUGUCUUGCGUCGUGUGGUGAUUCUCGUGUGUUGAUGCUUGUUUCCGGUUUCCUCCGUCUCGAUAGAGUUCCGCAAGCGUGUCGGAUGUGAGGACCGUUCGACUACGUCGGUUCGUCUGCUUCACGGAGGCAUACUUCUUCCAAGCGGGAUCUCAGGCAAGAUGAUCAUUUCCCCAGAUACCACUACUAUCAUUGCCAUGCUAGUUUUAUCGCUUCUAUCGUUUAUGUCACGUUGCCUACCACCUGUUAAAUAUCAGCCUCUCAACAAUGCCAUGAUUACCUUCAACCUGUUCGACCUAGCAAACCACUGAUUGACUAUGUUACCGCUUGCUUAAUCCUGUUGAUAGCGUUGCUAGUUGCAGGUGCAUUGCUUCCAUGUGAAAGCAUGGGUUCCUUGUUAUAUCACCAUAUUAAAUGCUAUUUAAUUUAAUGCACCUAUAUACUUGGUAAAAGGUGGAAGGCUCGGCCUUUCUAGCCUGGUNNNNNNNNNNNNNNNNNNNNNNNNNNNNNNNNNNNNNNNNNNNNNNNNNNNNNNNNNNNNNNNNNNNNNNNNNNNNNNNNNNNNNNNNNNNNNNNNNNNNGUAAUUUGUGAUGGACUAGUUGGAGCACCCCUGCAGGGUUAAAUCUUUCGGAAAGCCGUGCCCGCGGUUAUGUGGCAACGUGGAAGCUUUGUUUAACACUGGUUCUAGAUAACUUGAAGUUAACUUAAUUAAAACAUGCCAACUGUGUGCGUAACCGUGACUGUCUCUUUCGUGAGUUCCUUCUCCGAUCGAGGACACGGUGGGGUUAUGUCUGACGUAGGUAGGUGUUCAGGAUCAUUCUUUUAAUCAUCUGUAGUGACGUCCUUUAUGCGUAGAUCUCCCCCCUCUUAUUUCUUGUACUCGUAAGUUAGCCACCAAAUAUAUGCUUAGUCGCUGCUGCAACCUCACCACUUAACCAUACCUCUCCCAUUAAGCUUUGCUAGUCUUGAUACCUUUGGAAAUGAGAUUGCUGAGUCCCCCGUGGCUCACAGAUUACUACAACACCAGUUACAGGUGCAGGUAAAGGUUACUCGACGUGAGCGCGUUGAUUGUUCAUUUGAAGUUGCUACUUCUUCUUCUUCGAUCUAGGAUGGGUUCCAGGCCGGCAACCUGGGAUAGCAAGGAUGGACGUCGUUCUUCUUUUGUCGUUUGUUUUCGUCUGUAGUCGGACCCUGCUCUUACUCCUGAUGUUUAUGUAAUGUACUGAUGUGACUCUGAUGUAGCUUGUGGCGAGUGUAAGCCAACCCUCUUUAUAUAUCUCUCCUUUUCAGUACAUGUACUUGUAACGAUAUCCAUUCUUGCGACACGACGAGAUGCGCUUCUAUCCCUGACGAGGCCCUCGUGCCAAAUUGAGGAUAGGGUCGCAUCUUGGGCGUGACAACCCGACUCGUGGUCGUGCUUCCCCUUAUGACCGAGGAUCCAGUGCCAACCCAUUUUGCUGGUGACGAGGUGGAGGAUAGGAGGCGUCGGAGCCAAGGUUUGACACGGGCGUGUCGGGCUCCGAGGAACUCCACAACUUCCACAUUAAGAAGGACGACGAGCAAAGGCGCUCUACGGCUGACAGACGGGCCCACCCCCAUGUGUCCCUUAAAGGCGAGCAGUGGGAGGUAGGUGGGCGGCUGCCACGCGACCCUCAGACGGACGCAAAGCAAACGCGUGGGCGUCCAUUCAAUCAUUUCGUGUACGUCUGAACACAAACCAGGAGAAUGUUUGCGCGAGAAAUGUGAAUGCUCACGCGAGUUGAGCCUUCUCAUCAUACCCACACGGUUUGGAGUUUUGCGUUGAAGUAUACCUGGGUAUUCUUCGGUCCGGGCCAAAAAAAGCCCCGUGAAGAAAACCCAGGCCCGAGCCCGGCCCGGCCCGACCGUCGGGCCUAAAUAUUGGGGCCAAGCCCGACCCAAACCGAAAAAAGCCCGACUGAGCCCGACAGGUUCAGCCCGACCGCGAUGUAAAAAUUGUUUUUGUCGAGCCCGAGCCCGACCCGACCCGACCGUUGGGCUCAAAUUCCAGGACCAAGCCCGGCCCGAUGGGACAUUUAGGCCCGGCUCGACCCGUGAUUUUCGAGUUGGGUCUGGUCGGGUCGUCCGGACCGGGUUGCCCAUGGCCACGUAUAGUUGAAGUUGGCCUUAGCCGACCCAAACACACACACACACACACACACACACAAAGACAAAAUCCGCGUCCGUGUUAACCUGAGAAAAUGCAUCGUCGAAGGCAUAACACGACACGUGCACUCCACUCCAUGCCUGCCCCCUCCCCUCAGGCCUUGUCCGGUUGCAUGACAAAUGGGUGGGAUUGACAUGUAUUGACAGGGAUUAAAUCCCAUCUAGGUCAAAUUCCUCCCAAAUUCCCUCCAAUCCACUCCAAUCCACCUGGUGGGUGGCUUAACCGAACAAGGCCUGAAGGUGCCUUUAGAGCAUCCCUAGUAGUACCCUCAAACCCUUAAAUUCUUAAAAAUAAUUGUUUUCUACAGCUUGCGAGCAAAAAAAAUCGCGUAGACUAGAACCCCUUAACCCUCAAACCCUUAAAUUUUUUUUGAGGAUCAGACCUUCAAACUCUCUCCCAACCUGUACAAGUGAGGAUUGGAGAGCAAAACCUACCCCAACCCUCACUUGCGAGCCAUCCGAGCGCGGAGGGAAAUUUCCUGUCCCCAAAUCCCGUUUGCGCCCACCCGAGCCGCCGCCAGCCGCCUCUCCAGCCGUCGCCGCCGUCCCGUCCCCCGGCCGCNNNNNNNNNNNNNNNNNNNNNNNNNNNNNNNNNNNNNNNNNNNNNNNNNNNNNNNNNNNNNNNNNNNNNNNNNNNNNNNNNNNNNNNNNNNNNNNNNNNNNNNNNNNNNNNNNCCCGUCCGAGCCCGCCCCCACCCCGCCCCCCGGCCGCCGCCCGCCCUCCGCCCGCAGCAGGCUGGACGCCUCUCCUCCACCUCCUCCCGCGCGCGCCCCCCGGCCGCCGCUCGCCCCUCCACCUCCUCCCCCCCGCGGCCUGCCCCUGGUAACCUGCGCCCGCCUGAUUAUUGUUUUCUUCAAACCGUUAUUGAGAUGAUGAAAAUUAUGAUAUGUGAAAUGACAGUUUUAAAGGCACCGUCCUGUUUUCCAACUAUUAAAAAUGUCAAAAAAAUGUCAAUUUUCAACUGUUAAACUGAUUUUAGGAUUUGAGCGCACUAGUAGCAGCGAUUCUCUUAUUCUUCUUCCCCACCCAUCCUCUUCACCCCCGCUCUCAUUCCCAUUCCCCGCACCCCUCAAUUGCAUCGGAGCAUUAUUUUUGCUAAAUGGUCCCUUCACAGGAUCUUAUGUAUGUACCAGAGCAUCUACAGCCGGCCCCUGGAUCUGGAACCCGAGUGGAUACCCAUCCCAUCCGGAUCCGGAUCUUGACCGACCCCUUCCCCCGCCGGCGACGAGCCCUAGCUAGCUCGGACCAGUCCUGGUGCGAGAGGCCACCGGCGGCAAGGCUGCGUGCGGUGGCGGAGCAUGCACUGCGAGCGCUCUACUCGGAUCUGACCGAACCCCGUCGCCGCGCCCGUCCCGCUCGCCGUGGCCGAUGAUCGCGCGCGUCGGCUGGGGCCGCGUCCCUCCCCAGAUGGCGGCGAUGAUGGAGGGAGCCGCCGGCACCAGCCCCCUCCCGCCUCGCCGGACCGCGCAUCGGCUUGGAGGCCCCUCGGGACUGCCGCCGGUGCGGGGGGGCGUCCGCGGCCUUGCGGGCUGGGGACCGAGCGGGAUCUGAGCCGCCGUCGAUGGAUUUCUCGCAGCCUGGCUUCGUUUUUCUUUGGAUCCGGUACGGUCCCCAUAUCUCUCUCUCUCUCUCUCUCUCUCUCGGAGUUGACACCACUAGAUCCAAAUCCUAAACCAAAUCAGGGGAGCUCUCGUUGCCGGAUCGCUGGCCUAUCGUCCGGAUGUCCGCCGCGUCAGUUCCCCACAGCUACGGUGCCGCCAGCCACCGCCGUUCCAUUGCCUUGGAUUCGGCUGUGCGUGUGGGCUGGGAACCGUUCUCUGUUGUCUGAUGCGUCGUUGGAGCGGGAGCUUUGGUCGGUCGAGGCCAGGUAUGAGCAUCCACGAAGGCGUAGAAGAUCGACAUCNNNNNNNNNNCGUGGGCUGGGAACCGUUCCCUGUUGUCUGAUGCGUCGUUGGAGCGGGAGGUUUGGUCGGUCGAGGCCAGGUAUGAGCAGCUCCUGAGCUGGCUGGAUGGAUGGAUGCAGGUCAUGUGUCGUGAACUAACACCACGAUACUUAGGCUGUUUGUAAUGGGAGUAUCAUAAGUAGGCAAUUUUGAUGAUUCUUCAUAGAAUUAAAUGAAGUUGAGUAUGUGUCAUGCAUGGCAAUAAAUGAACCACCCUAUGAUACUAUUAACAGAUUAUAAUAUGCAUUACGGAUGUAGUAUCAUAUGCAUAAUACUAGUAUAUGAUACUCUCUAUUACGACCAGCCUUAUCUGGAACGGAGGGAGUAUACUUUGGAACAGAGGGAGCAACUAGAGCCGACACCCAGCAACCCAGCAACCAAAUCCGGAGCCGUCGCUCGGACCCCGAGUCCACGCACCAGGCUGGCCAACGACACUGUCACCCACAUGGCCAGUGCUGGCAUCCCUCCACUCUCUCUCUCUCUCUCUCUCUCUCUCUUUAACCCUAAAACAAAUCAGUCAAGCUCUCGUUGCCAACUCGCUGACCCACCGUCCGGGUGGCUGCCACAUCAGUUCCCUGUUGCCACGGUGCUGCCAGCCUGCCAUUCCACUGCCUUGGAUUCGGUUGUGGCGUGGGCUGGGAACCGUAGAGUUUUGUUCCGAUGUGUCGUUCAAGGCGGAGGUUUGGUCGGCUGACGUUAGGUAUGAGCAGCUCCUGAGACUGUCUAAGUUACUCACCACUAUGACCAGUUUGAUGGAUGGAUGGAUGCUACUGUGUGAUGAAGGCCCUGUUUGGAUACUCUAACUUAGCUAGAGGUUAGAGGUUAAAGUUAGUGCUACUGUGUGAUGAAGGCCCUGUUUGAACGGUAGAGUUAGCAGGAUGGAUGAAUGCAGGUCAUGUGUCGUGAACUAAAGCCACGAUACUUAUCUCGAACAGAGGGAGUAUAUUUUGGAACGGAGGGAGUACAUAUGUAUGUAUGGAUAUCAUGGUCAUGUUGCUUUGGGGUUCAACCUCUUUUUGGAUUAAAAAAGAGGGGCGAUGCCGAUGAUGAUUACUGUGGCUGAAAUAAUCAUGUCUUGAGACAUCAAGACAGCCAUGGCGAGGUGGGACUAAAUAGUGCCUGAAAAUUGGUGUCUGUGUUGGAGUUGCUCUUAGAGCCCACCCUUACCUCUGUUGCAGCCUGUCCAAUUCAUCGCCAAUGUUGGAUGUUCUGUGCCUUGGACGGUCGUUCUGAUGAGUGAUAACCAGGGCAGUUCUCUUACAUUGUGAUGGGUGGAUUAUGCUGCAAGAGAUGUGAGUGUUGGGUUUGAAGAUGAAAUGCAAAACUGAGCCNNNNNNNNNNCUUGCUACGUUACAUAAACUCGGUUCAGUUGCAUUUUGUUCUGGAUCUGGGAUGGAUCCUCCUCCUCUCUCUCUCUCUCUCUCUCUCCCUCCCUGCGAAGAAGAAGAAGAAGAACAAACCAGUCAAGCUCUCAUUGCCGACUCGCUGACCCGUCGUCUGGGUGGCUGCCACAUCAGUUCCCUGAAUCUACGGUGCUGCCUGCCACUGCCAUUCCAUUGCCUUGGAUUUGGUUGUGGGGUUGGCUGGGAACCGUACAGUAUUGUCUGAUGUGUCGAAUGAGCCGGAGGUUUGGUCAGCUGAUGCCGGGCAUGAGCAGCUCCUGAGACUGAGACUAGUCAUAGGUGGGAGUAACUUAGGUUUUAGUUCAAUUUGAACUUGAACUAAAACCACAACAGGAAUUAUGUAACGGAGGGAGUAACAUACAUGCCACAUACGCAAAAAAGGUGGUGUGACAAGUAAUUAAAGAGGAUGGAUGGAUGGAUGUGUGCAUGCAUGUAAUGGGUAUCGUGGUCAUGUUGCUUGGUGUAUAGAGCCCAGCCGAGGGAUCAACCUCCUUUUUGGGAAAAAAAUGAGGGGCGAUGAUGAUGUCACCGGCCGACAUAAUCAUGCCUUGAGCAAUCAAGACAGCUGUGGUGUGUGGGUACUAAUUAGAGCCGGAAUCGGUGACCUCGUUGGAGAUGCCCUUAGAGCCCACCCUUACCUCUCUUGCAGCCUGUUCAAUUCAUCUAUGAUGUUGUAUGUUCUGUGCCUCGGACGGUCGUUCUGAUGAGUGAUAACCAGGGCAGUUCUAUUACAUCGCGAUGUGUGGAUAGCAAGAGAGUGAGUGCUGGGUUUGAAGAUGAAAGAUAAAACUGAGCCAUCAAUUUUUCACCGUUUAGUUGCAUCUUGUUUUGGAUUCGGUAUGGAUCCUCCUCACCUCUCUCUCUCUCUCUCUCAAACCCUACGCUCUCAUUGCCAACCCGCUGACCCAUCGUCCGGGUGGCUGCCACAUCAGUUCCCUGUUACUACGGUGCUGCCAGCCUGCCAUUCCAUUGCCUUGGAUUCGGUUGUGGCGUGGGCUGGGAACCGUAGAGUUCUGUUCUGAUGUGUCGUCUGAGACGGAGGUUUGGUCGGCUGACUCCAGGUAUGAGCAGCUCCCGAGACUGUCUAAGUUACUCACCACUAUGGCCAGUCUGAUGGAUGGAUGGAUGCUACUGUGUGAUGAAGAGAUGGAGUUCUUACAGGGGCGAUGAUGAUGACCAUGGCUGAAAUAAGCAUGCCUUGAGCAAUUAAGACUGCUGUGGCCUGUGGGUACUAAAUUAGAGCGCACCCUUACCUCUCUUGCAGCAAUUCAAUUCAUAGCUAAUGUUGGAUGUUCUGUGCCUUGGACGGUCAUUCUGAUGAAUGAUAACCAGGACAAUCCUCUUACAUCGCAAUGGGUAGAUUAUGCAGCAAGCUAUGUGAGUGUCAGGCUUUAAGAUGAAAGGCAAAACUGAGCCCUCUUUCGCUACGCUACAAAUAUUUGAUUUUACCUUCUUUAAUAUGCAUUGUUUUUUUUUNNNNNNNNNNNNNNNNNNNNNNNNNNNNNNNNNNNNNNNNNNNNNNNNNNNNNNNNNNNNNNNNNNNNNNNNNNNNNNNNNNNNNNNNNNNNNNNNNNNNUCUCUCUCUGUCUCUCUCUUUCCCCGCCCAGCAACAAAUAGCCGUAACUGGUAACUUGCUGUAGAGCAAGGCCUCCUAGUAUAACGACUAACUGUCUAACUGGGCAAAGUUGAAUGGAACCAAUCUCAGGAUAUGUUGAAAGAUCUCCAACACCAAAGGGGAGGAAAUCAUCAUAGCCAUUCAGAAAAGAAUAGAACUCAUCAACACACAACAGAAACAAAUAUGCUGUGUUCAGAAGACAUCAAUCCAAGUCCAGAUGGGCCGUUACUCACAUCAACACAAUAUAGAGGAAUAGAAAAAAAAANNNNNNNNNNUUGUGUUCAGAAGUUAAUUUGGACCACUAUGCUGAUGGCCGUAUUACUGACAAUGAAAGAAGCGAUUUACAUUUGUUCACUUAAAAUAAAAGGAGUAACUGCAAGCCAAAUAAAAAAAGGACAAUAUAAAUUUUCCAUUUUGGAACAAAAGAAAAACAUAAUAAGAUAGAUAUCCAAGUCAAAAACAAUAGUGUGUUCGACAUAUAUAGUUUGUACAACUAUACAAGCAAAAACAACGCCAGCUAUGUAUCCAUCUCGAAUCCAAAACAACAUGCAACUGAGCUGAGUAUAUGUAGCGUAGCAAAAGAGGGCACAGUUUUGCAUUUCAUCUUCAAGCCCAACACUCACAUCUCUUGCUUCAUAAUCUACCCAUCACAGUGUAUGAAAACUGCCCUGGUUAUCACUCAUCAGAACGACCGUCCAAGGCACAAAACAUCCAACAUUGGCGAUGAAUUGGACAGGAUGUAAGAGAGGUAAGGGCAUCCUCCAACGUCAAGAUCGAUUUUCAGGCAUUAUUUAGUCCCACCUCGCCAUGGCUGUCUUGAGGUCUCAAGACAUGAUUAUUUCAGCCACAAUCAUAAUCGUCAGCAUCGCCCCCCUUUUUUAUCGAAAAGAGGUUGAACCCCCAAGCAACAUGACCAUGAUAUCCAUAUAUACAUACUCCCUCCGUUCCAAAAUAUGCUCCCUCCGUUCCAGAUAAGUAUCGUGGUUUUAGUUCACAACACAUGACCUGCAUCCAUCCAUCCAUCCAUCUUGCUCAGGAGCUGCUCAUGCCUGGCCUCGACCGACCAAAACUCCAGCACCGACGAAGCAUCAGACAACACCGUACGGUUCCCAGCUCAAUCGCACAGCCGAAUCCAAGGCAAUGGGACGGCGGUGGCUGGCAGCACCGUAGCGGUGGGAACUGACGCAGUGGUCACCAGGACGAUGGGUCAGCGAUCCGGCAACGAUAGCUCGCCUGAUUUGGUUUAGGGUUUGGGUCUAGUGGUGUGAACUGCACGCACGCAUGCACCGAGAGAGAGAAUGAGGCUCUGUUUGAUAGCUCAGUUUUUUCUAAGUAUUAUAAGCAUACUACAGUUUUUUAGAAUACCAUGAUUUUAAUUACUGUGAGCUGUUUGGCAGCCCAAAAACUGUAGUAUGGCCAAAACUGUGGUAUUUUAUUUGUGUAAAAAGAAGAAUCCCAGAUCUGCGGUAUGCACAUUAAGCAAUAUAAAAAUCAUAUCGCUAAAAAAAAAAAAAGAACCCCAGACCUCUUUCUUUAAACAGAGCAAGCGAAAAGAGGCAUCGCACGCACACUUUAUUUUCUUCGCUGCUCCACCCACCGCUCCGCUCCGGCCACCGGCCCUGCUCCACACGCCUCGACUGCGUGCCAGAAGGUGGGCAAGCAGUCCCGUCGGCCAUUUCGUAGCUCCGCCUGCUGAGACACCUACACCAUGUUGUGAACCAUGCUCAUUGAUAAUCUACAAGUCUUGUGCAAGGCUGUUCUUCAUGCAUGUGGCUACCUGCUUCUACAGUUUGCGUGCAACGGCUUGACACUAUCAAACAGGUAGCCUGUAUUGCUGAUACUUCAAAAUUCUUUAAUAUGUAAAAACUGUGGUAAAUUAUGCCAACAGUCAAAAAUACUGUAGUUUUUCAAUACUUCGGUUUUUAGAAUACUUGUGCGAGAGAGAGAAAUGGGGAUCGUACCGGAUCCAGAGAAAAACGCAGCAAGGUUGCAAGAAAUCCAUCGACAGCGGCUCAGAUCCCGCUCGGCCCCCAGCUCGGACGGCCAUGGACGCCCACCCGCACUGGCGGCAGCCCCGAGGGGCCUCCAAGCCGAUGCGCGAUCCGACGAGGCAGGAGGGGGCCGGCGCCGGCGGCCCACUCCAUCCUAGGGAGGGACACGGCCCCAACCGAGGCGCGCGAUCAUCAGCCACGGCGAGCGGGGCGGGCGCGGCGACGGGAUGGCAAGCAUCAAUGGUGGAAGUUAAGGAGGACUACAAUGGCAAAUAUCAACUGAAAAAUUGAUAAUGGAUACGAAAAUUGGACCAAAAAACUGAAAAAUGGCAUCAAUAAGAAUCUGCUUUUAAAUUUGUUCAAUAAAAAGAUUUCACACCAUCUCACCUUUCCAGAAGGUGCACACAAAGAACCAAAGUCAUAGUUUUUUUUUUUUUUGAGACAAACCAAAGCCAUAGGUAAUGACAGGUUUCUUUUUCAAGCUACAGGCCGACAAUGCACAGAAUAUAUAUAACUUAAUUUUCACAAUGAGCCCAUGACCAUUCACAGUUGCCAAACGGGCAUUCUUCAAAUCAAGAAGAAACAAAGAAAAGUUAGUAGGGAAAUCAAGCUGUUUUCUGGAGGAUAUUCCAGAAGUUCUCACUGAUCAAAUUACUAUAAUCAAACAGUAGUAGAAGUAUCAAACACAGGUGUCAUAACAAACACAUGCACGAGGAAUAGUUCGUGAAAUCCAGGAAAAUUGUAGAGUAUUACUUGAAUGGCUCAGAUUUAACCCACCAUAAAUCACCAAAGUUGGACAACGCUUCAGGUAGUACUUGAAGCCUUAUGGUACCAAACAACAACAACAACAACAACAACAACAAAGCCUUUCAGUCCCAAACAAGUUGGGAUAGGCACGUGGAUAGCUAAUUUCCAUGCACCCCUGUUCAUUGCUAGUUCUUUGGUGAUAUUCCAAUCCUUCAGGUCUCCUUACCANNNNNNNNNNNNNNNNNNNNNNNNNNNNNNNNNNNNNNNNNNNNNNNNNNNNNNNNNNNNNNNNNNNNNNNNNNNNNNNNNNNNNNNNNNNNNNNNNNNNNNNNNNNNNNNNNNNNNNNNNNNNNNNNNNNNNNNNNNNNNNNNNNNNNNNNNNNNNNNNNNNNNNNNNNNNNNNNNNNNUUCCUAGUAUAACUACUAACUGUCUAACUGGGCAAAGUUGAAUGGAACCAAUUUAGGAGACAUGAAAGCAUCUAUAUCUCAGGAUAUGUUGAAAGAUCUCCAACACCAAAGGGGAGGAAAUCANNNNNNNNNNNNNNNNNNNNNNNNNNNNNNNNNNNNNNNNNNNNNNNNNNNNNNNNNNNNNNNNNNNNNNNNNNNNNNNNNNNNNNNNNNNNNNNNNNNNUCUUUUAAAAUGCCCAACUAUUUCUUAUAGUUGGGAAUAUUUUUUUCAGAAGGGGUCAAAAGCAUUUAUUAUAUUUUAUUUUUUGUUAAAAGCCUUUCUUUAUUUUAAGAUUUCCGUUUUAAAAGGAUUUAAAAAAACAAAGGGGGAGGACCCCAGGCCAAGGCCCAGCAGGCCAAGGCCCACGCCUCCCCUCCCCAGCCCUAGCGUCGCGAGCCAGCCCCUCGAUCUCUCCUCCCGCAGCGCCGUCGUCCUCAGCGCCAUCUCCCUCCUCUCGUUCCCCUGUGCCGAGUCCCAGCCCCGCCGCCAGUAGCUCCUCUGCGCCGCCUCCAUGGCCUCGGCGUCGCCCCUGCUUCCCAGGCCGUCGCCCCUACCUUGCCUCCGGUCGCCGCUCGCAGGCCCCGCGCGCCGCAGCCUCCAGCAGCUGCUCCGUCCCUUGCCCAGCGCCUCCCCAUUGCCGCCGCCAUGGCCUCCUCCUCCCAGCGCUCCCUCACGCCAUGGCCUCCUCCGUCCCCGUGCUCGCCAUGGCCGCCGGUCCCCUGCCGAUUUGCUGCUGCUGUGAAUGUUGUUGUUGCGCUAAGCUGUUGCGUUGCGUGCUGCCGAAGUUGUUGGUUCCUGCUGCCGCUGUUGCUGCGUUUGCUAACUGCUGAUGUUGCUCUGCUAGCUUGCCGCUGCUACCUGCCUGUUGCUACUGUGUCUGAUGCUGCUGCUUGCUGCCUGCUAUGGUUGUUGUUGCUUGCCAGGUUGCUGUGUUGUUGCCUGCUUUUGCCGCCUGCCCUGCUGCCGAGCUAGCUUGCUUGCCUGCUGCCCUGUUGCGUUUUGCUUGCUAGGGCCAUGUGUUGUUCCUUGCCGUGGCUGAUGCUUGCUAUUACGGCUAGCUGAAUCUGCUUGUUGUUAGUUGCUUUUGCUGUUAGGUGCUAGGCUAGGUUGCAAGCUAGCUGCUGCUUAGUGCUAGGUUGCUUGUUGUGCCAUAGCCGCUGCUUGUCGUAUUUGCAUUGCCAGUGCUAGUAGUUGUUGUCGUUAGAUGCCUUGAUGUAGAUGUUGUUGUUGUGUGGCCGCUGUCGCUGUCGUUGAAGACCGGUGCACCAUCCCCGCCACCGCGGCCCGAUGACAACUACGUCCUCGACAAACCCCGAACAUCGACGGAGACGUGGUCGACUACCGACGCCGAAGACCCGAGAACCACGACGCCGAGCGAACGACUACCGUCGACGAGACCGGUACCACGACUUCCAGGACGUCCACAACGACCGUUGUUCCCCUUCACUGGACCGAACCGUUCCGAUUCGCACGCGUCGAAGGUAUACCGAUGAGACGUGGCCGAGAACCGUAUGCAUGUGUUGUACGAGUUGAAUAUAUGUAUGCACCGUAUGUUUGACCAUUGCACGUUGUCCCUCUAUGUUGUGCCCGACACAUGGGAACCCGGUAANNNNNNNNNNNNNNNNNNNNNNNNNNNNNNNNNNNNNNNNNNNNNNNNNNNNNNNNNNNNNNNNNNNNNNNNNNNNNNNNNNNNNNNNNNNNNNNNNNNNGGAGUGGUUAUAACAACCUUGACUAAGUGUUACAUGUACUGGCUAAUACCCCCUUCAGCCGGAACGCCGUGGGGAAGGACGUUCAAGCUGUCCCGAAACUCAUGGAACACUUGAGACGGUAGGCCUUUGGUGAACAAGUCGGCAAACUGGGAGCUCGAGGGAACGUGAAGCACCCGUGCCUCACCGAGAGCUACUUUGUCGCGGACGAAGUGCAAGUCAAUCUUGAUGUGCUUCGUCCGUUGAUGCUGAACUGGGUUGGAGGCCAGAUAAGUGGCGCUGACAUUGUCACAGUACACCACGGUUGCACGAGCUGGAGGACAGCGUAGUUCGUGGAGCAACUGCCGUAGCCAACAAGACUCGGCCACGCAGUUGGCGACACCACGAUACUCGGCUUCCGCACUGGAUCUGGACACCGUUGGCUGCCGCUUGGAGGACCAGGAGACAAUGUUAUCGCCAAGGAACACGCAGAACCCGGAUGUAGACUUGCGGGUGUCAGGGCAGCCCGCCCAGUCGGCAUCCGUAUAUGCAAUGAGGUCCGUAGAAGAUGAUUUGUAAAGCUGAAUCCCAUAGUGUGAUGUACCCUGUAGGUAACGCAGAAUCCGCUUGACGAGGUGCAUGUGGGUAUCGCGUGGGGAGUGCAUGAAGAGACAUAUUUGUUCACAUUGCAUAGCUUUGACGAUGACAUUGUAUUGUGUGUGGACGAAAGUGAAGAAGCGUUGAAGGGUGGAGGAGGUGUCGGACUUGUUGCGUAGAGGAAACGACCACGAGUAGUGCGUAAAAUCGUCAAGUACAACCAGAUAGUAUUGGUAACCUGAGAAGCUUAUAACAGGCGGUGUCCACAAAUCACAAUGUAUUAAAUCAAAGGGAGCAAAGGUUUUGCUAAAGGAGGAAGAGAAAGGGAGGCGGGGUUGGCGGCCUAAUUGGCAAGCAGUACAAGGAGAGUGCGGGGCCUUAUUACAAGUGCUAAGAAAAUCAUUGGUAAUGGUGGACAUGGAGUGGGCGCCAGGAUGGCCGAGCCGGCGAUGCCAAAGAUCCGCCGAGGAGAUGGCGAAGAUGGAGGGAGGCGUCCUUUUGUUGUCGUAGAAUAGGUAGAGGUCGCCGUGACUAGCGGAGAUCAUUAGAACCCUCUGGGUGCGAAGAUCCUUCACAAUAAAACCAAAUGGGUAAAAUUCAAUAGAGCAAGAAUUAUCGCGAGUGAAACGGCGAACGGAGAUGAGGCUAGUGACGACCGUUGGUGAAACGAGUACGUCGGUGAGGCGAAAUUCGUAGGGGUGAAGUGUUGUGGAGCCGGAAGCGGUGACGGGAAGGUGGUUACCAUUGCCGACAAGGAUGCUUGAAGGUGUAUGCUUUAAAGAAUAAUUAUGCUUGGUCAGGUUACCUGGGUUUCCCGUCACGUGUGAGGACGCGCCGCUGUCGAGGUACCACUCUGGUGCAGGCCGAGAGGGGAACCCGCCACCGUUGUAGGCGGCGUUGAGCAUGGCGGCGUGCUCCCAUGAAGGACAAGGAGGUGGAUAGAAGGAUGGCGGUGGUGACGGGAGCAUAGGGUAUGCCUGCGCGUGUGAGCCAGGGCGUGGACCAAGGACGCCCGCAGCGUUCGGAGGAAUCCAGCCGGGCCGAGGAGGUGGCAGCGCCAUGCCGUACGAGGCGAAAUAGCCAGUUAACGGAGUGGCAGGUGGAGUGGGGUGGCGUCCGGAGUUGUCGCCGCGGCCGCGGCCACGGCCACGGCCGCCACAGUCACCACGUCCGCGCCCAGAGGGCGAAGGAGAUGGAUGAGGAGUGCCGCGGUCGCCGUGGGAAGCGUCAGAGGGCCGGUCGGAGGAGGUGCGUCCACCCGGAGUGGAGUUGGCGCCGGAGGGUGAUCCACCCGUCAGAGCGAAGGCCGAGGCGCUCUCGUCGGCCACACGCUGCGCUUGGGACUCCUCGGCGAGGGUGACACGGGAGAGAACCGUGUUGAAGGGGAGAUCCUGAUCGCCGAGAACGACGCGGAUGGUGUCGAGACGCUUGUCCAACCCGUGAAGGAAUUGGGUGGUGAGGUCCACCUCGGUGACGGCGUGAUCAAUAUCAGCGAGGCCGUCGGUGAGAAGCUUCAUGCGUCGCGCGUAUUCAGAGACGGAGAGAUCGCCCUGCUUGAGAUUGCGGUACUGGCGAUUGAGAGACAUGUAGCGGGCGACACGAUUUGCAAGGAAGAAGUCCUUGAUCUUGUGCCAGAGGGCGAAGGUGGUGGUGGCGCCGACGACAUGGUCACACAUCGUGUCGGAGAGGGUGGCAUAGAUCCAGAGCACGACAUGCGCAUCCAGCUCAAGGUAGGCAGGCGGGGCAUUGGGGGGAGGUGGUUGCUUGGUGAGAUAAGAGACGUCUUAGCGGAGGAGGACCAUGAGGAAGAAGGUCUUCCAUUUGUGGUAGUUAUGAUCGGCCGGAUUGAGAAGGAGUUUGAUGUGGUUGGUGAUGUGGUCGCCGAAGAUGGGAUGGCGUGGUGCGGCGGCAGGGGCAACAGGGGAUAUGGUGGCACCGGAGGAGAAGAGAGGGGCGAAUUGGGAGCCGGAGGCGGUGCCGAAGAUGAACGGGGGAGGUGUGGCAGCGGAGGAGGAGGACGGCAUGGCCGUGGGAGGUGCCGCGGCGAAGGAGGAGGAGCCCGGCGAGGUGGCGGAGCUCGUGGCGGCGGAGGACACCGGCGACGCAGAGGUGUCGGGGGAGGCCAUGAGGACGUGGAGAAUUGAUACCAAGUUGGAAUAUGUAUUGUGAUUCCUUGAACAAUGAUGUUACAAAGUGUACAAUAUAUAGACUUGGCUACCCCUAUUUGCGUGGCACGUAGGCCAUUUCCCCUAGUGAUCCUAUGAUAUAGGAGUGGUUAUAACAACCUUGACUAAGUGUUACAUGUACUGGCUAAUAGAAUGGCUACAGUAUACGUAAAUCACUCAACAGCAAACAGUUAUUUCUCGGAAUAAAUUGAGCUGGGGAUGAUCACGGCAGUUAUAGGGACCUCCGGGAUGCUGAACCCAGCAUUGAUCAGGCUCAGCUUGGCGAUGCUGAACCCAGCUGUCACCUAUAUCACGCUGAGGCCCGGCGGGAUGAUCAGGUAAGGCCAUUGGGCCCGUGAAUAUUCGCUGCCAGUCAUGCUGAUCUUGGCGAUGCUGAACCCAGCUCUCACCUGCAUCUGCUUGGAGAAGCUGUUGCUGGAGCUGGACCUCUCGCCGAAGUGUGGCAUCGCCGGCAUCGGCUUCCCUUCUACCAAUUUAAGUGAUCUAAUCGCCAAUGAUGUCUUCAUAUAUGAAUAGAGUGCACAUAAAUUUCAUGCAAGACAGGCAAUAAUCUUUACAGCUGAUCCAGGGAGUACGCGAGGAAGAGAGCUGGGAGGAGCAGAGGAGGGAGUACCCGAGGUGAGAGACACGGACGGCAGCGGCGACGGAUUUCAAUUUUUACAACAACAAAUUAAUUCAGGUGUUGUGUAGUGCGGGUUGAAAUGAGGAAACGGCAAGAGGGAAAGUGCAAAAAUGCAUUGGUUGACCGUCCCGCCAUGCUGGCUCCAUGUGGCGUCAUCUGAUUGGUCAAGGACUAAAUUUGCACCUCCUAUGCAAGUUCUAGGACUAGUUAGUCCUUUUUUGCAAGUUUUAGGACUAAACCAUCACAUACCGUGCAAGUUCUAGGACCUGCGGUGCUAUUAACUCUUACUUUUAUACAGCCUGCUUCAGUCGGGUACUGUUUGCCCAUUUUGAACCUGCCUUGACAAGAGUUCAUGUGUUGGUAUUGUAUACGGAGUACAAAGUUACAAACCCAAAGGGAUAAGAUUUCUGUCAAGUGCCGACGGCGAUCACGUCAAUCUUGGAACCGUUUCACACGCGCAUCGUCACUUUGUCCUUCGCCAACCUUCGCCUAUUCCGUAGUUCCUGCUUUGAGUUGCAAAUCUGAGCAACGGAACCGGUAUCAAAUACCCAUGCACUACAACGAGAUUUGGUAAGGUACACAUCAAUAACAUGUAUAUCAAACAUACCUUGUUUGGCGUUGGCCGCCUUCUUAUCGGCCAGAUACUUGGGACAGUUUCGCUUCCAGUGACCAAUCCCCUUGCAAUGAUAACACUCAGUUUCCGGCUUUGGUCCAGCUUUGGGUUUCUUCUUUGAAGGGGCAACAGCUUUGCCACUCUUCUUGGAGUUACCCUUUUUGCCCUGCCGUUUUUUUUGAAAUUGGUGGUCUUAUUGACCAUCAACACUUGAUGUUCUUUAUGAAUUUCUCACAUGAACCUCNNNNNNNNNNNNNNNNNNNNNNNNNNNNNNNNNNNNNNNNNNNNNNNNNNNNNNNNNNNNNNNNNNNNNNNNNNNNNNNNNNNNNNNNNNNNNNNNNNNNAUGGAUCAAGACUGGGAUUUGUCACUCCGUGUGACGGAGAGGUAUCUCGGGGCCCACUCGAUAAUACAACAUCACACACAAGCCUUGCAAGCAAUGUAACUUAGUGUAAGUUGCGGGAUCUUGUAUUACGGAACGAGUAAAGAGACUUGCCGGUAAACGAGAUUGAAAUAGGUAUGCGGAUACUGACGAUCGAAUCUCGGGCAAGUAACAUACCGAAGGACAAAGGGAAUGAUAUACGGGAUCAUACGAAUCCUUGGCACUGAGGUUCAAACGAUAAGAUCUUCGUAGAAUAUGUAGGAUCCAAUAUGGGCAUCCAGGUCCCGCUAUUGGAUAUUGACCGAGGAGUUUCUCGGGUCAUGUCUGCAUAGUUCUCGAACCCGCAGGGUCUGCACACUUAAGGUUCGACGUUGUUUUAUGCGUAUUUGAGUUAUAUGGUUGGUUACCGAAUGUUGUUCGGAGUCCCGGAUGAGAUCACGGACGUCACGAGGGUUUCCGGAAUGAUCUGAAAACGAAGAUUGAUAUAUAGGAUGACCUCAUUUGAUUACCGGAAGGUUUUCGGAGUUACCGGGAAUGUACCGGGAAUGACGAAUGGGUUCCGGGAGUUCACCGNNNNNNNNNNNNNNNNNNNNNNNNNNNNNNNNNNNNNNNNNNNNNNNNNNNNNNNNNNNNNNNNNNNNNNNNNNNNNNNNNNNNNNNNNNNNNNNNNNNNNNNNNNNNNNNNNNNNNNNNNNNNNNNNNNNNNNNNNNNNNNNNNNNNNNNNNNNNNAGCCCUUAGUGGGCUGGUGGGACAGCCCCAAGGGGGCCUAUGCUCCAAGAGAAGAAAAUCAAAGGAAAAGAAAAAAAAAAGAGGGAAGAAGUGGGAAGGGAGGGGGACACCUCCCACCAAACCAAGUCCAACUCGGUUUGGGGGGGGAGUCCUCCCCCCCUUGGCUCGGCCGACCCCUUGGGAGUCCCUUGGACCCCAAGGCAAGGUCCCCCUCCCUCCUCCUAUAUAUAUGGGGCUUUUAGGGCAGAUUUGAGACGACUUUCUCACGGCUGCCCGACCACAUACCUCCAUAGUUUUUCCUCUAGAUCGCGUUUCUGCGUAGCUCGGGCGGAGCCCUGCUGAGACGAGAUCAUCACCAACCUCCGGAGCGCCGUCACGCUGCCGGAGAACUCUUCUACCUCUCCGUCUCUCUUGCUGGAUCAAGAAGGCCGAGAUCAUCGUCGAGCUGUACGUGUGCUGAACGCGGAGGUGCCGUCCGUUCGGUACUAGAUCGUGGGACUGAUCGCGGGAUUGUUCGCGGGGCGGAUCGAGGGACGUGAGGACGUUCCACUACAUCAACCGCGUUCUCUAACGCUUCUGAUAUACGAUCUACAAGGGUACGUAGAUCACUCAUCCCCUCUCGUAGAUGGACAUCACCAUGAUAGGUCUUCGUGCGCGUAGGAAAAUUUUUGUUUCCCAUGCGACGUUCUCCAACAGUGGCAUCAUGAGCUAGGUUCAUGCGUAGAUGUCUUCUCGAGUAGAACACAAAAGUUUUUGUGGGCGGUGAUGUGCGUUUUGCCGCCCUCCUUAGUCUUUUCUUGAUUCCGCGGUAUUGUUGGAUUGAAGCGGCUUGGACCGACAUUACUCGUACGCUUACGAGAGACUGGUUUCAUCGUUACGAGUAACCCCCUUUGCUCAAAGAUGACUGGCAAGUGACGGUUUCUCCAACUUUAGUUGAAUCGGAUUUGACCGAGGAGGUCCUUGGAUGAGGUUAAAUAGCAACUCAUAUAUCUCCGUGUGGUGUUUGCGUAAGUAAGAUGCGAUCCUACUAGAUACCCUUGGUCACCACGUAAAACAUGCAACAACAAAAUUAGAGGACGUCUAACUUGUUUUUGCAGGGUAUGAUUGUGAUGUGAUAUGGCCAACGAUGUGAUGUGAUAUAUUGGAUGUAUGAGAUGAUCAUGUUGUAAUAGAAAUAUCGACUUGCACGUCGAUGGUACGGCAACCGGCAGGAGCCAUAGGGUUGUCUUUAUACUAACAUAUAUGCUUGCAGAUGCGUUUACUAUUUUGCUAGGAUGUAGCUUUAGUAGUAAUAGCAUAAGUAGCACGACAACCACGAUGGCAACACGUUGAUGGAUGAUCAUGGUGUGGCGCCGGUGACAAGAAGAUCGUGCCGGUGCUUUGGUGAUGGAGAUCAAGAAGCACGUGAUGAUGGCCAUAUCAUGUCACUUAUGAAUUGCAUGUGAUGUUAAUCCUUUUAUGCACCUUAUUUUGCUUAGAACGACGGUAGCAUUAUGAGGUGAUCUCUCACUAAAAUUUCAAGACGAAAUUGUGNNNNNNNNNNNNNNNNNNNNNNNNNNNNNNNNNNNNNNNNNNNNNNNNNNNNNNNNNNNNNNNNNNNNNNNNNNNNNNNNNNNNNNNNNNNNNNNNNNNNUUUUCUCACCUUCACUGACGAUUUAAGUAGAUAUGGUUAUGUCUACUUGAUGAAGCACAAGUCUGAAACAUUUGAAAAGUUCAAGCAAUUUCAGAGUGAAGUGGAAAAUCAUCGUAACAAGAAGAUCAAGUUCCUACGGUCUGAUCGUGGGGGUGAGUAUCUGAGUUUCGAGUUUGGUACUCACUUAAGACAAUGUGGAAUUGUUUCGCAGUUAACACCGCCUGGAACACCACAGCGUAAUGGUGUGUCCGAACGUCGUAAUCGUACUUUGUUAGAGAUGGUGCGAUCUAUGAUGUCUCUUAGUGAUUUGCCGUUAUCAUUUUGGGGUUAUGCAUUGGAAACAGCUGCAUUCACUUUAAAUAGGGCACCAUCGAAAUCCGUCGAGACGACACCAUACGAACUGUGGUAUGGCAAAAGACCAAAGUUGUCGUUUCUUAAAGUUUGGGGAUGUGAUGCUUAUGUCAAAAAGCUUCAGCCUGAAAAGCUGGAACCCAAAGCGGAAAAAUGCGUCUUCAUAGGUUACCCAAAAGAGACAGUUGGGUACACCUUCUAUCUCAAAUCCGAGGGCAAAGUGUUUGUUGCUAAGAACGGAACUUUUCNNNNNNNNNNNNNNNNNNNNNNNNNNNNNNNNNNNNNNNNNNNNNNNNNNNNNNNNNNNNNNNNNNNNNNNNNNNNNNNNNNNNNNNNNNNNNNNNNNNNAUAAAACUAAUCACACGACGGAAACGGAAAUAAAAGGGGGAAUCUUCUAGGCGUCAGUCUCGGGCUGUCACAGCUCUCCUACACUACAAGAGGAUCUCGCCCCGAGAUCCAAGUAUGAAAGGGGAAGAGGAUGAGAAAGAACAAGAGGUAAGAACUUAGUCGCUUCUUUGACAAACGAGUGAAACCAACGAUCCUUGAAGGUAGCAAAGAGAUGAGGAAUGAUAUGAGAAAGAAGCGAGAAUUCACGGAAAAUUUCGGCAACACUUUGGUAGGAAAAUGGGACAAAAAACUCGAUAAGAAGAGAGAAUUAGACAAUAUUCAUAACAAACAAGUAAAUAGAACAAGGGAACACCAUGAUCUUGAUAGAACAACAUAAUAGACCCAAAAGAACAACAUCACAAUGCCUUCGGAACAAGAGAAUAUGACAUAGCUCAUACGGAAGCAGAGAAUGAAGAAUAGAAUGACAACUAUCAUCACAAUUGAAUUGAAGAGCCUCCGGACAGAGAAUUGACGUAGUAGUUGGAAAACCAACAACGAAAAGAACAAGGUAGUAGUGGGUUUAUGAAAAUCAUCUCAACAAAUAUGAGGUGACAACCAACCACUACAAGAACCAAGGAUAGAUGAAAGCAAAGAUAUCAAAACUUCUUACACCAAGAGGGUGCACUGAGAACUGGGAUUAAUAACAAGCACCAUGAUAGCACAAUCCAUAGGAAAAGCUUUAGGUGAAGCCUAAACCAAGAUAGCUCAAUGAAGAAACCAUGAGUUAAGAAUAAUCUCAUGAUCAAAGGAUUGAUGGAUUUAACUAUCUCAUUCUUGAAAGGAAAUCUCUUCGAGGCUCCUACACUAACAAGAAUGCUACAAUACCACCUCAAAGGAUAAAGGAGAACAAACGCAUUGGAAAUGCAAGAGAAAGAAAACAUGAGGUUCUCCAAUAAGAAUCUUGAAGAACACUUGAGAAUGGAUUGAAACCUUGAUGAACCACCAUGAAGGACCUCCGUAUACAAAUGAAUGAUGCAAAGAUAUGAAGGAAGAAAGAAUAAGAUUAUGACCUUGCCAAGAUUUAGAUGAAGCUUCACAAAGAGAUUCUUGAGAAAACUUGGAACUCCGGAAAAGAAAAGAUAAUAACAUUUGAGAAAAAGGAAUUGAUAUCAUGAGGCACUCCGAAAGAAGAAUUCAGAUUACUAUGAACAAGAAUAAGAAUUAUGUUAUGCUUAUACUUCAUCAAGUUUAAUUGAUGACAAGAAACGGAUUUAGCAUAGCACUUAUCCUUGUAGAAAGAACUUUAAGAAAGAGGGAGAUAUGCACCACAUGAAGCAUAAUGAAGGAAGCACCGGUGAGAAUCGGAUUGAAUGGGGAUACCAAGAAUUAAUGGAGAUACAUGAGAAUGAAGAGAUCAUGAUCCACCUGAAAGAGAACUUGAACAAGGCACCGGAUAAUUGAGAGAUGAAUGAAGAGACAACAAUUGAGAAGAAUUGAGGAUGAAAGCUGAAAGCUGAGAACAAAGAAUCUUCUGAAAUGAUGGCCUUCGGAGGAACGAGAAAUAAAAACAACUCAAAAACGCAUCGGAUAGCAAGAAAGAGAUUAAUCAUGAUUGGAACAAAUAAGAUGAUGGCACAAAGCUGAAAUGAUGAAUCUUAAAAAAAAAGGACCAAGAUUUGAGAGAAACACUUCUUCGAAUUGCAAGCUGAGAAUGAUGACGAGAACAACACCAAGAAUUACCGAGACACUCCGGAAUAGAGAAAAAUGAAAGUUUGAGCCAAAUAUGAGAAUUAAUUCGAAUAUAACUUGAAGAAUUAAAUAUGACUGAUGGAAAUCAUACUUACGUCAUAGUUGAAAGAAUUAGAGAUCUUUGGGAAAGAUUACAAAAGCCAGAUAAGAUCCUGGGAAAGAACCUGUGGGUUAUGGGCCCACUCAAAGAAACCACCGUUGGAAAAGAUUACUUGGAAGAGAGAUAUUGCACCGGUAUGACGAGAACUAGAUGAGGUUGAGAACCUCGAAAUAAUUAAAAGAAUUGAAAACAAGAACUUCUAAGAUAUCUUAAAUGCUGCGGAUAGAAAAGAGAGGAAUGAAUAACCAAGAUAGGCUGAAAAGAAUCUCCAACAUGAAAAAGAAUUACAAGGAUAAUUGGGAUAUGAUGAACACGGAUAGCUGAAUUAAAUUCACCGGUAAGGAUGAUAAGAAUGAACAAAUAUGACACGAAUCUCCUGAGAAUCUUCACAAUGAAUCACCGGGUAAGAGAGAAAAGAACAGACAUCGGAAGCACAAUGAAAAGAAAACUCUUGGAUGAAAAUUGAACCACUGAGAAAAGGGUGGGAGGGCGGGGAAAAACAAAUACAACUUGAGACAGAUGAGAUAACUCCGGAAAGAACUGAGAGAAUGAUGUGCAAAAUUAGAGAGGAUUGAAUUCACUAAAAAGAAGCACACCGCUUAAAAAGGAAUUAACAUGACGACUUCGGUUAACAAGAAUUGACAAGACAACUGAUUGAGCAAAAGGAUUAGCAUUCACAUAAAAAUAUGAGAACCCCUCUUGGAAAGGUCUGAAAUCACCACUUGAAAUCGAAGUAACACAAAUUUGUUGGAAGAUCGUCCUAUAAGUAACUACUUGAAUUCCCACCUAAGAAUUCCCGAAUAUCUAGUCAUGCAAUCUGGUACACGGAUACAAGGAGUAAUAAUCACACAACUCCUAUACUAACCCGUCACCUGUAUCACAUCCGUCAACACACAACCAGAACCUCGGACCUUCAUCUACAACAGACCCUCAUGAUCACAACGAUACAAAGUAUGGCAGUACUCCCGAACAAUCUGCACCAGUACUGGGGACAUCAGGGUUAUCUCGCCACUACUAGUAUUGAAGCAAUUACAAACAUCCUUCGUUCUGAGAUACUAAGAAAUCUGAAUGAUAACGAUGUGCUCAAGAAUCCCCUGGAGCUCAACUCCCCUGAAACUCAAAGCAGAUAGGAGGCACCAAGACAAAACUCCGUCACAUCAGCAUCAUAUAGAUCUCAAAAAUAUCCGCGUGAUCCUAAAUAUUUUUAUGAGUGAGAAGAGGAGUAGAAUAAUUAUUACGUCAAGAUUCCUCACCAGAGCAUAGAAGAGGAGAAAAAAGAAUCCUACUCUCCGAUAUAUAACUAGACUCAAAGUUUUUUUUACUAGACUCGACUCGGCGAAGUUCGAUCAAUCAAGGGGGCUCCUAGGUNNNNNNNNNNCAGUUUUUCACUAGACUCGACUCGGCGAAGUUCGAUCAAUCAAGGGGGCUCCUAGGUCGGUACUGCUCUGAUACCAACUUGUCACGCCCAAGAUGCGACCCUAUCCUCAAUUUGGCACGAAGGCCUCGUCAGGGAUAGAAGCGCAUCUCGUCGUGUCGCAAGAAUAGAUAUCGUUACAAGUACAUGUACUGAAAAGAAGAUAUAUAUAAUAGAAUUGGCUUACACUCGCCACAAGCUACAUCAGAGUCACAUCAGUACAUUACAUAAUCAUCAAGAGUAAAAGCAGGGUCCGACUACGGACGAAAACAAACGAGAAAAGAAGAACGACAUCCAUCCUUGUUAUCCCAGGCUGCCGGCCUGGAACCCAUCCUAGAUCGAUGAUGAAGAAGAAGAAGAAGCAACUCCAAAUGAACAAUCAACGCGCUCGCGUCAAGUAACCUUUACAUGUACCUGCAACUGGUGUUGUAGUAAUCUGUGAGCCACAGGGGACUCAGCAAUCUCAUUUCCAAAGGUAUCAAGACUAGCAAAGCUUAUGGGUGAGGUAUGGUUAAGUGGUGAGGUUGCAGCAGCGGCUAGCAUAUAUUUGGUGGCUAAACUUACGAGUACAAGAAAUAAGAGGAGGAAGAUCUACGCAUAGCGGACGGAAGCUACGGAUGAUCAAACGAAUGAUCCUGAACACCUACCUACGUCAGACAUAACCNNNNNNNNNNCGGGUGAGGUAUGGUGAAGUGGUGAGGUUGCAGCAACGGCCAGCAUAUAUUUGGUGGCUAAACUUACGAGUACAAGAAAUAAGAGGGGGAAGAUCUACCCAUAGCGGACGGAAGCUACAGAUGAUCAAACGAAUGAUCCUGAACACCUACCUACGUCAGACAUAACCCCACCGUGUCCUCGAUCGGAGAAGGAACUCGCGAAAGAGACAGUCACGGUAACGCACUCAGUUGGCAUAUUUUAAUUAAGUUAACUUCAAGUUAUCUAGAACCAGUGUUAAACAAAGUUUCCACGUUGCCACAUAACUGCGGGCACGACUUUCCGAAAAGAUUUAACCCUGCAGGGGUGCUCCAACUAGUCCAUCACAAAUUACCACAAGCCGCAUAGAAAUCCUCAACGACGAAGCUCGUGAUCUCGUCGGAUUCCUUAGUGGAAAACCUCAACUCUGAGAUUACCCAAAGCAUCACCGGAAUCCCGAUGCACAAGAUAUUUCAUCAAAGGUAAAACUAAUCCAGCAAGGCCGCCUGACGUGUCGACGAACCCGAUAGGAGCCGUGUAUCUCGUUCUCAGGACACGACGGAUGGGUCACACUAGGAGAACCAAACCUCGGGUUGCCCCGCGAUGGCCCCGUAGUCUGCCAAUUUGGACCAACACUCAUGAGGAGAACUGGCCUGGGGGUUGAUUAAAUUAUCCUCGGGGUCCGGAAAGUCCCUAUGCAAUUUUAUUAGGUGUUUAGGCAAAUGUAGUACCAAAGUUGGGCCUUGCCAGGCCAGUCUUAAUCUAAAACGAAUUAUCAAGGGGGUCCCCAUAACAACCCCGAUCGUGUUAGGAGCGCUCAAUUAUGGAACAUAACAUCGGUAGCCGAAACUAAGGGGGCAAAGGUGGAACAAAACACCAGGCUAGAAAGGCCGAGCCUUCCACCUUUUACCAAGUAUAUAGGUCCAUUAAAUUAAAUAGCAUUUAAAUAUGGUGAUAUAACAAGGAACCCAUGUUAUCACAUGGAAGCAUCUGCACCUUCAACUAGCAACGCUAACACAUGGUUAAGCAAGCAAUAACAUAGCCAAUCAGUGGUUUGCUAGGUUGAACAGGUUGAUGGUUUUCAUGGCAUUGUUGAGAGGCUGAUAUUUAACAUGUGGUAGGCAACGAGACAAAUCGAUAGAAGCGAUAAAACUAGCAUGGCAAUGAUAGUAAUGGUAUCUCGGGAAAUGGUCAUCUUGCCUGAGAUCCCGCUUGGAAGAAGAAUGACUCCGUGAAGCAGACGAACCAACGUAGUCGAACGGUUCCUCACUUUCCGACACGCUUGCGGAACUCUAUCGGAACGGAGCAAACCGAAAACAAACAUCAACACAGAUAUUCACCACACGAUGCACAACAUGAUGCACAACCUAAUAUGAUGCAUGAUCAGUUCAAUGAUGCAAGGGGUGGCAUGGCAAUUCACCUCACGCAAACUCUACACAUUAAGUGAAGCUCGAUAUACAACGGGUUGCAUAUCGACGAAACUCCACGAUUAAUUAUUUAAUUCACUCCCGAUUAUUUACACGACAAUAUUAAAUUGUUGUUAACAUGGCAAGGGUGAAGCGAUGAUCCUACAUGACAUCCUAGUCGGGUAACACGCGAAACAUCGAUCGGAGCUACGACGCAAGAAACAUGCAACACACGAUAUAUAUGCCAUGAAUGCGUUAUGCAUGCAAGUUACAACAUCACGGCAAGAAGAGAAGGAAACAUGUGUCGUCAUGGCGAACGAAAGGGAACCAUGGCGGCAAAACGGAAACGAUGCCACGACAACGUUCCUAUCCCGAUAACUCGACGAGCAAUCAUGCCAACGUGCUGGGAACGCGUGCGGGAACGGUAAAUAAGAUGGGGUGAUCCCGGUUACCGGGUUCCCAUGUGUCGGGCACAACAUAGAGGGACAACGUGCAACGGUCAAACAUACGGUGCAUACAUACAUUCAACUCAUACAACACAUGCAUACGGUUCUCGGCCACGUCUCGUCGGUAUACCUUCGACGCGUGCGAAUCGGAGCGGUUUGGUCCGGUGAAGGGGAACAACGGUCGUCGUGGACGUCGUGGAAGUCGUGGUACCGGUCUCGUCGACUGUAGUCGUUCGCUCGGCGUCAUGGUUCUCGGGUCUUCGGCGUCGGUAGUCGACCACGUCUCCGUCGAUGUUCGGGGUUCGUCGAGGAUGUAGUUGUCGUCGGGCCGCGGUGGCGGGGAUGGUGCACCGGUCUUCGGCGACGACGACAACGAUCACACAACUACAACAUCUACAGCAAGGCAUCUAACGACAACAACUACUAGCACUAGCAAUGCAAAUACGGCAAGCAGCGACUAUGGCACAACAAGCAACCUAGCACUAAGUAGCAGCUAGCUUGCAACCUAGCCUAGCACCUAAGAGCAAAAGCAACUAACAACAAGCAGAUUCAGCUAGCCGCAAUAGCAAGCAUCAGCCACGGCAAGCGACAGCACAUGGCAGCAGCAAGCAAAACGCAACAGGGCAGCAGGCAAGCAAGCUAGCUCGGCAGUAGGGCAGGCGGCACAAGCAGGCAACAUCACAGCAACCUGGCAAGCAACAACAACCACAACAGGUAGCAAGCAGCAGCAUCAGACACAGCAAUAGCAGGCAGGUAGCAGCGGCAAGCUAGCAGAGCAACAACAGCAGCUAGCAAACGCAGCAACAGCGACAGCAGGAACGAGCAGCUUCGGCAGCACACAUCGCAACAGCUUAGCGCAGCAGCAACAUUCACAGCAGCAGCAAAUCGGCAGGGGAACGGCGGCCAUGGCGAGCACGGGGACGGAGGAGGCCAUUGCAUGGAGGGAGCGCUGGAAGGAGGAGGCCAUGGCGGCGGCGACGGGGAGGCGCGGGGCUGGCGCGAUGCUGGGCAAGGGACGGAGCAGCUGCUGGAGGCGGCGGCGCGCGGGGCCUGCGAGCGGUGACCGGAGGCGAGGUAGGGGCGACGGCCUGGGAAGCAGGGGCGACGCUGAGGCCAUAGAGGCGGCGCAGAGGAGCUACUGGCGGCGGGGCUGGGACUCGGCACAGGGGAACGGGAGGAGGGAGAUGGCGCUGGGGACGACGGUGCUGCGGGAGGAGAGAUCGAGGGGCUGGCUCGCGACGCUAGUGCUGGGGAGGGGAGGCCUGGGCCUUGGCCUGCUGGGCCUUGGCGUGGGGUCCUCCCCCUUUGUUUUUUUAAAUCCUUUUAAAACAUAAAUCUUAAAAUAAAGAAAGGCUUUUAACAAAAGUAAAAUAUAAUAAAUGCUUUUGACCCCUUUUGAAAAAAAUAUUCCCAACUAUAAGAAAUAGUUGGGCAUUUUAAAAGAAAUGAUAUAAACCCCUUUUUUGAAGAAUUAAAAUUAAAAUCUUUUUUUGAAGAAUAAAAUAAACCUCUUUUAUUUAAAGAAUAAAAAUAAAAACUCUUUAAAAGAGAAAAGUAAAUGAGACGGUUUUAAAAUAAAACCAAAGGAGAAAAUUAAAGAAAAUCCAAGGGCUGCCCCCGCAUUUAAUAAAAUGACCUUUUUAAAAGAAGACGCUUUUUUCAAAGGGGAUAAAACGGAAACUUUAGCUAAACCACAAAAAUGAAAAGAGAGGUGAGAGGGGCGAGAAGGUUUUUUAGGUCCUCGGUGCAACUAGGUUACGANNNNNNNNNNGGACCUUUUUAAAAGAAGACGCAUUUUUUUAAAGGGGAUAAAACGGAAACUUUAGCAAAACCACAAAAAUGAAAAGAGAGGGGAGAGGGGCGAGAAGGUUUUUUAGGUCCUCGGUGCAACAGGGUUACGAGCUUGAACUUGUUGCACCCAAUCAUGUUGCAAGGCCCUAAGGCACAUACACACAUGCGCUCACACUCAAACAACGAGGUGCAACUAGCCACACCAGACAAGCACAGAUGACAUGAUGCCAUGCAUGAUGCGGCGAUGCAAACUACAUGACGAUGCAACAAAUAAAACUAAUCACACGACGGAAACGGAAAUAAAAGGGGGAAUCUUCUGGGCGUCGGUCUCGGGCUGUCACACCUCUCUGGUCAGAUCAGAAGCUGUAGCAGAGUGGUAGCUGCCUUGUGCGUGUGUGUGCUCGAGCAGCAGGUCUGGGGUUCGACCCCCAGUACCUCCCUUUUAUUUUUUCCCUUGUCCUCUGCAUUUCUUUUUUCCUUUGCUGUUCACCACCUUGCAACCUUGUUCUUUGUAGCUAGGUACUUAUUUUUCUUGUGCACUUAGAUGUUUGUGCUUCCUCCUCUCUUAAUCUGCAAGUAUGUUCAUUUGUUGGUGGCUUGUGAAUAAGAGGUGAUGCACUUGUGUGUGUGAAUAUGCACUUAGUAGAGUUGUAGAUGCAUGUGCUUAUAGUCUUGUGCUUAUCACUUUAGUUGAGAUUGGCAUUUUAUCUCCUUGCUUGUGCUGUAUAGUAGUGGGAGGUGAUGUGGUGUAUGUUUGGGUGCUUGUGAGAGGUGCAUGUGUGUGUGUGUGCAUACACAUGAGGUUAGUCAUACAUUGGUGUGUGUGUAUGGUGAUGCUUCCUAGUAGAUGAUCUUAUGUUGGUGGCUUGUGUUUAUGCUUGUGUGACUAGUAAGAGGUGGCAGUAGGUGAUGUGCAUAUGUGUGUGUGUNNNNNNNNNNNNNNNNNNNNNNNNNNNNNNNNNNNNNNNNNNNNNNNNNNNNNNNNNNNNNNNNNNNNNNNNNNNNNNNNNNNNNNNNNNNNNNNNNNNNNNNNNNNNNNNNNNNNNNNNNNNNNNNNNNNNNNNNNNNNNNNNNNNNNNNNNNNNNNNNNNNNNNNNNNNNNNNNNNNAUUCUUUGUGUUGCUAGCAUGUGUAGGUGGUGUGAGUUUCUACUAUAUGACAUGCAUAUGAGUUGAUGAUAUGCAUGUGGUGAAAAUAGCCCCACUUUGCAACACUUGUGCACCUUCACAUGUCCAUAUGUGAGAGGGCAUGGUGAUUUGUAUGUAUGGGUAGCUUGGUAGAAGUGGUUGUGAAGUUGAUGUGCAUGAAACAAACAUGGGGUUCAAACCCCCAUGUCACUUUGUCAUUGUGCACAUGAGCUCAACCAUGUAGUAGUUGAUAUAGUGAAACUACAUGAAAUGAUGCACUAUUCCCUAGUCAUGAUUUGGAGUAGUUUCCUCUUCCUUAAUUUGUGGUCACUUGUUCCAAGUAAGUGCCCACAUUUUAUAUAUGAUUUUGUGGUAGAAUUUCCCAAGGAAUCCAUUGGUGAACUUAGCUUUGCCAUUGGAACAUUUUUCUGGAAAGUCAUAUUUGCAUUUUCUUCUAAGUUUAGAGCUUGGUUCCAUGCAUGGUGAUGUGCUCUUGUAUUUGAUUCUUGGUUGUGGUAGUAGAGGGUGACCCCCUCUACCACAUGUGGGUUUCAAUUCAUGAUUUGGAAUCCAUGUGUGCAAGUGGUGCCCAUCCAAAGUGGGAAUGUGGCUGGAAAUUCCAGCUUAGUGUUUGAGAAUCUGGAAAUAUUUUCUUCUCCUGUAGAUGAGGUCGUGCUGGUCAUUGUGUUGUGAUCUAGCCUUAGUUCAGUGCUAGGAAUUUGGACCUGAUAUGUUUUUAAAGCUCCCUGUCAAAUUUCAUCCCAUUUGGAAUCCUGUAGGUUAUGUUUUGGUUGCUGUCAAAAAGCUUCAGAGCAAAGACAGAAAAUCAGGUGCAGGAAUUUCACCAAGUCCCUGAGAUCUGAUGGUUUUGGGAAAGUUUGCAUCCUUGUAUCUUCCUGUGUUUAAUUCCUUUUGGUGUGAUUCUUGCUUGUGCUGGUAGUAUUCUUGGCUAGCUACAGCCACAUAUAUUAUUUUUCAUAUUUGGAGGGCUGUAGCUAUGUUGCAUGUAGUUCACAAAGUGCUAAGAUGCAGAUUAUGGCAGAUUAUGUAGUUUUGUCAUUUUGAUGAUUGUGGGUGCUUAGUUGAUGUUGUGGUGUUCUUCCUUGAUCCAAUCCAUUCAUGUUGGGUUGUUAUAUGUCUUGGCAACCUGGGAAUACCAGAUUUGUGCCAUUUGAGCAUGUGGUAUUGAUUUGGACACGUAGGGCUUCAUAUCUUGUUUCGUUGAUUCCCGUUGAUCCGUAGCUCCGAUUGUAAUGUUCCUUAUAUGGUUUUGCAUCAUUUUCACGAUACGCAUCUGAUCAUGUCAUUCUCAUGCAUGUCAAAAUAUCUUGGGGUACAGUUCUGUCCAGAAACUUGUAGUAGCUUCUCUUGCUUGUGCUAGUGAUAGAAAUAGUGAUGCAUGCUCAUUUUUCAUAUCAUGCAUCAUGUGCUUGUUGCAUCUUGAGGUGCUGUUGUUCAUUGGAUGUUAUUCUUAUGUUGGGUAGCACUGGGAUCGGAGAACGAGUACGUGGAUUCGGGAGAGUACGUGCAGGACGAACAAGAACCAUUCCAAGCUGAGGAUAUCACAGGCAAGAUGAUAUGACCUUGAUUCCAUCUCUAGACUUGUUAUGCUAGUUUGUGUUUCCAUGUCAUAUUGCUCGCUGCCUAGCACUGAAAAUUGCCCCUUGAGAUGCCAUGAACCCAUACCCUGAUCCCUUCCUAGCAAAACUUGAAUGGCUAAGUAGGCUUUGCUCAGCUACUAAUGUUAGCAUUGCUAGAUGCAGGUGCUUUGACUCAUAUGAUAACAUGAGCUUGAUAUCAUUAUCUUAAAUUCUGUUAUUUAUUAAUGCACCUAUAUACUUGGUAAAUGACGGAAGACUUAGCCUUUUGCCGGGUGCUUUGUUCCGUUAUUGCCGCCAUAAUUACCGGCUACCGGUGUUUGAUUCCAUAUUGAUCGCUCCUAACACGUUCGGGGUUGUUAUGGGAACCCCCUCGAUAAAUCGUGUAGCGCUAAGGCUUGUCCAGCAGGACCCAACAUUGGUGUUAAUUUGCUAAUCACUUAAUAAUAAACUGCAUAGGGAAUAGCUACCCCGAGGAUUUUAAUCAACAACCCGGGCCAGUGCUCCUCAUCAAUGUUGGUCCAAACUGGGCACUGCUCGGGGCCAACUCAGGGCAACUUGAGUGAUUUCUAUCAGGCCAUCGUGCGCAUAGCUCAUCCAGCGUGUCCUGAGACUGAGAUACGCGGCUCUUAUCAGGGUCGUCGACACGUCGGGAGGUCCUGCUAGUCUUGCCUUACCUUAGCGAUAUAUCUUGCGUAUAGGAAUCCCAGUGAAGCUUUGGUUUCCCCCAAAGUUGAGGUUUUCCUCUAAGGAAUCCGACGAGAUCACGAGAUUCGUGAUAGAGGAUUACUUUGCGGCCUGUGUACGUUUGUGAUGGACUAGUUGGAGCACCCCUGCAGGGUUUAAUCUUUCAGAAAGCCGUGCCCGCGGUUAUGUGGCAACUUGGAAUAUCUUGUUAAUAUCCAGUAUUAGAUAACUCAAACAUAAGCUAAUAAAAUUGUCAACUGUGUGCGUAACCGUGACUGUCCCCUCGAAGAUCUCUCUUCGAUCGGGAACACGGUGGGGUUAUGAAUGCCGUAGGUAGGUGUUCAGGAUCACUUAGUGAUCAAGUAAUCACGACCGCUAGUAUAGACCACCUUCAUACUUGUUCUACGUAUGUUAGCCCCUAAAUCAAGCUUAGGAUGCUGCAACCUUAAACACUUCACCUUAUCCCACCUAAUAACUUGACUAGUUCUGGCACCAAGGUCUUAGAUUGCUGAGUCCCGGUGGCUCACGGAUUCCUCCAAAAUCCCAACAUGUUUAGGUACCCCAGAGACAGAUGAUCCCGACGGCACUCAGCUGGCGUGGCAGUACGACGAGGAGAUAGACCGCCUUUACGUGAACUAUCCAGAAGAUUGAGGCGUGGUCGUGAUCGUGGGCCUGCAGGCAGGGUAGCAUAGCAUUUCUAUGUUUUGUAGCCGUAGCGGAACUUCCUUGGUUGUAUGUGUGAUGUACUCUGAGAUAUUUAUGAGAAGGCAAUUGAAUCACUGAUUGUCUAUCUUUAUUAUUAUGUAUGUGUUGUGUUACCUCUUUGCGAGACGCUUAUAUGCGCUCCUUUCCAAUUCGGGGCCUCGAUCCCCAUAUCGGAAAGGACCGCAUCUUGGUCGUUACAAAGAUCCACCCGUUGCUCCUUCACCGUAUAUCAGUCCUCCGGUAUGCUUUCAGUCAUCAAGAAUGAAUACAUUGUAGAUAUUAUUGUUAGCUUGAUAUUUAUAGUUCUACUUUUUGUUGUAGUCUCCUCCUCCUCUGUGCAUGUACUAUCGUUGGAUCGACAUGGAACGGCCGGACUGGCGGUGACCGAGAUUCGUGAAAGAGGUCAUCGUGCAUGGGCUAUUUUGGACUUGGAAGAGCGUCGUGCGAAGGCGGAAGCAGAGAAGAAAGUAGAGGAGAAGAGAGAGUGGGAAGAGUACUGUGUGGAGCAGAGGGCUUUUCUUGAUGAGAUGAUCAGGAAAAACCAAGAAGAGAAACUUCGGCUGGAGGAGGUUUACAGACACCGGCAGGAAGCCCGUGAUGCUGAGAGGGAGAGAAAGAAAGAAAGGGCUCGUGUGGCCAAGGCAGCAGAAGAAGCUGGUGAUGGAAAAGAAAAAUAUCCACGUUGGACUCAGUAGAUUUGUUUUAUUGUAUCCUAAAAUUGUUGAAUCUUAAUUUCAGCAAGUUGUAUCUUAAUUUCAGCAAGUUGUAUCAGCACGUUGUAUCUUAAUUUCAGCAAGUUGUAUUUUAAUUCCGGCAAGGUGUAUCUUACUUUGAACAUGUUAAGUUUUCCGACCAUAUCUUUCCUGCCAUUUCUUUCCCGCCAUUUCUUUCCCAUCGUAUCUUUCCCGCCUUUUCUUUCCCGCCAUUUAUCUCCCGCCAAUUCUUUCCUGCCUCGCUCUCAGCCACCUAUAAAACUCCCUCCACACUAAGGUGAGAUAACAAUGUAGUCCAGUAGCUAUCAUUCGUCAAGAUGUCCCAUUAGUUUAAUUCAGUUGGAAAGGGUGGCCUCCAAGGACAUUUGAGGAGAUAUGGAAAGAACUAAUUUACCACUGAAAUAGAACAUGAAUAUGUCUCAUACAUGAAUAUGUCUCAUACAAAUAGACAUAUGUUUCAUACAUAAUUAGAUAGUCAUAUCUUAUACAUAGAUAAUUAUAUCACUCCUGGCGACGACGACGAAUCUUGGGCUUCCUCGGACGCGGACCGGUAGGCGAUAAGCACUCAGGCGGUGGACGAGGCUCGCGAUGACCAUGACCAUAUACCACCUCGUCCAUCAGUGUCAGUGUCUCCUGCGUCGAUGGUGGUGGUGGAGUGACAAGAACUGUCUCCAAGAAAUCAUAUGUGUUUGCACCUCGGUCAUUGUCGUCGUCGUCGUCGGGUAAGUACAAACCAGUAAACACAGGUGACUGGACUGAAGCCAUGAACGGUUGCAAUUGGUUGCCGACUGCGGUAAAGUAAAACAUGCAAAAUUGAUUUACGAGCCUACAAUUUUUCAAAUAAUGUGCAAAGUAAUGUUACCUAUGUCCAUCCGAUUAAGCCAAGAUGAGCCCCCGGGUUGUGAACGAGGUGGCUGCUGGAAGAAAUAACUCCCUGGUUGUGAAGGAGGUGUCUACUGCCAGGGUUGUGAAGGAGGUGUGUGCUGCCAGGAGGAGCUCCCUGGGUGUGAAGUAGGUGUGUGCUGCUAGGAGGAGCUCCCUGGUUGUGAAGGAGGUGUCUGCUGCGAGGAGGAGCUCCCUGGGUGUGAAUGAGUUGUCUGCUGCCAGGAGGAGCUCCCUGGAUGUGAAGGAGGUAUCUGCUGCCAAGAGGAGCUCCCUGGGUGUGAACGAUGCACAGAGGUUCGAGGUUCUGAAUGCUGCAGAGAGGGGCGUGGCGGACGAUGGGCCGCAGAAGUGUUAACAACAUCCGAAGAUCGUCUACAUGUAACAGCGACGUAAAUCCCGCGCAGCUUAGCAAGAUGACCCUUCAACCAUGUGACUUGCUUUCGCGGUGGGAUAUUUUCUCCUCUCUCAAAGCGUUGUACUAAAGUGGAAACCUCAUCUACCGCCUCAGAUGUCAAUUCGCCCUAUGAACUAGGAGUUAACCAAUUGUGUAUGUUCAGGUUAAGGGAAAAAUUAACAUGUGAGAAACAUAGCACAUACCGCGUGGUGUCUGGUUCCCACAACUGAGGCAGUUGGGAACAGAUCGCUGGUGAGAGGGGCUUCGAUAUGAUCAGGAGCUGAUGAUGGAACCAAGUAGAUCCUCGUGCUAUGCCGGUAACGCUGUAGAUACAACCCGAACUUGUCCCAGUCAAAGGCUCGAACUUCAUCCCAAAUAUUUGUUGGCGCAGUAGUCCAUUCGUCGACGUAAGGGCUAAUGUCGCGAAGCCAAGAAGCCUGGGACUUGUUUCCUCCUACGCGACUGUACCUGAGAUUGAAAUGCACAUUACAUGAUUAGUUAUAUGUCAAAUGCAGACAUGAGAACUGAAGUAGUAUUACUUACUUAUGCACGUUAUCUGGUAAGUGUGGAAUAACAAGAAUGUGAGGCUCUUGGCAUAGAUCGAACUGUCUCAUCACCCUAUGAAGAGCCAUCUCCUCAACCGUCACGUCGAACACCAACCUGGCCUUGGUCAUCCAAUAAUGCCAAUCUAUAGUGCACAAUCUAGAAAUCCCAAGAGGACACCUUUCUGAAAUAGCAUGAUCGGAGUAUGGCUUCCAUAUAACUUGACCCUCGUGCAAACUAUCAAACUGCGCUGUGAAGGAGGGGUAGCAGCCCCUCACCUGGCUAUGCGCAAACUCUCUCUGUGCAUGACAACAAACAUUACUAAAUAUUAUUGAAUAGCGAGAAAUAAACAUUAGUAAUUCAUAUUGUUACUAGUUAUGAAAAUACCUCUCUCCGCACCUAGACAGAUCCCAUAGUAGGCAAGUCGCCGAUAGAAGACACGUAAGUCCCAAUCAUGUGCUCAUAACCAAAACGUUUUUCAACGCUCACAUAGGGUCGACCAAUAGAGAAUCUCCCAUAUGACCAGAGCUGCAACAAUAGUAGACAUCCAACAAUAGCAGAUUUUCUGGACUUCAACUGACAAGCUUUGCACAGGCCUCUAUACGUAGCCGCUAACAUAGCAGAACCAAAACUCCUGUGCACAAUGUUCUCCGGGCAACGUGCGUCAGCUAUCUCUCGUGCAAUACCAAUGAGUCGUGCAUCAACAGUGGUCACGUGGUUCUCCGUGAACAUCGUCUUGCCGAACAACCACAAAAUAUAUGCCUCUAGGGAUCGGUCAAUCUGUGUCUGUGACAACUCAACGUUGGGAUAUCCUAAGGAGACAAUCUGAAACUGGCUCAACCACCUAAAAAGAGGCCCAUGACGAUCGUUGUCUAGCAACGUAGUAGUUGGCGCCGCAGCCAGAAAACGGGCAUGCAUCGAUGCUAGCCAACCAGUUUCUGCCUCUAAAGGACCUAUGGCAGCACCGGCCAGAGGUAAUCUCAACAAGACACAUCCUGUAAAGUUGGCGCCAUCUCUCCCCUAGAAAAAUGAAAUGUAUGUGUCUCUGGUCUCCAUCUAUCUACUAAGCAGGUAAGGAGUGACCUAUCAUAAGAGAAAUGUGUAACUUGCCUCUUGUGAAACUCCAUUGGUUCACCUCCUGAUACGUCUCCAUCGUAUCUACUUUUCAAAACUCUUUUGCCCUUUUUUUGGACUAUAAUUUGCAUGAUUUGAAUGGAACUAACCUGGACUGACGCUGUUUUCAACAGAAUUGCCUUGGUGUUAUUUUUGUGCAGAAAUCAAAGUUCUCCAAACGUCCUGAAAAUUUACGGGGAGCAGUUAUGGAAAAUAUCAAAAAUAUCUGCGCCAAGUUCCACCUCAUGGGGUGGGCCAGUGGGCCACAAGCCCCUGCUCCGCCACCACCCCCUGGUGGCGGUGGGCAGGCUUGUGGGGCCCACAGACACCUACCGCCCCCAACUCCAGCUCUAUAAGUUGCCUUUCGUCCCAGAAAAAAUAGAAAGAGAAGUUUUCCUCGCGUUUUCGAUGCGGAGGCGCCGCCACCACCUGCUCUUCAUCUGGAGGGCAGAUAUGGAGUCCGUCUUGGGCUCCGGAGAGGGGAAAUCGUCGCCAUCGUCAUCAUCAACCUUCUUCCCUCUCCAAUUCCAUGAAGCUCUUCAUCGUUCGUGAGUAAUCUAUUCGUAGGCUCGCUGGGCGGUGAUGAGUAGGAUGAGAUCUAUCAUGUAAUCGAAUUAGUUUUCAUGGGGAUUGAUACCUAGUAUCCACUAUGUUCUGAGAUUUGAUGUUGCUACUACUUUGCCAUGCUUAAUGCUUGUCAUUAGGGCCUGACUGCCAUGAUUUCAGAUCUGAAAUUAUUAUGCUGUCACCAAUAUAUGUGUGUUGUAGAUCCGAUCUUGCAAGUUGUAGUUACCUACUAUGUGUUAUGAUCCGGCAACCCCGGAGUGACAAUAAUCGGAACCACUCCCGGUGUUGACCAUAGUUUGAGGAGUUCAUAUGUUCACCAAGUGCUAAUGCGUUGGUCCGGUUCUUUAUUAAAAGGAGAACCUUAAUAUCCCGUAGUUUCCUUUUGGACCCCGCUGCCACGGGAGGGAUGGACAACAGAUGUCAUGCAAGUUCUUUUCCCUAAGCACGUAUGACGACACACGGAAUGCAUGCCUGCAUCACAUUGAUGAACGAGAGCUAGCCACAUAUCUCUCCGUGUUAUAGUUGUUGCAUGAUGAAUAUCAUCCAAACAAAUCACCGACCCAUUGCCUACGAGUUUGUCCUACUACUGGUGUUACUUGUCUUGCUCUGCUGCUGCUACUACUAUUGCUACUGCUGUUACUUGUCUUGCUCUGCUGCUGCCACUACUGUUGCUACUGAUGUCACUUGUUCUGCUCUGCUGCUGCUGCUAGUACUGUUGCUACACCCGUUGCUUGCUACUGUUGCUACUUGCUACUGCUGUCACCACUGCUGUUCCUUGCCACUGCCGUUACUCGCUACUUUGUUGUUACUACUGUGCUUGCAGAUACUAAUCUGUCAGGUGUGGUUGAAUCCGACAAAUUCAGCUGCUAAUACUCAAGAGUACUCUCUCACCUCCUUCAGGCGAUCUACAAAUUUGGGUCGAAUACUCUACCCUCGAAAACUGCUGCGAACCCACGCGCUGGUGGGCCAUCAACAACAUUCUUCCAGUUUCAUUGCCGGGGAGUGCUAUCAGCAUUCUUGUGGUGCCGUUGCAGGAGAAGGAUCGUUGUCAUAAGCAUUCGUCUAGCUAACGCCAGAGAUUGCGCGAUCAACAUUUUUCUGGCGCCGUUGCCGGGGAGGUAUUGCUAUAUUCUCUGAGUCACUUGGGAUUUAUAUCUGCUGAUCACUAUGAAGAAUCUGAAGGAUCCGAAGACCAAAGUCUUGCCCUCAACUACGAAGGGAGGUAAGGAAUUGCCAUCUAGCUCUGCACUUGAUUCACCUUCAGUUAUGAGUAAGUUUGCGACAUCACCUCCUGCUAGAAAUCUUGAUAUGUCGCAUGUGCUUAGUGAUGCUUUUGAUACUACUGCUAGAGAUGCUAUGCUUGAUACUAUGCCUGAUGAUACUAUGCUUGAUACUGCUAGAGAUGAUAUGCUUGAUACUAUGCUUGAUAUUGCUAGAGAUGCUAUGCUUGAUACUGCUUUGCCUGAUGAUGCUAGAGAUGCUAUUUUGCGUGAUGAUGCUAUGGUUGAUACUGCUAGAGAUACUCCUUUGCCUGAUGUUCCACUAGGAGUGUUCCUUGAUGCUCAUAUAGCUAGAGUUACUACCAAUGCUCGUGAUGCUUCUGAUACUGCCGAUACUAUUGAGAUAGAACCUGCUUUUGCUCUUGCUAGUUCUAGGUCUCCUAGAUAUGAACUGCCUGAUAUACCUCAGGGUUACGUUAUGGAGGGAGAGAUAGUUGAGGAUUUUCUUGCGUGUAAGGAUGCCUAUGACGCUGAUAAAUUAAUUCUCAAGUGGAAGGAAAAAUCUCGUGAAGCUAGGAUGAAAAAUGACCCGAAGUUUGCCACUUCGCCUAUCUUUGUCACCGAUAAGGAUUAUGAAUUCUCUAUCGACCCUGAGAUAAUCUCUCUAGUCGAAUCUGAUCCUUUUCACGGUUAUGAGUCUGAGACAGUCAUAGCGCAUCUUGCUAAACUAUCCGAAAUAGACAACCUUUUCACUAAUGAGGAGAAGAUCCACCACUACUAUAUCCUUAAGCUGUUUCCUUUCUCUCUAAAGGAUGACGCUAAAGUCUGGUUCACCUCUCUUGCUCCUAGAUGUGUGCGUAGUCCCCAGGAGAUGGUCUAUUACUUCUGUGAGAAAUAUUUCCCUACCCAUAAGAAGCAAGCUGCCUUGCAGGAAAUAUACAACUUUGCUCAACUCCAAGAAGAGANNNNNNNNNNNNNNNNNNNNNNNNNNNNNNNNNNNNNNNNNNNNNNNNNNNNNNNNNNNNNNNNNNNNNNNNNNNNNNNNNNNNNNNNNNNNNNNNNNNNAUGAAGAAGCAAUGGUGGGCCCAGAUUCCAACAAAUGGCUAGAAGCCAUGAAAUCCGAGAUAGGAUCCAUGUAUGAGAACAAAGUGUGGACUUUGGAGAUACUACCUGAGGGUCGCAAGGCUAUUCAGAACAAAUGGAUCUUUAAGAAGAAGACGGACGCUGACGGUAAUGUGACCGUUUAUAAAGCUCGACUUGUGGCAAAGGGUUUUUAACAAGUUCCAGGAGUUGACUACGAUGAGACCUCACCCGUAGCGAUGCUUAAGUCCGUUAGAAUCAUGUUAGCAAUAGCUGCAUUUUUCGAUUAUGAAAUCUGGCAGAUGGAUGUCAAAACGGCGUUCCUUAACGGUUUCCUUAAGGAAGAGUUGUAUAUGAUGCAACCCGAAGGUUUUGUCGAUCCUAAAAAUGCUGACAAGGUAUGCAAGCUCCAGCGAUCCAUUUAUGGACUGGUGCAAGCAUCUCGGAGUUGGAACAAACGCUUUGAUGAGGUGAUCAAAGCAUUUGGGUUUAUACAAGUGGUUGGAGAAUCUUGUAUUUACAAGAAAGUGAGUGGGAGCUCUGUGGCGUUUCUAAUAUCAUAUGUGGAUGACAUAUUACUGAUUGGAAACAACGUAGAGUUUUUGGAGAGCAUAAAAGGUUACUUGAAUAAAAGUUUCUCUAUGAAGGACCUAGGAGAAGCUGCUUACAUUCUAGGCAUUAAGAUCUAUAGGGAUAGAUCAAAACGCCUGAUAGGACUUUCACAAAGCACAUACCUUGAUAAAGUUUUGAAGAGANNNNNNNNNNNNNNNNNNNNNNNNNNNNNNNNNNNNNNNNNNNNNNNNNNNNNNNNNNNNNNNNNNNNNNNNNNNNNNNNNNNNNNNNNNNNNNNNNNNNUUGAUGGUGAGCAAGACCACUAGUUUCAAGAGAAACGGCAAAGGAAAGAAGGGCAAUUCGAAGAAGAGCGGCAAGCCUGUUGCCAAUCCGCCGAAGAAGCCCAAAGCUGGACCUAAGCCUGAAACAGAGUGCUUCUAUUGCAAGGGUAUGGGUCACUGGAAGCGCAAUUGCCCCAAGUAUCUGGCAGAUAAGAAGGCGGGCAAAGAAAAAUCAGGUAUAUUUGAUAUACAUGUUAUUGAUGUGUAUUUAACCGGCUCUCGUAGUAGUGCAUGGGUAUUUGAUACCGGUUCUGUUGCUCACAUUUGCAACUCGAAGCAGGAACUGCGGAAUAGACGAAGGCUGGCGAAAGACGAAGUGACGAUGCGCGUAGGAAACGGUUCCAAGGUUGAUGCAAUCGCCGUCGGCACAGUGUCACUUCAGCUACCAUCGGGAUUAGUGAUGAACUUAAAUCAUUGUUAUUUAGUGCCUGCGUUGAGCAUGAACAUUAUAUCUGGAUCUUGUUUAUUGCGAGACGGUUACUCUUUUAAGUCUGAGAAUAAUGGUUGUUCUAUUUCUAUGAGUAACAUCUUUUAUGGUCAUGCACCGAAUGUGAGAGGAUUGUUCAUAUUGAAUCUUGAUAGCGGUACGCAUAUAGAUAACAUUGAGACCAAAAGAGUUAGAGUAAACAAUGAUAGCGCCAUAUUUUUGUGGCACUGCCGCUUGGGUCAUAUUGGUGUAAAGCGCAUGAAGAAACUCCAUGCUGAUGGACUUUUGGAGUCACUUGACUUCGAUUCACUUGACACGUGCGAACCAUGCCUUAUGGGCAAGAUGACUAAGACUCCGUUCUCCGGAACAAUGGAGCGUGCAAGUGACUUGUUGGAAAUCAUACAUACCGAUGUGUGUGGUCCAAUGAGCGUGGAGGCACGCGGCGGAUAUCGUUAUUUUCUCACCUUCACUGACGAUUUAAGUAGAUNNNNNNNNNNNNNNNNNNNNNNNNNNNNNNNNNNNNNNNNNNNNNNNNNNNNNNNNNNNNNNNNNNNNNNNNNNNNNNNNNNNNNNNNNNNNNNNNNNNNUAAUGACGUGGUCCCGUUAUCAAGUGACAACACUUGUUCAUAAUCAGAAGACACUGACUAUCAUCGAUCAACUGGCUAGCCAACUAGAGGCAUGCUAGGGACGGUGUUUUGUCUAUGUAUCCACACAUGUAAAUGAGUCUUCAUUCAAUACAAUUAUAGCAUGGAUAAUAAACUAUUAUCUUGAUACAGGAAUUAUAAUAAUAACUAUACAUUUAUUAUUGCCUCUAGGGCAUAAUUCCAACACAAACAGUACCCGACUGAAGCAGGCUGUAUAAAACUAAGGGUUAAUAGNNNNNNNNNNAUCUAGGGCAUAAUUCCAACAGUCUCCCACUUGCACUAGACUCAAUAAUCUAGCCCUCACAUCACCAUGUGAAUUACAUUGUAAUAAAUCUAACACCCAUACAGUUCUGGUGUCGAUCAUGUUUUGGCCGUGGAAGAGGUUGAGUCAGCGGGUCUGCUACAUUCAGAUCCGUGUGCACUUUGCAUAUAUUUACGUCCUCCUCCUCGACGUAGUCGCGGAUGAGGUUGAAGCGUCGUUUGAUGUGUCUGGUCUUCUUGUGAAACCUUGGUUCCUUUGCUAAGGCAAUGGCACCAGUGUUGUCACAGAACAAGGUUAUUGGAUCCAGUGCACUUGGCACCACUCCAAGAUCCGUCAUGAACUGCUUCAUCCAGACACCCUCCUUAGCCGCCUCCGAGGCAGCCAUGUACUCCGCUUCACAUGUAGAAUCUGCUACGACGCUUUGCUUGGAACUGCACCAGCUUACUGCACCCCAUUAAGAAUAAAUACNNNNNNNNNNNNNNNNNNNNNNNNNNNNNNNNNNNNNNNNNNNNNNNNNNNNNNNNNNNNNNNNNNNNNNNNNNNNNNNNNNNNNNNNNNNNNNNNNNNNAUACCUCUCGAUCCGGGUGUUCUUCUGAAAGAUAAACUUCAACUCCUGGAACAUCUCAAAUGCUCCAUGACGCUCAAAGCGACGUUGAAGUCCCGGUUCCAAGCCAUACAAGACUGCACAUUGAACUAUUGAGUAGUCCUCCUUACGUGCUAACCAAGCGUUCUUAACAUCCUGAUCAGCCGUAGCGGGUGGUUCAUCUCCUAGCGCAGCAUUCAGGACAUAAUCCUUCUUUCCAGCUUGUAAGAUUAGCUUAAGAUUACGAGCCCAGUCUACAAAGUUGCUUCCAUCAUCUUUCAACUUAGCUUUCUCUAGGAACGUAUUAAAAGUCAGGAUGACACUUGCGUGAGCCAUGAUCUACAACACAAAUAUAUUCAAAGUGGACUUAGACUAUGUUCAAGAUAAUUAGAGUUCAACUUAAUCAAAUUAUAUGCUAAACUCCCACUCAAAAAGUACAUCUCUCUAGUCAUUUGAGUGGUUCAUGAUCCACUUACACUAUCCCAAGUCCGAUCAUCACGUGAGUUGAGUAUAGUUUCAGUGGUAAGCAUCCCUNNNNNNNNNNNNNNNNNNNNNNNNNNNNNNNNNNNNNNNNNNNNNNNNNNNNNNNNNNNNNNNNNNNNNNNNNNNNNNNNNNNNNNNNNNNNNNNNNNNNCCGGCCGCCGCCCGCCCUCCGCCCGCAGCAGGCUGGACGCCUCUCCUCCACCUCCUCCCGCGCGCGCCCCCCGGCCGCCGCUCGCCCCUCCACCUCCUCCCCCCCGCGGCCUGCCCCUGGUAACCUGCGCCCGCCUGAUUAUUGUUUUCUUCAAACCGUUAUUGAGAUGAUGAAAAUUAUGAUAUGUGAAAUGACAGUUUUAAAGGCACCGUCCUGUUUUCCAACUAUUAAAAAUGUCAAAAAAAUGUCAAUUUUCAACUGUUAAACUGAUUUUAGGAUUUGAGCGCACUAGUAGCAGCGAUUCUCUUAUUCUUCUUCCCCACCCAUCCUCUUCACCCCCGCUCUCAUUCCCAUUCCCCGCACCCCUCAAUUGCAUCGGAGCAUUAUUUUUGCUAAAUGGUCCCUUCACAGGAUCUUAUGUAUGUACCAGAGCAUCUACAGCCGGCCCCUGGAUCUGGAACCCGAGUGGAUACCCAUCCCAUCCGGAUCCGGAUCUUGACCGACCCCUUCCCCCGCCGGCGACGAGCCCUAGCUAGCUCGGACCAGUCCUGGUGCGAGAGGCCACCGGCGGCAAGGCUGCGUGCGGUGGCGGAGCAUGCACUGCGAGCGCUCUACUCGGAUCUGACCGAACCCCGUCGCCGCGCCCGUCCCGCUCGCCGUGGCCGAUGAUCGCGCGCGUCGGCUGGGGCCGCGUCCCUCCCCAGAUGGCGGCGAUGAUGGAGGGAGCCGCCGGCACCAGCCCCCUCCCGCCUCGCCGGACCGCGCAUCGGCUUGGAGGCCCCUCGGGACUGCCGCCGGUGCGGGGGGGCGUCCGCGGCCUUGCGGGCUGGGGACCGAGCGGGAUCUGAGCCGCCGUCGAUGGAUUUCUCGCAGCCUGGCUUCGUUUUUCUUUGGAUCCGGUGCGUGCGUGCGUGCAAGCUCUCUCUCUCUCUCUCUCUCGGUGCGUGCGUGCGCGCAGUUCACACCACUAGACCCAAACCCUAAACCAAAUCAGGGGAGCUCUCGUUGCCGGAUCGCUGGCCUAUCGUCCGGAUGUCCGCCGCGUCAGUUCCCCACAGCUACGGUGCCGCCAGCCACCGCCGUUCCAUUGCCUUGGAUUCGGCUGUGCUCGUGGGCUGGGAACCGUGCUCUGUUGUCUGAUGCGUCGUUGGAGCGGGAGGUUUGAUCGGUCGAGGCCAGGUAUGAGCAGCUCCUUUGCUGGCUGGAUGGAUGGAUGUAGGUCAUAUGUCGUGAACUAACACCACGACACCUCUUUUGGAACGGAGGGAGUAUGUAUGUACGUAUGGAUGUCAUGGUCAUGUUGCUUGGGGGUUCAACCUCUUUUUGCGUUAGGGUUCACUUCGUGUGUUCUUUCGCUCCAGGGGUCAUUUUUGUCAAUUUUGCCCCCCUCCCCAUUAUUUUUGCUAAAUGGCCCCUUCACAGGAGUAUGUAGCAGAGCAUCUACAGCCAUACAUGGAUCUGGAACCGGAGCGGAUACCCAUCCGGGUCCAGAUCUCGACCGACCCCUUCUCCCGCUGGUGACGAGCCCCUAGCUAGCUAGCUCGGACCAGCCCGGCUGCGAGAGGCCACCGGUGGCAUGGCUGCGUGCGGCGGCAAGGCCGCGUGUAAUGCGAGCGCUCUACUUGGAUCUGUCCGAAUCCUGGCGAGCCCUGUCUCCCGCUCGCCGUGGCCGCUGAUCGCGCUCGUCGGCUGGGGCCGCGUCCCUCCUCAUACGGCGGCGAUGAUGGAGGGAGCCGCCGGCGCNNNNNNNNNNNNNNNNNNNNNNNNNNNNNNNNNNNNNNNNNNNNNNNNNNNNNNNNNNNNNNNNNNNNNNNNNNNNNNNNNNNNNNNNNNNNNNNNNNNNAUUUAAGCGGGACUUCGAAAAUUUCCAACCCAAUUCGUCCAUUACUCUUCUUCCUCUCGUUCUCCUACCCGACGCGGCACAGCGACGAACGUAACCGACGCCGUCACGCUGCCCGCCGUCCUGCUCGCCGUCGGCCAUCCUCCUUGCCGCCGCGCCGUCCUCCUCGCCGUCGCGCCGUCCUCCUCGCCGCCUCGCCGUCCUCCUCGCCGUCGCUCCGUCCUCCUCGCCGUCGCGCCGUCCUCCUCGCCAACACUCCGGCCAGUAAGCCCCCCGCCCCCUCCUCCCCAACACUCCGGCCAGUAUAGAAGAAAAGAUGAAAAAGGAGAAGAGAAGAAGAAAAAGGAGAACAAAGGAAGAAAAAGGAGAACAAAAGAAGAAAAAGGAGAAGAAAAGAAGAAAAAGAAAAGAUUUUUUUGUCAUUUAGUUCCUAUUGUUUUUAGGUUUGUGCUAAAUUAUUAGGGUUAGUAAUAUUUAGAAUUAGGUUAGGGUUACAAGAAGAAGAAAUAUGAACAAAAAUAAGAAAAUAAGAUUAGGAAAAAUGAAAAUAAGAAGAGGAGGAGAAGAAAAGAAGAAAAAGUGUAUAUUGUAUAGUGUAUAUGCUUAAGUGUAUAGUGUAUAUAGUGUAUAGUGUAUAAGGAGAGGAGGAAUUUUGCUAUAGUGUAUAUAGUGUAUAGUGUAUAAGAAAAGAAGAAAAGAAGAGGAGGAGAAGAGAAGAAAAGAAGAGGAGGNNNNNNNNNNNNNNNNNNNNNNNNNNNNNNNNNNNNNNNNNNNNNNNNNNNNNNNNNNNNNNNNNNNNNNNNNNNNNNNNNNNNNNNNNNNNNNNNNNNNAUGAUUGAUUCAGGUUUCAAAGACGAGUUUGAUACACUUGUUCACAAUGUUGGACUUGAAGAAUUCAUCUCCGAUAAAUGUGAAUAGUAUACUACUCUCACUGCCUCUUUUGUUCGUAGAUUUAAAAUUUUAGCUGGCCGUGACACAUCAGUACUGUUUGAUCUCUAUGACAAAUCGUAUACCAUGGAUUUAGAGGAUUUCAAUAGAAAUUGCAAGAUACCUGAUUGGGGUAGUCUCAAUGAUCCUCCUAAAUCUUCGGUUAGAGAUUUUUUCUCUAGUACAACUGUUGGAAAAACUAGAGAUAUUACGCAGACUACCAUGGGGAGCAUUCAUUUUCCUGCCUUGCAUUACUUUGCCUUCUUCAUAGGUAGAUGCAUUAACGGCAAGAUUGAGAAUUGUCACCUCUGCGCACCCGACCUUAGUAUUCUUAAGAGCGCAGUAACGGGUGAUAGAAGUUUCAACAUGGGAGCUAUAAUCACGAGGAGGCUAAAUUAUAAUGCUAAUGAAGGGGAUUUCUUUGGUGGGAUCUAGCCACUCGCAUAGCAAAUUUUCUUGGAGUACCCAUCUGCGAAGGAGAUCCCCCGCUCCAUACAACUUUCCUUGAUCGUGCCGCUAUGACACGCUAUCAGUUCCUUGAGAGGGAUAAUGAAUCCCUCCUAUACCGGUUAAUAUUUAACCGACAGCGUGUUUUCCAUAUCACCCUUCCUGCUCCUGCCUUCUUUGACUUUCAGGUAAAACAAAGAUAUUACAUAACCAGAGGAGAGGCACAGGAGUAUGAGAGGGAGGCAAAGGCUGCUCACCUCCGUGAGGCAGAUAUUCAGGCAGUGGCUGCCGCGUUCCCGUACAACCCCCAUUAUGAUUUUGGAUAUCGCCCGGACCAGCCAUGGGAGUAGACCAACUUAGGCCAAAAGCCUAAGCUUGGGGGAGUACGUGUUUCUCACCGACUUUAUAUUCUUGUUCACACUUUCACUUUGUUAGUCGGUGUUCACACUUUGCCACUGUAUCAUCCAUGCUAGUUUAUUUAUUUUUCUCGCUUUCUUCUCGUGUGUUUAUCUAGUUUGAGAAAACCCCAAAAGAUUUGUCGUUCUUCUUUUGCUUGUUGGGAGCUUUCCCGUGUAAAUAGUUUUCUUUUUCUUUGGGUCAAGGUAGAAGACCAUGGUUACAAUGUUUAGUGGCUCUCGCAUGCAUAUCUAUUUAUCUGUCAAAGAGCCAUAUUGCUUUGUCUUCUUCUUUGUGUUUGCUUGCAGAUUCCAGCUUAGUCCAAUGCACGAGCACUCUUAUUAUUGUUCACAUCAUUCGGUCGUGCAAGUGGAAGGCAAUAAUGACGAUAUAUGAUGAAGUGACUGAGCCUGGAAAAGCUGGUAUGAACUCGAUCUAUUUUGUUUUUGUAAAUAUGACUAGCUCAUCAUUCCUGAUUCAGCUUUGUUAUGAGAGAGGCAUGUUUGCAAUGACAACUUAGAGAUCAUAGUUUCUGAUGCCAUGCUUAAUUAGCUAGGAGCUUAUAAUGGUUUGUCUUGGAUGCCAACAUGAAUUUUGAGAUGAUUAUGAUGUAGUAUGAUAGGAUGGUAUCCUCCUUUGAAUGAUUCAAGUGGCUUGACUUGGUGCAUGUUUACGCAUGUAGUUGAAACAAAAUCAACAUAGCCUAUAUGAUAUUCAUGUUCAUGGUGAUUUAUGUCCUACUCAUGCUUGCACCCAAUGUUGGUUAAUCUCAAUGCAUUUUGAUGACUGUUGUCGCUCUCUAGUUGGUCGCUUCCUAGUCUUUUGCUAGCCUUCACUUGUACUAAGUGGGAAUACUACUUGUGCAUACACUUCCAUAAAUCCAAAGUUGUUCCAUAUAUAUGAGUCCACCAUACCUACCUAUAUGCGGUAUCUACCUGCCGUUCCAAGUAAAUUUGCAUGUGCCACUCUCUAAACCUUCAAGAAAUAAUCUGUUUUGCAUGCCCGAACCGCUCAUGUGGCGACAAGGGGCGAUCAGUAUCUUCCAUGCUAGGCCUGUUAUCCUCGAUAUGUGUUUAUUCACUAUCAUUCACGAGAAAGGGGCCGGUAAUGGGAAUGCCCAGUUCCAUGCUUAAAUCGAAAAGAUAAUUGCAAACAAAACUCCCCCUAGAUUGUUGUUGGUAUGGACGGCACCCGAGUAUUCGGCUAGUCGUGGAGUGUGAUUGAUCGGUGGUGGGCGAGUCAAAACUUUACUUUUCUGUUUGGGAACCGCCUAUAGUAUGUGUAGCAUGAAAGAUGGUGAAAACUCUUGGUCAUUGCAUUGACAAUGAAAGCAUGCCACCCAAAAUUAUUUAUCUCUGUUUUCAAAGCAUGAGCUCUCGCACCUCUGCAAAUCAAUGCCUCCCUCUGCGAAGGGCCUGUCUAUUUAUGUUUCUGUUGAGUCAUCCUCCUCUUAUAAAAGCACCAAUUAGAGAGCACCUCUUUCAUUUGUAUGCUUUGCUUUUAAUUGAUAUUGAGUAUGACUGUGACUGGAUCUUCUUUGCCAUGAAUUACAAUAUUCAGUCAGCCCUUGGUCUUUGAAGGUGCUCUGCAUUUAUGUUUUGCGGUCUGAAAAAGAGCUAGCUAGAUACCAUCUGUUCAUAUUGCUUCAUGAUUGUUUUGAUUGAAGUGUUGACGUUUGAAACUUAUUAUUAUUGCUCGCUAGUUGAUUAUGCCAUUGAUAUGAGUUCCUCUUGAGAUUAAAUGUCAUUGCUUAUGUGGUUAGCUUAUGAUCUUGCUGAAAAUCUGAAUAUGAGUUAGACAUAAUUGCAUCAACAAGAUCAAACAUAGUUCGUAAAAGUUUUUCUUUUGUCUCUUUCAGUUUGUCAACUGAAUUUCUUGAGGACAAGCAAGGCUUUAAGCUUGGGGGAGUUGAUACGUCUCCGUCGUAUCUACUUUUCCAAACUCUUUUGCUCUUGUUUUGGACUCUAAUUUGCAUGAUUUGAAUGGAACUAACCCGGACUAACGCUGUUUUCAGCAGAAUUGCCAUGGUGUUGUUUUUGCGCAGAAAUAAAAGUUCUCGGAAUGACCUGGAAAUUUACGAGGAUAUUUUGUGGAAUAUAAAAAAAAUACUGGCGCAAGAAUCAACCAGAGGAGUGGAGCGAGGAGCCCACAAGCCCACCAGGCGUGGCCUCCCUGGCCGUGCCUAGCAGGCUUGUGGGCCCCUUGGAGCUCCACCGCCUCCAACUCCAGCUCUAUUUAGUCCCUUUCGUGCGGAAAAAAAUCAAGGAGAAGAUUUCAUAGCGUUUUACGAUACGGAGGCGCCGGCACCUCCUGUUCUUCCUCUUGAGGGCAGAUCUGGAGUCCGUUCUGGGCUCCGGAGAGGGGAGAUCAUCGCCAUCGUCAUCACCAACCUUCCUUCAUCGUCGAUUCCAUGAUGCUCUUCACCGUUCGUGAGUAAUCUCAUCGUACGCUUGCUGGACGGUGAUGGGUUGGAUGAGAUCUAUCAUGUAAUCGAGUUAGUUUUGAUGGGGAUUGAUCCCUAGUAUCCACUAUGUUCUGAGAUUGAUGUUGCUACUACUUUGCCAUGCUUAAUGCUUGUCACUAGGGCCCGAGUGCCAUGAUUUCAGAUCUGAACCUAUUAUGUUGUCGCCAAUAUAUGUGUGUUUUAGAUCCUAUCUUGCAAGUUGCAGUCACCUACUAUGUGUUAUGACCCGGCAACCCCGGAGUGACAAUAGCCGGAACCACUACCGGAGAUGACCAUAGUAUGAGGAGUUCAUUUAUUCACCGCGUGUUAAUGCGUUGGUCCGGUUCUUUAUUAAAAGGAGAACCUUAAUAUCCCGUAGUUUCCAUUAGGACCCCGCUGCCACGGGAGGGAUGGACAAUAGAUGCCGUGCAAAUUCUUUUCCCUAAGCACGUAUGACUACAUACGGAAUACAUGCCUAUAUUAGAUUGACGAACGGGAGCUAGUUACAUAUCUCUCCGUGUUAUAGCUGUUACAUGAUGAAUCACAUCCGUCACACUCAUCCAUCACCGAUCCAUUGUGUGCGAGUCUUUUACUACUGGUUCUCGCUGCGUUACUUUGUCUAAGCUUGUCCCUAGCUACAAAAGGAUUGGGCCACUUUGCUGCUGCUGUCACUACUGCUGUUACUUGUUACUUUGCUGCUGCUGUCACUACUGCUGUUACUUGUUACUCCGCUGUUACUUUUGCAAGACUUUGUUGGCGCUAACAUCCCGUCAACAAGGCUUUUUCUGGCGCCGUUGCCGGGGAUUGUCAAAGCUUUUUCUGGCACCGUUGCUAUCGUACUACCUUGCUACUGAUACUUUGCUUGCAGACACAAAUCUUUCAGGUGUGGUUGAAUUAACAACUCAGCUGCUAAUACUUGAGAAUAUUCUUUAGCUUCCCCUUGUGAGCGAAUCAAUAAAUUUACUAGCAUGCUUCAUCAAUCCUACGCAAUCAACAAAGGUGGUCUAACUUGAGGAGCCCAAGAUCAUCAUCGUGAUUUAGCUCAAGUGGAGUAUGCGCAAGGCAAAGGUUUUACCUUGAUAGGUUUUCUAUUUUGCUUGUCUCAUGGUGUCAGUUGGGAGCCUGGUUCUCGCGCUUCACCAGCUACCUGUACGGCCUCAAGCAGGCGCCGCGAGCCUGGUUCNNNNNNNNNNNNNNNNNNNNNNNNNNNNNNNNNNNNNNNNNNNNNNNNNNNNNNNNNNNNNNNNNNNNNNNNNNNNNNNNNNNNNNNNNNNNNNNNNNNNUCAGCAGUUCAAAGCAUUCUGAGUAUGUAAAGCAUAAAACGGCUCAACAUCCAGUUCGCUAUGAGCAUAUCUCAUAAGUGUCGAAUUUGAUAACAUAUACUCCCUCCGUCCCAAAUAAGUGUCGCAAAUUUUGUACCAAGGUACAAAUUUAAUACUAAAGCAGCGACACUUAUUUUGGGACGGAGGGAGUAUUACAGUGAGAUCCCAAUACUGCUAUAAAUCAUUUACAGAUUGAGAAGAUUAUACAUAAGCACAUAACCACAAAUUGUAGAAAGAGAGGUCAUAUUUAAAAAGAAAAUGGGAGGCUCAGAGUUGGCCCAGUCUAUCAUAUGGGCAAAACCAACUCUGUAUCCGAUCCACUGUGUGACAAUUCGGUAUUGAAAUGGUAGCUCACAGAAAGCAAGCUCUCCCGAUUUGCACGCUUACACCUGGUCACACAAAACCCUAACCCUAAACAAUACCAUGAAAACAAGCGAUGGUAUCUGAUCUCAGUACCACCUCUAAAUGAGCCUUACUCAUCAUCGCCAUCAACAGCACUUGGCAAAAUCACAAAGAGAAUAGCAGAGAAGCCAAUAGUCAAAGAGCGCAAGAUGACCAUAAACCACAGGAGAAUCGGUGAAAGCAGAAAGAAACACUACAUCAGGAGCAAGUCAUGAACUGGUAGACACAAAAACCGGGACAUGUAAAAGUAAAUGGCUCAGAUAUACCACCAUCUUGACACCAUGAGUGAACAUCUUAUAUUUGUGAACGGAGGGAGUAAUAGUUAGCCGCUGAACUGGUUACUUGCUAUGACACAAGCCAUCCUAGUUUAGCACCAAGUAAUCAAUUCAGGUGUUGGACAGAAGCUCUCGCAGGGAAGCUAUAUCAUCAUAGCCAUUCAUAAACAUUACAUGAAGGAAACAGUAAUCUUAACUUGCCCUAUACGACCCUUAAGUUGAAACCAGUAAAGAAGUAACGAGAAACCAAAGGUACAAACUGAUAAGUAGAUAAAGAGUACAGCAGAAGAAUGAAUUUAUCAAGUCAAAUAGCAAUUGAAACAAGCAAACUGACCCAACACCAAAUAAGAUAGUUUCAAGAACAAUCCAACGGACAGCGGAGUUAUCAUAGCCAUUCAGGAAAAAAGAAGAACAGAAGACAACAAUAAGUGCGGCUAGAGUACUGUUCCCAAAACAACAGAACUGGUUGACGUACCGCAAAACCAAUAAAAUGUGUAGGAAAAAAUUGAAUAAUCAAAGANNNNNNNNNNAUAAGGGUCAAAAUUAGGUCGGAUAAGAUACAGAACAUCUACAGCUAAGUACAGUAUCAGCAGCUGGAAGGCCAUUAGAGCUCACAAGAGAGAAGAGAUGGUAAUUACGAUUUAAGGGCCUCUUUGGAACGCAAGUGUAGUUUCAUAUGUAUUCCCUCCACAUUCAGUAAGAGCUCAAGCGGAGAGGGAUUCAAAGUUCCCAGCCACAGCAGGUCAUGUCCAGCGGAACUGAAUUGUGAAAAUUCCAUCAGGUAGUACACCCAAAUUCCCAGCCGCCCCACGAUCCACACCGCAAGCCGCCAGCCCCUGAUGUUUCAUCUGCGGCGGCUGCCCGAGGGAGGGAGGGAGGGUCCAAAACAAAAUGCAAUUAAAAGGUGAAAAAUUGAUGGUUCAGUUUUGUCUUUCAUCUUCAAACCCAGCACUCACUCUCUUGCUGCAUAAUCCACCCAUCAUGAUGUAAUAGAACUGCCCUGGUUAUCACUCAUCAGAACGACCGUCCGAGGCACAGAACAUACAACAUCAUAGAUGAAUUGAACAGGCUGCAAGAGAGGUAAGGGUGAGCCGGAAUCGGUGACCCUUGUUCUGUGAGAUAAUCUAAGACAGCCAAGCGCUCAUUCUGGUCAAACACAAUAAGGUCCAUGACAGCCUUAUACAAGCCAGGAUGUGUUUCAGCAUGACAGGUGUUGUUGAUGGCACGUGCAAUCUCACGCAUAGCAUCAGUCAUGUUGCUACACUGGAUAGUCUUCCUUAGUCAAAACAGAUGUCCUCUUUCUCUUCUUAGUUGAAGUAGGUGAAGGAUCCUGAGUGGCACUAGCAGUAGGAAGUACAAAGUUAGAUCCACUAGGAACAUGUUCAAAUACCUCAUCAGUUGUUCCUUGUCCCUCCAUGACUUUGGAUUUGUCUUUGGCUUCCACAACAAUAGGUUUUCCCAGUGGGACACCAGUGGCCAUUGCAUAACCCCCCGAGCAAGCAAUAUUUGGCAUAGAUAGCUGCUGGUUGGUGAGUGAACAGAGGAGAUGAGAGGGAGGGAGAUUGGAGGAAAGAGGAGGGAGGACGGCGGCGGAGCUACCUUGGGCUCGGUCAGGGCCGAGCAGGAACCGCGUCGCAGCCUGGGGCGAGGCCGGCGGCGGAGCUGUCUUUGAUCGCUCAAGGAAUGAUUAUUUCAGCCAGAGUCAUCAUCAUCGCCCCUCAUUUUUUUCCCCAAAAGGAGGUUGAUCUCCCGACUGGGCUCUACACACCAAGCAACAUGACCACGAUACCCAUUACAUGCAUGCAAACAUCCAUCCAUCCAUCCUCUUUAAUUACUUGUCACACCACCUUUUUUGCGUAUGUGGCUUGUAUGUUACUCCCCUUCCAUAAUUCCUGUUGUGGUUUAAGUUACUCCCACUAUGACUAGUCUCAGUCUCAGGAGCUGCUCAUGCCCAGCGUCAGCUGACCAAACCUCCGGCUCAUAUGACACAUCAGACAACACUGUACUGUUCCCAGCCCACGCCACAACCAAAUCCAAGGCAACGGAAUGGCGGUGGCUGGCAGCACCGUAGAUUCGGGGAACUGAUGUGGCAGCCACCCAGACGACAGAGUCAGCGAGUCGGCAAUGAGAGCUUGACUGAUUUGUUUUAGAGUUUGAGAGAGAGAGAGAGAGAGAGANNNNNNNNNNGGCUCUAAGGGCAUCUCCAACGAGGUCACCGAUUCCGGCUCUAAUUAGUACCCACACACCACAGCUGUCUUGAUUGCUCAAGGCAUGAUUAUGUCGGCCGGUGACAUCAUCAUCGCCCCUCAUUUUUUUCCCAAAAAGGAGGUUGAUCCCUCGGCUGGGCUCUAUACACCAAGCAACAUGACCACGAUACCCAUUACAUGCAUGCACACAUCCAUCCAUCCAUCCUCUUUAAUUACUUGUCACACCACCUUUUUUGCGUAUGUGGCAUGUAUGUUACUCCCUCCGUUACAUAAUUCCUGUUGUGGUUUUAGUUCAAGUUCAAAUUGAACUAAAACCUAAGUUACUCCCACCUAUGACUAGUCUCAGUCUCAGGAGCUGCUCAUGCCCGGCAUCAGCUGACCAAACCUCCGGCUCAUUCGACACAUCAGACAAUACUGUACGGUUCCCAGCCAACCCCACAACCAAAUCCAAGGCAAUGGAAUGGCAGUGGCAGGCAGCACCGUAGAUUCAGGGAACUGAUGUGGCAGCCACCCAGACGACGGGUCAGCGAGUCGGCAAUGAGAGCUUGACUGGUUUGUUCUUCUUCUUCUUCUUCGCAGGGAGGGAGAGAGAGAGAGAGAGAGAGAGAGNNNNNNNNNNGAACAAAAUGCAACUGAACCGAGUUUAUGUAACGUAGCAAGAGAGGGCUCAGUUUUGCAUUUCAUCUUCAAACCCAACACUCACAUCUCUUGCAGCAUAAUCCACCCAUCACAAUGUAAGAGAACUGCCCUGGUUAUCACUCAUCAGAACGACCGUCCAAGGCACAGAACAUCCAACAUUGGCGAUGAAUUGGACAGGCUGCAACAGAGGUAAGGGUGGGCUCUAAGAGCAACUCCAACACAGACACCAAUUUUCAGGCACUAUUUAGUCCCACCUCGCCAUGGCUGUCUUGAUGUCUCAAGACAUGAUUAUUUCAGCCACAGUAAUCAUCAUCGGCAUCGCCCCUCUUUUUUAAUCCAAAAAGAGGUUGAACCCCAAAGCAACAUGACCAUGAUAUCCAUACAUACAUAUGUACUCCCUCCGUUCCAAAAUAUACUCCCUCUGUUCGAGAUAAGUAUCGUGGCUUUAGUUCACGACACAUGACCUGCAUUCAUCCAUCCUGCUAACUCUACCGUUCAAACAGGGCCUUCAUCACACAGUAGCACUAACUUUAACCUCUAACCUCUAGCUAAGUUAGAGUAUCCAAACAGGGCCUUCAUCACACAGUAGCAUCCAUCCAUCCAUCAAACUGGUCAUAGUGGUGAGUAACUUAGACAGUCUCAGGAGCUGCUCAUACCUAACGUCAGCCGACCAAACCUCCGCCUUGAACGACACAUCGGAACAAAACUCUACGGUUCCCAGCCCACGCCACAACCGAAUCCAAGGCAGUGGAAUGGCAGGCUGGCAGCACCGUGGCAACAGGGAACUGAUGUGGCAGCCACCCGGACGGUGGGUCAGCGAGUUGGCAACGAGAGCUUGACUGAUUUGUUUUAGGGUUAAAGAGAGAGAGAGAGAGAGAGAGAGAGAGUGGAGGGAUGCCAGCACUGGCCAUGUGGGUGACAGUGUCGUUGGCCAGCCUGGUGCGUGGACUCGGGGUCCGAGCGACGGCUCCGGAUUUGGUUGCUGGGUUGCUGGGUGUCGGCUCUAGUUGCUCCCUCUGUUCCAAAGUAUACUCCCUCCGUUCCAGAUAAGGCUGGUCGUAAUAGAGAGUAUCAUAUACUAGUAUUAUGCAUAUGAUACUACAUCCGUAAUGCAUAUUAUAAUCUGUUAAUAGUAUCAUAGGGUGGUUCAUUUAUUGCCAUGCAUGACACAUACUCAACUUCAUUUAAUUCUAUGAAGAAUCAUCAAAAUUGCCUACUUAUGAUACUCCCAUUACAAACAGCCUAAGUAUCGUGGUGUUAGUUCACGACACAUGACCUGCAUCCAUCCAUCCAGCCAGCUCAGGAGCUGCUCAUACCUGGCCUCGACCGACCAAACCUCCCGCUCCAACGACGCAUCAGACAACAGGGAACGGUUCCCAGCCCACGCGCACAGCCGAAUCCAAGGCAAUGGAACGGCGGUGGCUGGCGGCACCGUNNNNNNNNNNNNNNNNNNNNNNNNNNNNNNNNNNNNNNNNNNNNNNNNNNNNNNNNNNNNNNNNNNNNNNNNNNNNNNNNNNNNNNNNNNNNNNNNNNNNUGGCCCUCCUCCCCCUGCUGCCCUCCUCCCCCUGUGGCCUCUCCUCCCCCUGCGGCCCUCCUCCCCCUUUCGGUUAGUUUUUUUCUUCUUUUUUUUAAUAGUUUUUGCCUAAUUAGUUAUAUGUUUUAGUGAGGUUUUGGCUUAGUUUUAGUUUAGUUCAGGUUUAGUUUUAGUUUAGGUUUAGUUAGGUUAGUUUCCUGUUUAGUAAAGGAGAAAAGGAGAAGAAGAAGAAGGAGAAAGGAGAAGAUGAAGAAGGAGAAAGGAGAAGAUGAAGAAGGAGAAAGGAGAAGAAGAAGAAGGAGAAAGGAGAAGAACAAGAAGGAGAAAGGAGAAGACAAAAAUAAGAAGAAGAAGGAAAAGAAGAAGAAGGAAAGGGAAGGGAAGGAGAAGAAAGAAGAAGAAGAAGAAGAAGAAAAAUAGGAGAGGAAGAGAAGAAUAAGAGGAAAAAACAAAAUAAGAAGAAGAAGAAGAAGAAGAAGAAGAAGAAGAGAAGAAGAAAACAAGAAGAAGGAGAAGAAGAAUAAGAGGAAAAAAGAAAAAAGAAAAUAGGAAUAAUAAUAAUAAUAAUAAUAAUAAUAAUAAUAAUAAUAAUAAUAAUAAGAAGAAGAAGAAGAAGAAGAAGAAGAAGAAAAUAAGAAGAAGGAGAAGAAGAAUAAGAGGAAAAAAGAAAAAAGAAAAUAAGAAGAAGAAUAGGAAAAAAGAAAAAAGAAAAUAAGAGUUAGGUCACAUAUUUUUGAUUAUCUUAUAAAAACAUCAUAUUUGUGUGUUGAUCGGGUGAAUUUCAAUGUGCAGUUGUUCGACGACCUCCACGUGCGUUGGACGAGCUCCACCCCUACGCUUGUUGGUGAGCACAAAUGACUUCUCCUCCUACCCCCUUAAUUUGCUCUAUCUCGGUCCUCGUGCCGAUGAAACUUGCUAGCUAUAUAUAGUUUUCUUCAAUCAUGAGUAUGCGUGACCAGUAUGCGUCUCCCAUUCGAAAGGGCGACAUCUAUAAAUAUGCAUGUCUUUGCAUAUUUAUAACCGCCAUCCUUUGGAAUUGUCCAACAUUAUCCAUGGACAGCCCGAGUAUGUGUAGAUUGGGUUUGUUUUCCCGUAUGUUGUGCUCUGGAUCCGAUGCGGAAUUUCGUCAGUGCCUCCCUGUUGUUCUUCGGAUGCACAUCCUCUCUGUUUAUUGCGGAGGUGUGUAUCAGGCGAAUAGUUGGGAGGUGCUGCCGAAAUUUUGCGUUGGAUCCGGAGCAGAGCAUGGGAAAACGAACCCAAUCUACACAUACUCGGGUGGGAUUAGGACCUAUCUUUACCUAUUAGCGUGUAGGUUGCCUGGACGUAAUAAAAAUGGCGAACCUGAUUAACCGAUGAAUAUAAAUGCUAAAUUAUAUAUAAAUAUAUUUCUUCUGUCUUUAGUAGCUACGCAAGAUGAGUGAUCGUGCGUGGAUGUAUACCGGUCACCCUAGUCAGAAAGAGAUGACGAAAGAAUGGUUUGUAAAAACAAAGGAAUUUGUGAAAGCCGCAUUCGCAACUGGCGAGGAAAGAAACUAUUGCCCCUGUCCUGGAUGUGACAACUAUAAAAAGACGACAGCGGCUGUAAUGAUUAAACACCUGCAGAGGAGGGGUUUUAAGCCUAAUUAUACGGUGUGGACAUUUCAUGGUGAGUCUAUACAACGCACAAGAGCUGAGGUGGUCCGUCGUCGCACGGACGAGCAUGGUACCGGGAUCGAAGACAUGGUGCAAGACUUUGAUGAUGCUCGGGAUUCGAAAGAUGAGAUGGAGGAAUAUGCAAAGGCCUUUUAUGAAAUGUUGGAGUCUUCAAAACGUCCUCUUCAUGAGCACACUGAGCUCUGUCAGUUGGAUGCAAUUGCACAAGUAAUGUCUCUGAAGGCUCAGUUCAACUUGGGAAGAGAAUGCUACGACGCGAUGAUGACACUAUUUGGACGUUUCCUACCCAAAGGCCAUGUCAUGCCUGCAAACCUGUACCAGUCGGACAAAAUACUUCGUGUACUUAAGAUGCCCUAUGAGAAGAUAGAUGCAUGUGAGAAAGGAUGUGUCUUAUUUAGGAAGGAGUAUGCACACUUGGACUAUUGUCCCAAUUGCGAGUCUUACAGGUAUCUUGGGGUAGACAACGGUAUGGGUGAGAAGNNNNNNNNNNNNNNNNNNNNNNNNNNNNNNNNNNNNNNNNNNNNNNNNNNNNNNNNNNNNNNNNNNNNNNNNNNNNNNNNNNNNNNNNNNNNNNNNNNNNCUGUGUUCAGAAGACAUCAAUCCAAGUCCAGAUGGGCCGUUACUCACAUCAACACAAUAUAGAGGAAUAGAAAAAAAAAACAAUGCAUAUUAAAGAAGGUAAAAUCAAAUAUUUGUAGCGUAGCGAAAGAGGGCUCAGUUUUGCCUUUCAUCUUAAAGCCUGACACUCACAUAGCUUGCUGCAUAAUCUACCCAUUGCGAUGUAAGAGGACUGUCCUGGUUAUCAUUCAUCAGAAUGACCGUCCAAGGCACAGAACAUCCAACAUUAGCUAUGAAUUGAAUUGCUGCAAGAGAGGUAAGGGUGCGCUCUAAUUUAGUAGCCACAGACCACAGCUGUCUUAGUUGCUCAAGACAUGCUUAUUUCAGCCAUGGUCAUCAUCAUCGCCCCUGGUAAGAACUCCAUCUCUUCAUCACACAGUAGCAUCCAUCCAUCCAUCCAUCAGACUGGUCAUAGUGGUGAGUAACUUAGACAAUCUCAGGAGCUGCUCAUGCCCGGCGUCAGCUGACCAAACCUCCGGCUCGUAUGACACAUCAGACAACACUGUACGGUUCCCAGCCCACGCCACAACCAAAUCCAAGGCACAAUGGAAUGGCGGUGGCUGGCAGCACCGUAGAUUCGAGGAACUGAUGUUGCAGCCCCCCAGACAGACGACGGGUCAGCGAGUCGCAAUGAGAGCUUGACUGAUUUGUUUUAGGGUGAGUGUGAGUGUGUGUGUGUGUGUGUGUGAGAGAGAGAGAGGGGGGGGGAGGUGAAGAGGAUCCAUGCCAAAUCCAGAACAAAAUGCAACUGAACUGAGUAUAUGUAGCAUAGCAAGAGAGGUCUCAGUUUAGCAUUUAAUCUUCAAACCCAACACCCACAUCUCUUGCUGCAUAAUCCACACAUCACAAUGUAAGAGAACAGCCCUGGUUAUCACUGAGAUGGCCGCAUGCUGCCGAUGGUUUCCGACUGAACCAAUGUACAUGCCCUCAUCAGAACAACCGUCCAAGGCACAGAACAUCCAACAUUGGCGAUGAAUUGGACAGGCUGCAACAGAGGUAAGGGUGGGCUCUAAGAGCAACUCCAACGCAGAUACCCACUUUCAGACACUAUUUAGUCCCACCUUGCCACGGCUGUCUUGAUGUCUCAAAGACAUGAUUAUUUCAGCCAGUCAUAAUUAUGGGCAUCGCCCCUCUUCUUUAUCCAAAAAAGAGGUUGAACCCCCAAGCAACAUGACCAUGAUAUCCAUACGUACAUACAUACUCCCUCCGUUCCAAAAUAUACUCCCUCCGUUCCAAAAGAGGUGUCGUGGUGUUAGUUCACGACACAUGACCUGCAUCCAUCCAUCCAGCUCAGGAGCUGCUCAUACCUGGCCCUCGACCGACCAAACUUCCCGCUCCAACGACGCAUCAGACAACAGGGAACGGUUCCCAGCCCACNNNNNNNNNNNNNNNNNNNNNNNNNNNNNNNNNNNNNNNNNNNNNNNNNNNNNNNNNNNNNNNNNNNNNNNNNCAAUGCGCGCACGCACGCACGCACCGAGAGAGAGAGAGAGAGAGAGAGAGAGAGAGAGAGAGAGAGAGCUUGCACGCACGCACCGGAUCCAAAGAAAAAGAAGCCAGGCUACGCGAAAUCCAUCGACGGCGACUCAGAUCCUGCGCCGGAAACCGCCGCUCGGUCCCCAGCCCGCACGGCCGCGGACGUCUCCCGCACCGGCGGCAGCCCCGAGGNNNNNNNNNNGGGCAAUGGAACGACGGUAGCUGGCGGCACCAUAGCUGUGGGGAACUGACGCGGCGGACAUAGGCCAGCGAUCCGGCAACGAGAGCUCCCCUGAUUUGGUUUAGGGUNNNNNNNNNNNNNNNNNNNNNNNNNNNNNNNNNNNNNNNNNNNNNNNNNNNNNNNNNNNNNNNNNNNNNNNNNNNNNNNNNNNNNNNNNNNNNNNNNNNNUGGUAAGGAGACCUGAAGGAUUGGAAUAUCACCAAAGAACUAGCAAUGGUUUCGAAAGGCUUCAAGUACUAUUUUCAGAUUCUUGUUGAUGCCAUUUUUCAGUUUUUUGGUCCUAUUUUCGCAUACAUUGUCAAUUUUCUGUUCGUAUUUGCCAUUGUAGUCCUCCUUAACUUCCACCAUCGAUGCUUGCCAUCCCUACGUCCUUAUAAAGCUUCAUCUGCGAGGGAGAGGCAUCGAUGAGGAAGGAUGCUGGUGGUGAUGCGUGCCGUCUCCCCUGGCUUCGGACCUUCGCUUCAUGGGGCCACCCCUCCAGUCGUGCCCUGUGCGCUAACGCAUUGGCUUGGGAGGCCACCUCGGGCAGCCGCCGCAGCUGAAACAUCAGGGGCUGGCGGUUUGCGGUUUGCGGUGUAGAUCGUGGGGCGGAGUACUCCCGUGGCUGGGAAGUUGGGUGUACUCAGCGAGAUCUCAGCUACUUUGAUGGAUUUUUCACGAUUCAGUUCCGCUGGACCUGAGCUGCUGUGGUUGGGAACUCUGAAUCCCCCUCCACUUGAGCUCUUACUGAAUGUGGAGGUAAUACAUGUGAAACUACACUUGCGUUCCAAAGAGGCCCUUAAAUCUUAAGUACCACCUCUUCUCUCUCGUGGGCUCUAAUGGUCUUGCAGCUGCUGAUACUGUGCUUCGCUGCAGAUGUUCUCUAUCUGAUCCGACCUAAUUUUCACCCUUACCUGUUGCAUGCGCAAAGGGAUCUUUGAUUAUUCAAUUUUUUCCUACACAUUUUAUUGGUUUUGCGGUAUGUCAACCAGUUCUGUUGUUUUAGGAACAGUACGCUAGCCGCACUUAUUGUUGUCUUCUGUUCUUCGUAUUUCCUGAAUGGCUAUGAUAACUCCGCUGUCCCUUGGACUGUUCUUGAAACUAUCUUAUUUGGUGUUGGGUCAGUUUGCUUGUUUCAAUUGCUAUUUGACUUGAUAAUUUCAUUCUUCUGCUGUACUCUUUAUCUACUAUCAGUUUGUACCUUUGGUUUCUCGAUACUUCUUUACUGGUUUCAACUUAAGAUUACUGUUUCCUUCAUGUCAUGUUUAUGAAUGGCUGUGAUGAUAUAGCUUCCCUGCGAGAGCUUCUAGCCAACACCUGAAUUGAUUCACUUGGUGCUAAACUAGGAUUGUUUGUGUCAUAGCAAGUAAUCAGUUCAGAGGUUAACUAUUACUCCCUCCGUUCACAAAUAUAUGAUGUUGUUCAGUCAUGUUGUCAAGAUGGGGGGUAUAUCUGAGCCAUUUACUUAUACAUGUCCCAGUUUUUGUGUAUACCAGUUAAUGACUUGGUCCUGAUGUAGUGUUUCUUUCUAUUUCUACUGAUUCUCCUAUUAUUUCUGGUCAUCUUGUGCUAUUUGAUUAUUUGCUUCUCUGUUAUUCUCUGUAAGUGAUUUAUGAGAUAUGCUCAUACGAACCGGAUGUUGAGCCAUUUUAUACUUGCAUACUCAGAAUGCUUUGAACUGCUGAUGCAUCAAGAGAUUCUAUGUUGGAGUGUAGCGUUUCGGUGGCCAGGCUCAUCUGCACCCGGCCAGAAAAAAAUUCACAAAUGGUUCAAAAAAAAGACAAAUCAGGUCAUGAAGAAAUGAUUUUGUUUUUAAUUUUUCUAGUAUUUGUUUUGAUCUUUUUCGUCCACGCGGGUGCAUAUUAGCCUGAGUUCAGAAGUGGAUUAUCAGAGCUGCUUUUCAUUCAUGCAUCUGCACUAUGGCGCCUCAAGUGUCAGCAAGAAGAUACUACAUUUGGUCUUUGAUGUCAGCAUAUACUCCCUUGGUCCCACAAAGAUGUUUUUGCAAAUAGCUUGCAAAAAUGUCUUAUAUUAUGGGACGGAGGGAGUAUUUAUUUAGUUUUGAGUACCCAUUUAUAUGUGGUAUACGUCAUGUGCAACCUAAUCUGUGCAUUCCCUCGAUUUCUAUGCACCGGUGAUAUUUCCAGUAAUACCUGAUUUGAACUUCAUUUUGUUCUUUUGAACGUAAAACAUUGUACUCUACAUCUUGAACUCUUGUGUUCUUCCUCCAGCACAGUUUAAAAGGCCUGCACGUGUACCUAGGUCAUCAAUUUGACUUAUAUAAAAUAUUGUUUAACAUUAAAAUUACUCCCUCCGUUUCAAAAUAAGUGACUCAAAAAUGACUCUAUUUUGUACUAAACUUAGUAUAAAAGUGAGUCAUUUUUGAGUCACUUAUUUUAGAACGGAGGGAGUAUAUCAAUAGAAAAUAAAACAUCUAAAGUUUUAAUGAUAUAUUUUUUGUAAUAUAUGCCUUAUUAAGUUGGUCACAUUGACGACCUAGGUACAUGUGCCGGAUUUGUAAACUGAAACGGAGGGAGUAGUUAAUUCCUCAGCUCUCCGUGGGUUACUUUUGAACGACUAAUAACUUUGAUGACAUAUAAUUUUCAUGUAAUGCAGUAUACUGGAAUGUACAAGCAUAUACAGUGGGUAUUGACUAGAAAUCUCAAUAUUAGACAAUCACAAGCUACAAGCAUAUAAACUGGAUGGUUUGUCGUGGGCUAGCUCACAUGCACGCCGUGCACCACCAUGAAAUACUCACAGGUCUGGCGAGAGUUCCUGACGAUGCUCUGUCAUGCAUUCUGGUGAUGUAAUAAUAAGUAUCGUAAAUCCUAAAAAGUGCAGCUGCACUUUUUUGCAGUCCCGGGCACACACCCCUUCCGUCCGUCCGAAAUCCAUCCCGUGUCGCAUGCUCAGGUAGGCUACCUGGUCGGGAUCCCAUUGCCGCAUCUCCAUCGACGUCGAGAAUAGACAACAGAGUCGAGCUUCCUCCCACUCUCCCUGCCUUUCUUUCUUUGACUGAGCCGCCCUCAGGUUCUUCCUGAGGCCUUAAAUGGCGUGUCGUCAGAGAUCGACCCGCCAAGCCUUUGUUGCAUCUAGCCUCUCCCUUGACCCUUGCAUGCAUGUCAUUGCGUCGGCCUUGCUGGAUGUACGCCAGCCGCCCGCCUUGCUGCCGACGACCGUACUGGUUACAUCUAGGUCGUGGGGAGGGAGAUCAAGCGACGGAGGAGACGGUCAGGGCGUGGUCAGGGCGGGCAACGGCAAGGCCGCCUUGCUGCCGACGGCCGUAGUGGUUACCUCUAGGUCGAGGGGAGGGAGAGCAAGCGACGGAGGAGACGGCCAGGGCGGGCAACGGCAAGGCCGAGAGUGAUGCGCUGGGUAAAAGAGUCAGCCAUGGCACGGCGGCAGGGUCAUCCAAGGUGCGGUGCUGCAGAAUUUUCUGUAUUCAGAUAUCAUCAGUACCGUGAUGACCACUGCUAGCAAUUCAAAGAAUAUACAUGUCGUUUUGUGAGUCAAGUGAGAAGCUCGACGCAGGGCUGACGUUGCCGUAUUUAGGUGGUGUUUCUUUACCCAGGGACUAGACUAAAAAGUCCCUUUUAGUCUCUAGGUAAAGAAACAGGAGGGACUUUUUCUUAAGGGACUACAAAAAGACUUUAUUGAAGGGACUUUUUUCUUUAGUCCCUUGGACUAAAUAAAAGUCUAGUCCCUGGAAAAGAAACACCACCUUAUGCCUGAAGCUGGCAUACAAUUUGUAGGCGCGACAUGAAUUCAUCUCCAGUUUGGAUCAAUUACGGUCAAUUAAACAAGCUUGUUUAAGACAUGAAUUCACCUCUACUUUGGAUCAAUUACGGUCAAUUAAACAAGCUUGUUUAAAACAGGGGUACUAGUUGGAAUAUCCAUUUUGUACUUGAUGCAGGUGAACAUCAUGAGGGUGAGUAGGCCGCCAGACCGACAGAGGCAGUACUUUUCAGUUUACAACCUUCUCUUAAAAAAGUAGCAGCAACAUGCAGCAGUUUCAAACAAAUAAGAAGUUCUGAAAAUUCUAUGAAAUUCUUGUUCCAAAUGUUAAAAUUCUCAGUAUUUGGUUAGUGUUGUAUAUAGAAAAUUAAUGCAUGUGUAAUCUACACACGUCGAGUACAUCAACGUACCAUCAUUGUGAUUUUCUGUUUUCUUCGCACAAAAGCUCGCCCAACGCAUGAUAGGUAUUACCUCCGUCCCAAAUUAAUUGCCUUAGAUUUGUCAAGUUAUAGAUAUAUCUAAAAAUAAAUAAAUUUGUAUCUAAGUAAUUUAGGACAGAUGGAAUAGUUGCUAGCGACGCGGGCAAGAGUUGCAGAUCGACUCCCUAGAGCCGGCAAGUAAAGUGCGGCCUGUGCGUGGAGUCGUGGGUCACGUCAGUGUUUGGCAAGCCGAACGUGCGCGGGAUCCAGUGGGUUGGGCCGGUGUUUUGCCCACCAACCAUGUGCGAAAUCGGGGGGUUGGGGUAAAUUGAGUAUUUUGUGGAUCGGGGUUGCACCUUCGUGGCUUUGGGGGGAGUCGACGAACUGCGAGAUGUAGGGAGAUAGGUUGACGAAGGUUCCAUAAAAGGAGUUGGUUGAAGGAAGCGCCCAAGACUUGCCCAACACGUGAUAGAUAGUUGCCGGAGGUAGUGGUGUGAGUUGCCUAUAAAUUUGUAGUGCACCUAGUAAUUUUUUCCUAUUCUUCUCUCCCUGGGUAGCGGGUAUUUAAAAAAGUCACAAAUAGGGGUACUCCUAUUUGUAGUGAUAGUAUAAAAAAUAAUGUUAUUGUCGUCAUGUUUACUAGAGUUUUAGUAAAGAAANNNNNNNNNNUAAAAAAAUAGAUAGAAUGAAGAAGGGAGGAAAAAAUCUUGGAACUUACAAAAAAAAUGUAAAUUCCAUCACUUCAAAACUAUUCGAUCAACACACUUAAUUCUCUAUUAAAAAUCACAUUAUUAACACGAAGUUUCACAAAUAACAGAACAUUCUCAACGAUUUAUAUCAACAUCUCUCUCACAUGAGCAAAUUGCACAAAACCACCACAACUGUGCAAAAGUUAUCACCCACCCACCAAAAUGCAUGUUUUUCUCAUGGUUUUUCCUGAAGCAUUGAUAACUUUGACCCAAUUGUGAUGGUCUUUUGUAAUUUACUCCUCUGGCAUGUGUGUGCCUUCCUUCCGUCGCCGAUCAGCAUGCCCACCGGAUGAAACGUGCAAGAUCUGUCAUUGAGCUUCUCUUUAAAAGUAAUAAAAGCCAAAAGAAACAUUAUCAAUAGAGGUUAGUUUGCUCGUAGGAAUCUUUAUCCUAUUGAGAGCGACAUGCAACGUGCAUGCAUAACCAUGAAAAGUCUCUCACAAUCCCCUCAUGUCGCUUUCAAUCAGUCAUGAAAUCAAUUGUCCAUAUUUCCGCUUUAACUAUGCGUCGUUUCUUUUUGACGUCCAAUAAAUCUAGUUUUUCUGACGAUUCUGGAAGACCGUGCGCCCGGUUACCAUGCCCAUGUUCCAUGAAUUUUAUAUAGGCACACUCGACAUGGGCAGGAUUAACUAUGGAGUCAUUGCUCUCAUCCCCAAACUAGUUGGGGCUGUUGAGAUUCGUCAAUUCAGGCCUAUUACGGUGAUUAACGUGUUGGCGCGUAUUUUUGCUAAAGUCUGCGCCACUCGCGUGUCCCCUGUGGCCGAACGAAUUGCUCAUCCCCUUCAGUCCGCAUUCCUGAAGGGCAAGAAGAUUCAUGACGGGAUUCUUGCCCUUCACGAGGUUGUCCAUGAGGUGGCGUCCAAGGUAAUGAAGGGGGUCUUUCUCAAGUUGGACUUCCAGAAGGCGUACGACCGUCUUGAUUGGUCCUUCUUGAGGUUAGUAUUGCAGCGGCGCGGAUUUGACGAGAGGUGGUGUUCCUGAAUCAUGCAACUGGUUCGAUCUGAUAGCACCGCGAUCAAUAUCAAUGGUGAAGUUGGCCCCUUUUUUCGGGCAUCCAGGGGGUAAAGCAAGGAGACCCUAUCUGCCCCCUGCUCUUUAACCUCGCCGUGGACGCCCUUACUGGCAUCCUGGAUAAGGCAAGAUUAGCAGGGCAUAUCCAGGGGGUGGUUGGUCACCUCAUCCCGGGGGGUGGGGUUUCCCACCUCCAGUAUGCAGACGACACCAUGAUCAUGGUCUCUGGCUCCGACUCCGACAUUGCUAAUCUUAAGUUCCUUUUGCUCUGUUUCGAAGAAAUGUCUGGACUUAAGAUUAACUUUGAUAAGGGUGAGGUGAUGGUCCUAGGAUACUCUGAGGCUGAGCAACUCAGAAUUGCGGACAACCUCAACUGCAAGCUGGCGGCUUUCCCUAUCUCGUAUUUGGGAAUGCCCCUAGCGGAGUCUAGGAUUCUGGUUAGCGGGUUUGGUCCGCUUGUGGGACGAGUAGCGUCCCGUGCGGAACCCUGGUGUGGCAGGUUCACUUCUAAAGGUAGCAAAUCCAUUCUCAUUAGCUCGAACCUCGCAAGUCUCCCCAUGUAUAUGAUGGGGAUGUAUAUCCUGCCCGAAGGUGUGCACAGCGCCUUCGACAAGGAACUGGCUAGAUUCUUUUGGCAGGCAGGGGAUGGUAGGCCCAAGUAUCACAUGGUGAAAUGGGCUGACGUCUGCGUGCCAAAAGACCGAGGGGGCUUAGGCAUUCCUGCGUCCCGCCGCAUGAACGUGGCCCUGAUGCUCCGAUGGGUUCGGCGGAUUCUGCAGGCACUACAGGAAUCAGCUUCUUUGCCGUCUGCCAUCACAGACGGCAAAGACUAAACCCCGGACGGCAAAGAGAAUACCACAGACGGCAAAGAAUCUCACGGCCCGCAAAAUUUCUACGUCAGCCUACGACAGCAUCGUACCUUCUUUGCCGUCUGUCCCCACAAAGCGGACGGCAAAGCUCUUUGCCGUCAGCUUUUUAUAGGAGCAGUCGGCAAAGUGCUCAAGACGGCAGCCGACAGACGUUGCCUCCAUUAGGGGUUAACGGAGGCUUUGCCGUCUGCCUCCCCCUUAUUCUUUGCCGUCUGCCUCCCCCUUAUUAUUUGUCGUCUGCCUGCCCCUUAUUCUUUGUCGUCUGCCUCCUCCUCCUCCCCCCUCCACUCUUUGCCGUCUGCCUCCUCCUCCCCCCUCCUCUAUGCCCUCUUCUUUGCCGUCUGUCCACCCUGGAGGCAGACGGCAAAGAGCCUAUAUAGACACCCCAGGAUGCACACCUGGGUGCCAUGUGGCACCUUUGCCAUCUGCUAGCUGAUGGCACAGGUCUUUGCCAUCAGCUGGCAGACGGCAGAGAGCCCAUAUAGUACCUGUUUUUUUGUUUUAUAUUAUUUCAUAGCACACACAUAUAUAUGACACCACAUUUAUAUAAUUCACCACACAUAUAUGAUAUAUAGUUCACCACACAUAUACUUGCCAACACAUAUAUAUAAUUCACCGCACAUAUAUGAUAUACAUAUAAAUCAAUGUACAUCCCCAUAUAUCGAAAGAACCAACAUACAAAGUAUUGCACUUUUAUCCAUAUAUACAUAUACAUAUAGUUCGACAUUGUUCAUUAACUCAAAUGAAAACUAGAUAAUAUGCAUAUAAAGUCCAUCCAUCGACAUUGUUCAACUCCAUGAAUGCCAGCUUCCAUGCAUGUAGUAUAUCCAAUCUGCAAAAAUGUGAAUAAGAAAGUCAGAAGAAGAACAAAAUAUUAUGUUUUUGAGCUAAUUAUGUCAUUUUUAGCGGAAAACAAGCUAAGAAUAUAAUAUUCAUGAGCUAACAAAGGUUCUUGUGCCAUUUUUAGCUUAUUAUGGCAUUUUGGAGCUAAAUGGGUUAAUUAUGUCAUUGUUGGGGAAAUUAAAGCAAGGAUAAUAUGAAAGAGGAGAAGAAAGAGGAGGAGGAGGAGAAGAAGAAGAAAUCAAGAAGAAGGAGGAGAAGGAGGAGAAGGAGGAGAAGGAGGAGGAGAAGGACUAGAAGGUUAUUGGCCUUCUCCUCCUCCUCCUCCUCCUUCUCCUUCUUCUCUUCUUCUUCUUCUUCUUCUUUCUUUUUUUUCAUUUUUCCUAUUUAUUCUCCUCUUCUCCUCUUGUUGGAGCUAAAUCACCUAAUUAUGUCUUUUUGGAGCUAUAUGGGCUAAUUAUCCCAUUUUAGAGGAAAGCAGGCUAAGAAUAUAAUAUUCAUGAGCUAACCAAGGUUGUUAUGCCAUUUUGAACUUAUUAUGGCAUUUUGGAGCUAAAUGGGCUAAUUAUGUCAUUGUUGGGGAAAUUAAAGCAAGGAUAAUAUGAAAGAGGAGAAGAAAGAGGAGGAGGAGGAGAAAAAGAAGAAAUCAAGAAGAAGGAGGAGAAGGAGGAGGAGGAGGAGGAGAAGGACUAGAAGGUCCUUGGCCUUCUCCUUCUCCUCCUCCUCCUCCUCCUUCUCCUUAUUCUCUUCUUCUUCUUCUUCUUCUUCUUUCUUUUCAUUUUUCCUAUUUCUUCUCNNNNNNNNNNUAAUAAAGAGGAGGGGGAGAAGAAGAAGAAGAAAUCAAAAAGAAGGAGGAGGACGAGAAGGCUAGAAGGUCCUUGGCCUUCUCCUCCUUCUCCUCCUCCUUCUCCUUCUUCUCUUCUUCUUCUUCUUUCUUUUCAUUUUUCCUAUUUCUUCUCCUCUUCUCCUCUUGUUGGAGCUAAAUUACCUAAUUAUGUCUUUUUGGAGCUAAAUGGGCUAAUUAUCCCAUUUUAGAGGAAAACAAGCUAAGUAUAUAAUAUUCAUGAGCUAACCAAGGUUCUUAUGCCAUUUUGAGCUUAUUAUGGCAUUUCGGAGCUAAAUGGGCUAAUUAUGUCAUUGUUGGGGAAAUUAAAGCAAGGNNNNNNNNNNCCUAAUUAUGUCUUUUGGGAGCUAAUUGGGCUAAUUAUCUCAUUUUAGAGGAAAACAAGCUAAGCAUAUAAUAUUCAUGAGCUAACCAAGGUUCUUAUGCCAUUUUGAGGUUAUUAUGGCAUUUUGGAGCUAAAUGGUCUAAUUAUGUCUUUUUGGGGACAUUAAAGCAAGGAUAAUAUGAAAUAGGAGAAGAAAUAGGAGGAGGAGGAGAAGAAGAAGAAAUCAAGAAGAAGGAGAAGGAGGAGAAGGAGGAGGAGGAGAAGGACUAGAAGGUCAUUGGCCUUUUCCUCCUUCUCCUCCUCCUCCUCCUCCUUCUCCUCCUUCUCUUCUUCUUCUUCUUCUUCUUUCUUUUCAUUUUUCCUAUUUCUUCUCNNNNNNNNNNNNNNNNNNNNNNNNNNNNNNNNNNNNNNNNNNNNNNNNNNNNNNNNNNNNNNNNNNNNNNNNNNNNNNNNNNNNNNNNNNNNNNNNNNNNNNNNNNNNNNNNNNNNNNNNNNNNNNNNNNNNNNNNNNNNNNNNNNNNNNNNNNNNNNNNNNNNAGUUCUUAUGCCAUUUUGAGGUUAUUAUGGCAUUUUGGAGCUAAAUGGGCUAAUUAUGUCUUUUGGGGGAAAUUAAAGCAAGGAUAAUAUUAAAGAGGAGAAGAAAGAGGAGGAGGAGGAGAAGAAGAAGAAAUCAAGAAGAAGGAGGAGAAGGAGGAGGAGGAGAAGGACUAGAAGGUCCUUGGCCUUCUCCUCCUCCUCCUCCUUCUCCUUCUUCUCUUCUUCUUCUUCUUUCUUUUCAUUNNNNNNNNNNNNNNNNNNNNNNNNNNNNNNNNNNNNNNNNNNNNNNNNNNNNNNNNAAUGAGCUAACCAAGGUUCUUAUGCCAUUUUGAGGUUAUCAUGGCAUUUCGGAGCUAAAUGGGCUAAUUAUGUCUUUUUGGAGUUAAAUGGGCUAACUAUGUCAUUGUUGGGGAAAUUAAGGCAAGGAUAAUAUGGAAGAGGAGAAGAGAAACUUACCGUAGUGGUCAUCAAGGAGGAGAAACACGUGGAGAAGGGUCGUGCGAUGCCGCUCGGGAGUUAUUCUGCAGAAUAGAUAUUUUGCAAUGUCUCAGUUAGCGUGAUAACACUCAAUUAUUAAUACUAGUUUAUAAUGAAACUGACCGUGCCAAUCAAAGAGAAGACGGGCAUCGACGGAGGGACUUGACCGCUCUUCUCGCACAGACCCUCAAGAGUGGGUCGUAUUAGUUAGUAAUGAAACAGACAUUACACACAUGAUUUGGCUAAUGUGAAAAAAAACUUACCACAAAAAGCUCGUACAGGGCCCGUUGACCCGCCUCAUUCCGGUACCUCUCCUCCUCAAUCAAUCGUGUCGUGGUCUGGUCCCUCUCAUCAAGAGCAGCCUGACUUGCCAAUCUCUCUUUCUCAAGAGCAGCCUGACUUGCCAAUCUCUCUUUCUCAAGAGCAGCCUGGUUUGCCAAUCUCUCUUUCUGAAGAGCAGCCUGAAACACCAUUCCUCGUUACCACAAUAAUGAUCUAUGGUAACACACAUAAUGAAAUGGAUGAAAGUGUUCUUAGUCCGUACAACUAACCUCGAUGGCAAGUUCGACUGGCCGUGGACGACGCAUUAUCUCAGGACAGCUGCUCGACUGGCGCGCCUUGAUCUCCGGAAGAGUGAGUGGACAACGUAUUAUCCCAUCUCCAAUGGCUAUCGAGCCAUGGGGCCUCCCGCCACCAGAUAUCAUCACCAACUCUAGAUCCAAAGGUUCCUGGCUAGGGUUAAAGUCAUCCCCUUUCGUAGCCUUCCCCGCGUCCCUGUAUGCCACGAGCUUCUGGUGGGAUGAUAUGUUGGUGAAGUUAUUGGGAUCAUCCACGUCAGACUCAGAGAAUGCCUUCGCCUUCUUGUACGAGGCAGUAUGGGCCAUGCCAUAAAGGUCGUACAAGUGUGGCAUCUCCGUCUUAUUCUGAUGCGCCUAAAAGAGAGGAACAAAAUAUUAGCAUCAAGAAUGAAUUGCAUGAAUCAUGAAGCGUGAUCACAUACCCAGUUUCGUCCAAACUGAAGUAAGUUGGCGCUGCUUUGAUGGUGUGGCACACCAACCAUUUGGCUAUGCUGAUCCUUCGUAUUCUCGUGGACGGCUCGCCAGCUGCCUGUGCACCACUCAUCAACCAAUGCCUCCCAACACUAGUGGGGACAGGGCCUAUAGCCCCGGCCCGUAAGGGGCUUUAGUCCCGGUUCACCAACCGGGACUAAAGGGGCGGGACUAAAGGCCUAACCUAUUCGUCCCGGCCCUCUUACAAGCCGGGACUAAAGGUGCUCCACGUGGGCACCUCGUAGCGCCCCAGGGGCAGGCCCUUUAGUCCUGGUUCGUUACACGGUCCGGGACUAAAGAUUUUCAUAUUUUGCUGGCUUUUGGGUUUUUUUUGAAUGAAAUUAUUUUUGGGUUUUAGGGUUUUAGAGUUUAGGUGUUCAGGAGAUUAACGUGAUGCCUCGUUUUGUGUUCGGGAAUUAGUUUUCAUAUAAUUUAAAAUAGAAAUAAUUAUGCAUAUAUAUAUAUAAGAUUAACUUAUCUUACAAGCGAUCAUAUAUAUACAAUUAUAUGGAGAUCUGAAUUAUCGGGACUAGAGCCCGUCUAUUCGAUUACAUGGACGAACAUCACUAAUGGCCCUUAGCUACACUAAAUCGUCCUUUGUCUUCUAUAGCUUCCGUCCUCAGAAAUCCCGCAAGCUCCUCUGCAACAGCAAUCGCGCGUUGCUCUGGUAGGACCUUCGUCCUCAUGGCCGUGUGCUAUAUAAGAAGAGGAGAUGAAUAUGAAUAUCAAUCAUGAUACACAAAGAAUGACGGGUAAAAAUAGAUGUGUGAAUGUUCAUUGCUUACGUCGAAUAUGUGCUCCUUGAACUCAGAGGUAAACGUGCGAAUGGUCUCGCAAACAUAGUAUCCGCAUAGAUGCGUUCCCCGUGGCUGCUGGUCGCACUUUACGAGAAUGGAAUAUAUAUAAUCAAAAUAAUAAUCUAGCAUCAUAAAUGUAUUGAAAAUUAAUAGAAGUAUAUCAUACUACUACUUACCUGAGCCGCUCUAAAGGUCAGCUUCUCAGGAAAGUUACCGAGAGUCACGCACUUGAACCGAUUCCAAACCCUGCCCGACAAGGAUAAUGAUUUGCUAAGUUUUUCAUUAAUUGAUAUAUCAGAAAAUCAUCGAAAGAGACCGAUAGAGCGCAAGAAUGAUUAAAAUUACCCUUGGAGCAUGUCGUGCAGGCUUUGGAACUGUUCCAAGGGUCUCGAUAAUGGGUCGAAGGCAUCAACUAUUCCUUUAUCAAUUUGAAUGUCCAACAGAAUCCAAUGAAAGCUGCACAUGUGUGUGUGUGUGUGUGUGAGUAACUUAUCAAUUACACUUAUAAGUGAAUGGACACAACAGAGUAAAGACCCUCACCUGAAGUUGUAUGGAAACAGUAUAUGGUCACAGAAAUUUUGAUCUCUUAGAAACCUUAGAAGGUUUUCCUCCGUCUCCUUGGGAUAAUUAGUUAGCGUCGCUAUAUGUAUUUUAUCUGGAUCAAUAAACCCAAUAUUUAUGAUGCUCUUACUUUUACACUCCAGAAUCUUCAUUCUGCAUAAUAGAGUACAAGUUAUAUAUAGACAAUGAAUUGAAAUAACUAAACAAGUUAUAUGUAGACAACGAAUUAAAAAACUUACAGACAAUAACAACUCAUAAGCGAUUUGUCGAGGGCGUCGCCAUUGUACAUCUAGAAGAGUUCAUCAAAGUCGAUAUGGAUUUCUUCGGAGCGGCCGUAGUACUCCUGUGGGACACUCAGCACGAUCAUCGUUCUCCCCUUCUUUGAUUCACUUAAGUACCAUUUAUGCAAGUAACGCAUAUUUGUUGGGAGAUCAUCUUUGCUGACCAAACGCUCUCCCAUGACAAACUUUGGCUUAGGGGCUACCACAGCCUUGGGUAUCCUGUCUUCUUGGGAAGCCAGCAAAUUUUCAACCAAGAUACCACAUUCAUCCGCCAACUCCUUUGCUUUUUCAAAAGCUUGCCCCUGCACCGAAGGGGGAACAUUCUCGGUUAACACCUUGAGGGGUGGGAUCGACUGUUUGGCGUGUUGUCCAAGCUGAGGAACGUCUGAUUUUUUCUUGCUUGUAGUUGAACUUGAUUUGCUCCCACUUGCACUUGCAUGUGACCUGCUCUUUUUCACUUCCUUCUGCAAUGUGCGUGUAUAGUCAUCAAGCUUAUAGUGUAAGUCAUACUGUGAUGGAGUGGUUAUGAAGUCUUUUGCCCAUGCUAUGUUCUUCUCGGUGUAUUUCGGGCGGGGCUCGGGUUCCUUCCUUUUCAUCUGCGUGUCAUGCUGUUCCUUUGCUAUCCUGGCGUUUUCCUCGGGGGUACGAUCAUAAGGUCUAAUAGGAAGAUUAGCAUGAGGUAUCUUUGGGAGGGGCGACAGUUUGCGCUUUGGGGAGCUCCGUCCCUUAGAAAUCAUCGACGAAGCGUUCUUGCUGGCACGCUUCCGCUUAGUAUCAUGUGCGGGCGGCGGCGGAGACGGACGACCCAAGUCCGGCGACGGUGAUUGAGAUGGACUCGUGUUGUGCUGGCCGACGUCAUGUGGAGGGCUUGGAGGUAAUGGAGGUGUAGGUGACCUGCGACGACUCGGAGGCGGUGUUGUCCUUGGGGCCGAGCCUGGAAGCUUGAUGUAGUUCUUGUCCCAUAGGAUGACUCCACCCAGUACUUCUCCGAGUGUCCUCUCAUCUUCGGGUCCAGCUAUGUCGAGCUCCAUAUCAUAAAACCCCGUCAUGAUUUCAUCCACCCCGACUUUAGCAAAGCCAGCUGGAAUCUCACGGCCAUGCCAGCGUGCAUUAGGGCCAGAAGGUAAAGCUUGUCCGACGGCCACCUUCAUGGAUAUGUUCUUGAAUUUCUGAUGGAGUUCACAUGAUGUUGACUCCUUGAUUCCAUCCACGGGGUAGCCGGGACCGCCCUCUAUCAUUCUUCGUUCAUCGUCGGGCGGGGCCUCAGAUUCAGCCACGCUGCUUUUCCGCUUAGACGGGGCGCCGGUAAUAUCAAGUGCAGGAUCUUCCUCGCGCGGUACUCCUCUAAGCUCAUCAAUCUGCUUCUGUUGCUCGUUAAUCGUGGCAAGGAACUGGUUGAACUUGUCAUUCUCCUCAUCCUGUUGCCGCUUCUUUGCUCUCUCUCGGCUUCUGUAAGUGUCUUGGUCUCUGGCAAACCCAAGCCACCACGGGUAAGAAGGACCGAAGCCUCGCGUUCGUCCUCCAUGUUCGUCAUUGCCGAGGACCAGUGUGAGCAAAUCUUUCUCUCUAUCUGCAGUGAACUUUCUUCUUCCCUUCUUAAUUUCUUUCACUAUCCUUUUCCAAUUCUCCAUGGGUAUCCUAAGAUUGUCAUUGCAGAUGAGGUCCCCUGUUGUUUCGUCGUACGACCCAUCAUGCGCAAGGAACCAAUUUCUUGCUCUCAAUUCCCACUCAUCACAGAGUGGUUCAGGUACGACGCCUUUAUCUAUCAGAUCUUGCUCUUUCUUAUCCCACUUUGGGAUGGCACUCUCAUAGCCCCGUGGCCCCAGCUUGUGGUGAUAUAUCUUCUUGUCGGCAUUUAUCUUGUUCUUUUCUGAUAAUGCCUGGGCAUCUUCUGACUCCUUGUACUCUUGAAAUGCCUUCCAGUGAUUCGCCUACUUGGCUAGAUACCCCUCGAAUACUGGCACUUUCUGUGUCUUCAGAUAGUUUUUCCAUAGCUUCUUUUUCCAGCUACGGAACAGUUCAACCAUCUUCUUCAGAGUCCACUGCUUGACUUUGGCCCUCAGUUUGUCUGCGGCGUCUUCAUUCUCACAUUCUGGCAGGUUGACAUGUGACAUGAGAUCAUUCCAAAGAUUAUCUUUGUACCUUUCGGCGACAUAGUCACUAUCGGCUGCCCCUUUGCGCUUGUUCCACUCCCGAACGCUGAUCGGGACGUGAUCCCUAACGAGAACUCCGCAUUGCUUCUUGAAUGUGUCAGCAACAUUCUUAGGAAGCUUGGGUUCGCCCGUAGGAAAUAUCACCUCAAAUGUGUAAUGCGUCCGUGCAUCCAACUUUCUAGUCGGGCCUCGUUUCGUAGUUUUGCUCGAUGUGGAGGCCUAAGAGGGAGAAACAUUCGUCAAAUGAAUGUAUAUGUAUACAAUAUAGAGCUAUCUCCAAUAUUUUUCACAUAUUGCAAGUGAUUGUCGAACUUCAUAUGUAUACCUCGCCGGACUUCUCCUCUUCACCGGCUUCUCCAUCAGUGGAGCUAUCACCUUCUCCGUCAUUGGACCUAUCUCCUGCCCCAUCGGCUUCAUCUUCGUGUCGCUCGACCUCCAUUCCAACGUCCUGGUUUAGAUAUAACGACGGAGAUUCAGCUGGUUCAACGUCGGGGCCGUCUUUGAUUAUAUCUUCCAAAAGUUCUUCCUCUUCGAGGUUCCUGAUAUGUGGAUCCAUAGUUCUGCAAAAAACGGAUUCUCUUAACCUUUGUACCAAAAACCAAAGUAAGAGUACUUUUCCAAUUUGAGACUCCUAGAUUUCUGCAUAGUAUUCAAAGUAGGAGUAAUUUUCCAAUUUGAGCAUUCAAUAAGCAAAACCAAAUCGUAAAAUAAAGUAGUAUUCAAAUUUGCAUGCAUUUAAUUAUAAGCUAAUACAUCAUCACUUUUGUUCGUACAUCAUUGAAUAUUAUCAUUAAUACUCCUCGAAUACUAUCAUACAUAUAGCAUCACUAAUACAUCUAGAACCGUAGCGUGCGACGAGUAUCGACGCGGGCGGUGGACACCCAAAGAGAAGGAACCAUCACAGGAUCAUAGCUCCAGUGAGAUCCCCGAAGAACCUGCCAGGUAUGCUCGAACCUGCCCUCCAACACAACCAUGUAGCGACGGACAUGCUCAUCCUCCUCGCUGACACGGUGACGUACCACCUCCGCGGUGUCCGGAAGCCUCGGCACCCUCACUGGCCCACACGACCGCCACCAAACAAGGAAAGGGGUCAACGACGGGCUGGCUCCUCACCAACCUAUGCCCCCCGGAAGGUAGCACCUCCCAAUACCAGCCGGGCGGAGCCUAGUCCCGGACAGGGCCCCUCUGAUCAAGCAGGUGUCCUCCGCCGAGUCGACGACGAGGAUGCGGGAUAGGCAUCGUAAAAUGAACUAAAAAAAAUAAACUAGUUCUAUUAAUUUUCUUACUAAAAAUAAACUAUUAGCACUUAAGCAUAUACAAUAGCAAAAUUAAACUAUUAACACUUAUUUUCAUUUUUCUUCUCCUCCUCUUCUUUUCUUCUCNNNNNNNNNNNNNNNNNNNNNNNNNNNNNNNNNNNNNNNNNNNNNNNNNNNNNNNNNNNNNNNNNNNNNNNNNNNNNNNNNNNNNNNNNNNNNNNNNNNNUGAAUCAUCUGAAUCAGAAUGUCCACCUUCCUCGAGGUGACGCUGGCCAUAGUGGACGACUCGAAUCUUGCGGUACAACUCGUAUGAAACAUAUGCAUCUUUUGUUGCAUACUCAAUGUUGAUAUCAUCAAGUGGGCCCUUCUCCCAAAGUCUGUGCUGAGACUUUGGGAAACUGGUCUUCAUAUCAGCAUAUGAAUCGUCGAUCAAGGCAACUGCCAUACGAGCCAUCGAAGUCCUGUCAUGUUGAAGCUUGAAUAUCGUUUGGAGAUCAACGAGGCAAUCAGCUGGUAUCUCAAUACCGAAGCUGUGCCUCAUCUUCAGCCUGUCGUUCCUUAUGUCAACGAAAGCAAAAGUGACGCCGCUGCGAAGGAACUCCAUGAGUCUUGGACAAUGCUUGUCACUCCUGCAACAGAAACAAAUUAAAAUGGACCAAAUGUUACAUACUGCUGCAAUAAGGAAACAUGUUUCACUACAAUUAAAGAGAAACUUAUCUUUAGGAUUCAUAUAGAACAUAUGCAAUGGAACCUAGAGAGAUCACUACAACUAUUUGAAGCGAACCAACUAUGAUUCCAAUGGAACAUAUUAAACACUAGUUGAUUCUAAUACGAUUUUUCAGAUUAUGGAACACUAUUCCAAUCAGAUUGUGUUCCCCUUCAACUAAUCAAAAUUGUUUCACUACAACUAUUUGAAGGGAACCAACUAUGAUUCCAAUGGAACAUAUUAAACNNNNNNNNNNNNNNNNNNNNNNNNNNNNNNNNNNNNNNNNNNNNNNNNNNNNNNNNNNNNNNNNNNNNNNNNNNNNNNNNNNNNNNNNNNNNNNNNNNNNGGCCUUUAGUCCCGGGUUGAGCCACCAACCGGGACUAAAGAGGUAUACCAAACGGUUGCCACCACUACGGCAGGCCACGUGUUAGGCUUUUAGUCCCGGGUUCAACCACCAACCGGGACUAAAGAGGUAUGCCAACGGUCGCCCCACUACGGCAGGCCACGUGUUAGUCCUUUAGUCCCGGGUUGAGCCACCAACCGGGACUAAAGGGGGAUACGAACGGUCGCCACCACUACGGCAGGCCACGUGUUAGGCCUUUAGUCCCGGGUUGAGCCACCAUCCGGGAGUAAAGGGGGAUACGAACGGUUGCCACCACCACUGCCCGCCGCGUAGCCCUUUAGUCCCGGUUUGGGACACGAACCGGGACUAAAGGCUCCUUACGGGCCGGGACUAAAGACUCGAGGGAGGCAUUGAGAAUUGGGGCGACGUGGCCGGGCCUUUAGUCCCGGCCCAGAGGCACUCCGGGACUAAAUGGUCCAGGCCAAAGGCCCGUUUUCUACUAGUGCAACAAUCCAUCUUAUUCGCACACCAUCUCGGGGGCACCUGUAAGUUAUUAGAAAGAAUUUUCAGCGCUACGCCUAUGAAUGAAAUCAAGAAAACUACGUAGAAGGACUUAAGAAUAGGUAAUUACCUUCAUGUAUUGCUCCUUCUUCAGAAACUUUCCGCGGCAAUCCUUCUUCUGCUUCUUAAUACCACGCGUGGCGUAGUAAUCUCGAAUAGCCUGCGGCCGAGCCUCGUGGCGCAAGUUCUGUAGUAACCGCCUACACUCGGCCUCGAGAACCCUAGCCGCCUCCUCCUCAUAUCCAUCCUCACACCUAUAGAAGGUCUGCAAUCAAACGUGAAAACACCGAUUAGUACAAUAAUUAGCUAUAUUGUUAAUUUUAUAUUCUGUAAAAGGAUAAUUUACCCAAAAGCUCUUGAUCACCAUCUCGGCCCUCGUGUGGCACAAGACACCAUCUAUAAUCUCCUCCGGCGGGGCCUGCGCAGCCUGGUAGUGCUCCCAGGAAAAUCCUAGUGUAGGAACCUGACCCUCACCAGGCAACGUGACAAACCCCGGGAAAUAUGUCCGGCAAAGCACACCAAGGACGGAGUUCGUUCUGCGGACUACAAGAGGGUGUACCCAUCCCCUGCAGUAUGAUAAGGUCAACGCAUUAGAUAUUUGAAAAAACUUGAAGGCAAAAGCUAAAAAAAAAGAGUAAAUGUACUUACCUAUCUCCUUCAGGUUUAAUCACCGUCCUCUGCUCGCGGGUAGCCGACGCGACCGGGAGACGUGUACUACCACACUUGUACACGGUGGCCCCGUCCACCUGCACAUCGCCCUCACUAUCCGUAAGCUCAUCCCCACCAUCCCCGCCCCCUGAGCCACCCGAACCCUCGGUCCAAUCCGGCAACUCGGUACGAUCCGGCCAGGUCUCCCAUCCGGGCCUCUCCACGUCGGGUGAAGCCUCCGGAACCAUAGUCUCCUCCGGCUGCUCGUGGGCCGAAUGCACCUCGACCCGAGGCUGCUCCUGGACCGGAGUCUCAUGGGACGAAUGCCCAUCAACAACAGGAUCCUGGAACGGAGUCCCCGUAGCCUCCUCCGCAAACGGGUCGACCAUAGUAGUCCUAUGCUCGGGUGAAUGAGCUGGUGGUGGUGGCGAGGACGGCUCAAUAGUCCUCCUGGACCUUCCGCGGCCACCACCUCUCCCUGUACCCUUCCCCUUCUUCCCUACCCGACCAACACCUCUCCCAGUGGGCAAUGCCGCCGACGAACAAGAACCCACGGGUGGCGUCGACAGACAGUCUGACAAGGCUCUAUGGAGAGAUAGGGGUGGAAGGGAAGUACCACCCCUCGUGCGGGGCGCCUCGGAAGAACCUGUCGAGCGAUCUGGACCAGCGCCCACCAUCUUUCCACACCUGGUGACCUGCCAUGAUAAAGAUUAAAAGAAAUUAGUACAACAUAAAAAAAUUAAAAACUGACAUGAAUAAUAAUAUGUACAUGAAUAAUAAAGAUUAAAAUAUAUAUAAUUUAAGUUGUGAAUCUUACAAACUAAUAAUCAUCAUCUAUAAAUGCAUCAUCAUCACUAUCACGCAUGUCUUCAUGAAUGACGUGCUCGUCGGGUUCAACGGCGUGAAGUUGUGAAAGGACUUCCUUUAAUUGUUGAAGCAUUGACAGGUCAUCCGCAUCAGUAACCUCUACGAGUUCCAGGUCUUCUGGUUCCGGCUCAGGGCUGGAGUCGGAUUCAUUGUCGCUGUCUACUUCCAUGUUCUUGGGUGAAGCACAGCGGUUCUUGAAACAUUUCUUGGAAAGACGUGUUUCUUGGAAGAAUUCUCCAUCAUAUGUGUCUGGGUUAAUGUGAGGUUCAUAAUCCUGUUCAUUUGGGAGAGGUGGUCUGACAUGUGGCGGCACUUCAUAAACAACAUACCAACCUUCCAGAUUCUUAUCCGUUUGGCAUGCCCACGGUAGAUAGAAAACUUGGGUCGCAUGUUGAGCCGUAAUAUAGACAUCGGGAACAUCUAAAUGGGUGUUUGGAUUGAUUUCGACUAGUCAUAUAUGCUCAUGAGUCCUUCUAGUCUUUUUCGGCUGGAACCAAUAACAUUUGAAGACUACGACGUUCGGUGGGUUUUCACCAUAGAAUUGAAGUUCAUAAAUUGCUUCAACUCUUCCAUAAUACUCGAUAACACCUUCGCCGAUAGCAGAGACACCACAGUUUGUAGAUUUCCAGUCGGGCAUAGAUAGCUCUUUGCCAAAGGUACGAAAGAGAUACCCGUUGAUGUUGUAUUUCUCAAAUGAACGGACCUUAUAGUCAAAACCAUUAGCAACUUGUCUCAAUUCGGCGUCCAUAGACUCUGAAUUAGCCUACAAGUUUAAUACGAAACGGUUGUUGCAUUAGCCGCAAGUUAGACCAAGAAUGAAAUGGUCCAUUAUUGAUAAUUAUCGUUUGUUUGAACCAAGAGAUGAAACCGGGAUAGCCGCCUCCUGUCUUUGACAGAAGCUCAUACUCUUCGACGGAAUCAUUUUCGAUCACCGCUCCAUCCGAGAAUUUGGCGACGUAACGGUUGUUUGAAAUAUCCGGGAAUAAGAGCAGUUCAAAUGAAUUAGAAGUUACGGGAAAAUGUGCCGAGAACUCACUCGAUGUAUGGCCGCACUUCUGUUAGGUUGUUGAAGAUAUACAACAAAAUGUUCCGCCAUUCUUCGACAUCCAACGUUAUUGGUUUCGAAGCACCGGCUGGUGCGAGCUUCCCUUUGAAUAGGCUGAGGUUGGACCCACCUUUUUUAGGGUCUGCAUCAUUGUGCCGAGGCUUCGGAUUAUGCAAAUGAUGAUUUUUGGCUUCAUAGUGUGCUGUCAUAAAGUUUGCCACCUCCUCAGUAAUGAAUGCCUCAGCCAUCGAUGCUUCAAUUCUACGCUUAUUUUUACAUUUAGCUCGAAGGAUCUUCUGCAAAUUCUCAGUUGCAUAGCACCAACGAUCUUGCAUGGGCCCACCAAAUCUUGGCUCGGUCGGUAGAUGUAAAAUCAAAUGCUGCAUUGGAUUAAAGAAGCCAGGUGGAAAGAUCUUCUCUAACUUGCACAACAACUCCGGUGCAAACUCCUCCAUGUAUUCUACCACGCCAGGCUACAAUUCUUUCGCACAAAGAACACAUAAGAAAUAGCUCAGCUCCGCCAGUACUAGCCAUUCAUCCUCAGGAAUAAAGCCACGUAACAUCACCACCAUUACCCGCUCUAGCCAUAUGUGCCAAUCAUGACUCCUGAGACCAAAGAUUUUUAAUUUUUCAAGACUCGCUCCCCUCUUUAGAUUCGCUGCAUACCCAUCGGGGAACAUCAAGUGCAUUUUGACCCACAAGAUAAUUUCCCUCAUAGCUGGCCUUCCAAGAUUGAACCAGGCCUUUGGCUUCGACCACUCCUGCUUUCCUUUGGCUUCUCGCAUGUUUUGUAACGGUCUAUGACAUAGUGUCUCUUGAUCGACUCUAGCCUUAAUAUUAUCCUUUGUCUUCCCAUCUAUGUCAAACAAUGUACCAAAAAUAGCCUCUCUGAUAUUAUUUUCAGUGUGCAUCAUGUCGAUAUUGUGUGGAAGAAGGAGGUCUUUGAAGUAAGGCAGAUCCCAGAAGCAUGGCUUGUGAGUCCAGGCGUGUUUUGAAUUAUACCCCUUGAAAUACCCUGGACGCUCUGGAUCAGGCUCGAGGGCGUUUAACUGAUCCAGGAUUUGUUGGCCUGUGAACGCAGGUGGUGCCAAUUUUUUGACAACUUUACCUUUGGUAAACAACUUUACCUUUGGUAAAGUUCUUCUUGUCUUUUCUGAACUGAUGGUCAGGAUCCAGGAACUGUCUAUGCAAGUCAAAGCAAGAAUACUUCCGACCCUCCUGCAACCAAUGAAACUGAAGAGCUGCCUUGCAUUGGGGGCACGGGAACCUUCCAUGCACACACCAUCCAGAGAAUAGCGCAUACGCUGGCAAGUCAUGCAUAGAGUACAUGUACCACACAUGCAUUUUGAAGUUUUCUUUUCUAGCGGCAUCGUAUGUCUUGACCCCAUUAUCCCAAGCUUCUUCCAAUUCAUCCUUAAGCGGUUGCAGGUACACAUUCGUAUUCUUCCCCGGAUAAUUGAGCCCUGGAAUUAUCAACGUCAGAAAUAUGUUCUUUCUUUGCAUAAUCUGCCCGGGGGGGAUUGAGUAGAAUGAAAAAUACAGGCCAACAACUGUAUUGGGUUGUCGUCAUGCUGAAGGGAUUAAAACCAUCCGUGGCAGCGCAGACUCGAGGAUUCCUUGGAUCUGCCGCUUUAUCCUGAUGCAAUCCAUCGAAAUGUUUCCACGCUUCCCCAUCCGAUGUGUGUACCAUCAUCUUAUUCCCAUCCGCAUCUAGUUCGGUUCUUUUGCCCAAUUUGUGUCAUGUCAUCUGUCUGGCUGUCUCUUCGACCAUGAAAAUACGUUGAAGUCUUGGUACGANNNNNNNNNNNNNNNNNNNNNNNNNNNNNNNNNNNNNNNNNNNNNNNNNNNNNNNNNNNNNNNNNNNNNNNNNNNNNNNNNNNNNNNNNNNNNNNNNNNNCCAACUAUGAUAGAAACAAAUAAACUUAUAUGUGGAAUUCACUAUGAUAGAUUAUGGACAUUAUGCAUAAUAUGCAAACAAAAGAAAGCUUGUUAACUAGUAAAUCCAAACUAUAAACUAAGUCUUAUCGGAUUGACAAAAUUCGAUCCAAUGUGAAUUAUAAAUGAACACAAAUAAAUCAAUUCCUACUAAAUAUAAUAUUAAGUAUAAUCGGACUCUAGCUACAUUACUAAAUCAACACAAAAGAGUAGCAUGUCCUAUUCAACACUAAAACAUAUUGAACACUAAAAAAUUGUACACUAACAAAUUAAUUUCUACUAAAUAUAAUCGGAUACUACACUACUAAAACUAAUUCCACACAUACUACACUACUAAAUCAAAUGUACAAAUACACAAAAUCUACUACGCUACUUAAUCAGAUACACAAAUACAGAAAAUCCAUGUGAACGUGGGAGUAGUGACCCUAGGGGAGGGAUUAUCUUGGAUCAAAGAAAGCCUCAAAACUUACUUCGCCCAUUGGAAGAUCAAGACAUGGCUUGCGAAGCAUAUUUGGAUGACGGCAACACCAUGUUGAUCGACCGUGUACUCCAGAUCUAGCCCGAAGAACUUCUCAUGAUCCGGAGCGUGGUUAAACCAUCGUUCCUUCAACUGUUGAAGGAAAAAUGGCACCUCCGUGCUCAGGUUCGUGUACACGACACGGAGCUUCGUCGCGCCAUGCGCGACCACCUCACGAAAGAUAGUUGGCAUGGUGGAAGAAGAGAAGGGAAGAAGAGAGGAGAAGAACAGAGAGGGCGACGCGAGAGAGAAGAAGAACAGAGAGGGCGACGCGAGAGAGAAGAAGAACAGAGAAAUGGCGACUGUACGCUUCGGUUCGUGCUUUUCAUCGCCCGAAACGACGCGGGAUGCAAACCGUUUGGGCCUUUAGUCCCGGGUUGAGCCACCAACCGGGACUAANNNNNNNNNNNNNNNNNNNNNNNNNNNNNNNNNNNNNNNNNNNNNNNNNNNNNNNNNNNNNNNNNNNNNNNNNNNNNNNNNNNNNNNNNNNNNNNNNNNNGGGUCGGGCAAGGCUGCGGUGAGGGAGAGUGGAGAGAGUGUAGAGAGUGGGAGAGAGGAGGGCGCGGCGACCGUUAUCGUUAAUUAGGUGUCCAUCCACUUCGUCGUCUGCCGCAGACGGCAAAGGAAGAGAAGGCAGACGACAAAGGGGUGGGGUGGGCGCGGGUGGGGUGGGGCAAAGAGGUGGGUGAUGGCGUCAGCUUUGUCGUCUGUCUUCUCUUCCUUUGUCGUCUGUGGGCGGACGGCAAAGAGGUGGCUAAUGGAAAAUAGGUAUUUUGCCAUCAGCCACCUCUUUGCCAUCUGUUUUCCUGAAGCUGAUGGAAAAUAUGUUCUUUGCCGUGUGCUGGCUGAUGGCAAAGAUUUGGCAGACGACAAAUAAAGGAAUUCCAGUAGUGAGGGAGAUGGGGGUUUGUGGCUUCAAUUGAUUGAGGCCAAGUACCUUCGAGGCCGACCUCUCUUGGCAUGCUCUCUCGCGAAUAGUUCGCAGUUCUGGAAGUCUAUCCAGAACAUUAAGCACGAUAUUAGGUUGGGCUUGCGGAUCUCGGUGGGCGACGGGUCUGGGACCCAGUUUUGGUUAGAUCCCUGGUUGGAGGGAGAGCCUCUGCGAUUCCGUUUCCCGAGACUCUUUGCUAUUUGUGCCGACCUGCUGUCCUUGUUUCUGCAUCUGCUCUGGAAGACGGAUGGCAUGUUGCAUUCCGCCGUCCCCUUGGCCAAGCUGAGGUCCAGGACUGGGAAUUAUUAUUGGAAAUGACUCCCCUCCCGGCCUCAGCGGUUCGUGAUAGUGUCUCUUGGAGUCUUUCUCCCUCGGGAGAAUUCUCUGUUAGUUCGACCUACCUGCCGCUGUGCAGGAUGCCGGUCCUCCCGUGGCUAUCCCCACUCUGGAAGGCCCCGUUGCCCUUGAAGAUCAAGAUUUUUGUUUGGCAGCUUCUCCAAGACCGUUUACCUUCAGGGACUGAGGUGCUGAAACGCCAUGGUCCGGGUAACGACAUUUGUCCCCUGUGCCAUGUCCCAGAGACUGGCUCUCACAUUCUGUUCUCAUGCGUUGCGGCACAGGCACUAUGGUGCUUUGUACGCGAGGCUCUGGGGCCGGAGUGGGAGGCCUCUGACCUUGCAGAUUUUCUGCAGGUGCGGGCCACUCAGGUCGGCCAUAAACGCCGACUGUUUUGGAUGGUCUUCGCGGCUAUGAUGUGGACCCUCUGGACUACUCGCAAUAAGAUGGUGAUUGAGAAGGUGUUUCAGCGGCGUGCUUCUGACUCGUUCUUCAAAUUCCCUGCAUUCUUGCAGCUUUGGCAUCCGCUCGUUAGGACACGGGACCGGGACCGGCUUCAGCACUUCCUGGACGCGUUGAUGGCGGCCGCCCGACGGCUCUCCUCUCCCUUGCUUGCUGCCUAGCCUGUCCCCGUGAGGGCCUUUUUGUUUCUUCUCCUUUUCUAGGGCUGGACUGUGUUGUUGCCCCAGCGGACUAUCUUUUUAUUUCUUUGUUCGGACAUGUUGGCUGGAUUCUGGUUUGUGUGCUUUAUCUAUAAAGCGGGGCGAAAGCCUGUUUUGAGAUAAAUCUAGUUUUUGAUAUUCAUGCUUUAAAUUCGGCCAUGAAAUCUCCCAGAAUCAUUCUUUAAUUAGGAGUCAAUUAGCCACGUAUGCCCUAUUGAGAACGAUAUGCAGCUGCGUUCAAUCUGUCAUCAAAUUUAUAGUCCAUAAUCCCGCUUUAAGUAGGAGUAGUAAUGGCUCCCAAAUUCCUGCUUUAAAUUAGGCUAGAAAUCUCCCACAAUUCUUCUAUAAUUAUGAGUCAAUUAGCAGCAGCGGCACAUUCCCCCUCAUUUAUCAAAUUAUUAGCAAGUGCAGCCAUGGGCAUAAUUUUGAGAGUUAAUUUAUUCCCUUGUUAUCUCCGCAAUGCGUCGGACAAUCGUCUCAAACCAAACCCAUGAAACGCGGCUCGUCUUCGGCGUUUAUACAGGUGGUGCACUCACGCUUAUUUAUUCCCUUGUUAUCUUUUCAGUUCUUCUAUCCUUUUUUCCUCCUUCAACUGGAUUAACGUAUCCCAGUUUGUGUUUGGACUAACUGAACUGUGUCAAUGAACAUGUAUUUUUUAUAGACACGGUGCUUUCUAAAGCCGAUAAUAAUGCAUUCGUGCAACCCUUUCAUGAUGUGUCUAUUCUUCUUAUACUCAAGCCUUAAUAUGCACUAAAUUUGUCUUAAGAUGUUGCCAAACUAGUUUGCCUGCCUCAUGUGUUUACCCUCUACAUUCCCGAUUAUUCGGCUAGAAGAUAAAGGGAGCACCUCUGCGAUUGUUACGACUGAGUAAUCCACAUACGUACCUCACAUGAGUGAAGUCUAAAGCUAGGUUUCUUAAUGACAAAUUGGUCCCGCAAAGGGAAUGUGACAAUAAUUAGGUGGUUAUCACCAAGGGUUAAAAUUCACAAGCAUACACUCAAUCCGCACACAACGGAUGCUCACAAACCGUGAGAAAGGAACCUAUAAAGGAACUAUUUUCUUGGAAAUAUGUUUCUUAGUAAGUAAAAGUAAUAUAACAUAACUCCAUGAUAAUUAUCUAUCUAUUAGCACCAUAUGGCCUGGUUGCCUGGUUCUCCGAGCUGUUUACCUAUUUUACAGGUCACACAGUACGAAACACUUCCUGCUUUCUAUCAAGGGAGGCAAAAGCAGAUCGUCAGUUAAGAUAGUAUUAACACAUUAGAUGGAGAACAAAGUGAUAUAAAUACUUAGUUGCAUAAAAUCACGCAUCGGGUUGUUGAUCUAGGUUAUCUAUUAUUACACCCACGCGACAAUCUUGUUGUGACAAGCAUGCGGAGGGCAUCUAAUGCCCCAGAUGUAAUCCUUGCCAUAUUGGGAUCCUUUCCUUUUGUGGAACCAUAUUUUGAAUGUUAUGAAGUCAUCAUUUCAUGUGGAUCAUUUUAUGUCAUCAUCUUUGCAUCAUGGCAUCAUUUUUUUCUUCUUUUGCUUUGUUUCAUUCUUGUUGGUUUGCUAGCUUGCUUGUGGUGGUGUGUGAUGAUGUGGAGGUUACCAAACAAUGCUUACAAACACAUUGCUUUCAUUAUAUGUCAAAACCUUCUCCCCCUUGUUAUUUAUUUAACUUGUGUGUCAAACCUUCCUAGAACUUGUUUUAAAAAUGUUAAACAUUUAGUGUAUUAUCUUGUGAUUGAGGGGGUAUUGUCUUGGGGUUUUAAAACUCAAGUCAUGUGGGGUUUUUAUUUACAAAACAUCAUAUAAAAUCCCUGGUUUGGAUAUAAUUUAGUUGUCCUAAAAAUCAGUUUUGUAUUUUAUUUAAAUAGGGCAUAAUUCCCUCAUGUCCCCAGUGUUCUUAUUUUUAUUUUCAAAACCCUGUGUUGCUCUGGGUAUUUUGUUUUGCUGUGAGGUUUAUUUUAAAAGAAAACCCUUUUGUUUCUUCUUUCAAAGAGAUCCAGGUGGGCUGGCUCCCUCCUCUUACCUGGGUCUUGCCCUUUUUCUUCCUUUCCUUCGCGUAGCAGCCCGCUCGGCGUCCCUCUUCUUCCCCUGACGUCGUUGCUUUUCCCCUCCUUUCCGUCAGAGAGAGCGUCGUCGUGUGAGAGAGAGAGCUCCUGAUGUCGUGGCUUCACGGAUGUCGAGGCCAUUGCCCCAGCACCUAUUUAAUCCCUCGACGUGCGGGCCUCGUCCUAGGGUUCCUCUCCCUGCCGCCACCUCAUUCCCAUCUCUCUCCUUCUCCUCUGCAGGUAAGACUCCAGUGAGUUCAUAGAGAGCGCCGCUCGUCGCCGUCGUCCCUCCCCUCGUCAUCGGCGCGUCCCCGUGGAAUCCGAGCAUGCAGGGAGGAUGUCGGAUCCUCCUCGCUCCAUUCCCGGCACUGGGAAGGGGGAUCCCUCCCUCUGUCGGCCCCUCCUCGCCGUCGUCGUCUCGGGUGAAAGGAGCAGAGGGUCAGCGCCGCGUCGCCUCUUCUUCCUCUCCGUCGAGCCGCUCGCCCUCCUCUUCUUGUCAUAGGGUGAGCCUUCGACGUCUCCUCCCCCUCUCCCGUGUGUGUGUCCGCUCGUGGUGCCGGAGUUGCGCCGCCGUCGUUGUUCUGCGCGGUCGGUUACGCAGCCGCGUCGAGCCGCCGUCUUAGGGUCCCUCCACGUGGGUUAGCCACGUGAAUGGGUUCCCCAUUCCUCCCACGUCCCGCGCCGUAGCCGCCGUUCAGUUUAGAUCGCUGGAGCGUCGGCGGAGAACCUCCGUUGUUCCGGCCGUCGUGGGUGUGUGCAGUAGGAGCAGAGGGGGCUGCUCAAAAGAGCAUCUCCCCCUCUCUGUUAAGAUUCGAACGAGUAGCGUAGUGGCAACGGAGCUUGGGCAUGCGCAGCGCGUCGCGGGUUCGAUCCCCCGCAGGCCCCCUUUUUUCCUUUUCUAUAUUCGCUAGAAGCAGAGCAGUGCAGAGAAGUUAGCCUGCAUCCUUCCCCUUCUGUGUCGAGUGCCGAAGCAGUAGCAGGGUGGUGAGCGUGCAUGUGGUGGCAAUAGGAGGUUGUGGGUUCGAAACCCAGGGCCUCCCCAUUUUUUUUGUUUUUCCUUGUNNNNNNNNNNUCUAUUCUUGUAGUGUGUGUGUGUGAGCACAUGCAUGUGUGUGGGUUCGAAACCCAGGGCCUCCCCAUUUUUUUUGUUUUUCCUUGUAUUGUUUUCCUUUUUCUUUUCUUUUGCUGCAAGUAGUGUUGUUUAGUUUCUUUUAACAAAAACCAGGGGGGGUGCUUUAUUUCUUAUGAGGCCUAGAGGACAUGUGAGUGUAGGUGUGAGCACAUGAGUGCAUGUGUAUGUGUAUGAGAGUGUAUGUGUGUGGACAUGAGUGCAUGUGCAUGUGUAUGUGAGUGUGUGUGCAUGGGUGCAAAUGCACACGUGCAAGAGGGCCUAACCCUCAUGUUGCACCUAUUCUUGUAGUGUGUGUGUGAGCACAUGUAUGUGUGUGUGUGUGCUCAUGCAUGUGUGUGUGUGAGUAUGUGUGCAUAUGCACUUGUGCAUGAGGGCCUAACCCCUCAUGCUUGCCACUAUGGAGUGGUGUUGUUGUGUAUAGUGCUUGUGUGUGUGCAUGUGUAGGUGUAGAUGUGCAAAAUGUGCUAGUUUUACAUGUGAUGUUAUUCUUUUAUAGCUUAUUGGAAUCUAGGUGAUAUUUUUUCGAGCUAGCUUUGUGCCUUGAUGUUACAUGCAAGUACCCAUGUAUUACAUAUGAUUUUGGGGUAGAAUCAUCCCAGGAAUCCAUUGGUGCAAUCAGAUUUCACUUUAGAGCAACUUCAUAAAACUGUUAUUUUCUGUCAUGAUGCCAUGUUUAGUGCUUUGUAUUAGGUGGUGCCUUGACCCUUUGAGGAUGAAUCCUUGAUGUAGUGCUAGUGGGUGAACCCCUCUACAACAUGGAGUCUUUGUUUAGUUCUUAGGAAUUUUUAUGCACCUAUUGUGCCCUGUCAAAGUUGACACUUGGCUGAAACUGACAGAUUUGUGAAACCUUGUGAUUUUCACUAAGUCUGGGAAUCUGGUGUUAUUUUCUUCCCCUGUUGUCUUGAAUGAAUUAGCUCCUGUGUUGGGAAUCAGCACAUGCAACAAACUAAAGUUUGUGAGAUUUUAUGUUUGUUUAGCUCCCUGUUAAAUUUCAUGCUGAUAUACUUUCUGUAGAUAUCAUUUUGAAGGCUGCCAAAAUGCUUCAGAGCAUAAGCAACCGGUGAAAAUAUGUGAUUUUCACUAAGUCCCAGAAUCUGUGAUAUUUUGUCCAAGUUUGUGUCUAUAGAUCUGAUCAUGGGUGAUUCCUUUGUAUUAACUUCUUGUUCAGGGUUGUAGAGAUUUUGGAUGGCUUCUGCCUCAUAUCUUGUUUGGCUUUUUUAGAUGGCUUUAGCUACUUUAAAUAUUGUAGACAAACUGUUGUGAUGCUGUUGAAAACAAAUUGCAUGUUUUUGUUGAUUUGAAGCUUGUGUGGGCAUUAUUGUUGGUGUGGUGUGUUCCCAUGCACCACCCCACUUAUAUUUUGUUGUUGAUCAUGUGGCAACCUGGUUACAACAGGGGAGUGCCAUUGGAGUGUGUUUGUGGCUGAUUUGAACCGUAGGUCUCCAUAACUUGUUUCGUAGUUUCCGGUUGAUCCCUAACUCCGUUCUCUACGUUCUUUAUAUGUUUUUGCAUCGUUUUCUCGUGAUGCACAUGUUCAUGCCAUAUUCAUGCAUGUCAAGAUAACUUAAUAUGAGGUUCUGUCCAGUAUUCAAUUAACUCAACUAAUGCAUAUGAAAGUGACUAGAAUAGUGAUGCAUGCUUCCUUCUUCACACAUGCAUCAUAUUGCUUAUUGCAUCAUGUUGUGUUGGUGUUCAUUGACUGUUAUCUUAUCUUGGGUAGCAUCGGGAUCAGAUAGCGAGUACGUGGAUUCUAGAGAGUACGUGCAGGAAGAUCCAGAGCAGUUCCAAGCUGAAGACAUCACAGGCAAGAUGACGUGACCUUGAUACCGUAUCUAGCUUUGUUAUGCUUAGAAUCACGUUUCCUUCGUUACAUGCUCGCUGCCUACCACUUGAUAUAAUGCCACUUGUCUUUGCCAUGAACCCCAAACACCUCCCUCUCCUAGCUAAUGUUGUUUGGCUAAGUAGGCUUGCUAAACCUCUAAUGUGUAGCUUUGCUAGUUGCAGGUGCCAGUUGUCUCAUGUGAUAACAUGAGUAUAUUGAUAUCAUUGUGUUUAAACUGCUAUUUAAUUAAUGCACCUAUAUACUUGGUAAAUAACAGAAGGCCUAGCCUUUUGCCGGGUGAUUUGUUCCGUUGUUGCCGCCUUAGUUUCGGUUACCGGUGUUUGAUUCCAUAACUGAUUGCUUCUAACACGUUCGGGGUUGUUAUGGGGACCCUCUUGAUAAAUCAUGUAGUGUUAAGGCUUGUCCGGCAGGACCCAACAUUGGUUUUAAUCUGCUAAUCACCUAAUAACAAUUUGCAUAGGGAAUAGGUACCCCGAGGAUUUAAUCAACAACCCGGUCCAGUGCUCCUCAUGAGUGUUGGUCCAACCCAGAGCAACUUAUUACGCUCCCCGGGGCAACUCGGUGUUUUGGCGUGGUAACCAUCGCUCAUCCGUCGUGUCCUGAGACUGAGAUAUGCGGCUCUUAUCGGGGUGGUCGACACAACGGGAGGUCCUGCUAGAUUUGUCUUACCUUAGCGAUAUAUCUUGCGUAUAGGAAUCCCGGUGAAACUUUGGGUCUCCUUAAAGUUGAGGUUUUCCUCUAAGGAAUCCAACGAGAUCACGAGAUUCGUGAUAGAGGAUUACUUUGCGGCCCGUGGGAGUUUGUAAUGGAGUAGUUGGAGCACCCAUGCAGGGUAUAAAUCUUUCACAAAGCCGUGCCCGCGGUUAUGUGGCAAGUGUGGAUAUUUGUUAACAUCCGGUUCUAGACAACUUGAAGUAACUCUAAUAAAACUGCCGACUGUGUGCGUAACCGUGGCUGUCUUCUUCGGAGAUCGUUCUCCGAUCGAGAACACGGUGGGGUUAUGUUUGACGUGGGUAGGUGUUCAGGAUCACUUAGUGAUCAAUCUAGUCUUCGAUCGCUCGCGUAGUCCACCAUAUAAUUACUCUGAUCAUCGUAAGUUAGCCACCAUAUAUGCUUAGGUUGCUGCAAACCCAUACACUAAACCUUCCUCACCUAAUAACUUGACUAGAUUCAGUACCAAGGUCAUUAGAUUGAUGAAUCCCCGUGGCUCAUAGAUUACUACAAACCCCAACAGGUACAGGUACGCCCGACGCAGGAGAUCCUGAUGACAACCAAUUGAAGUGGGAGUUCGAUGAGGACUCUGGCCGUCUGUAUGUGAACUAUCCGGAAGAUUGAGGUCGUGGUCGUGAUCGUGGGCUAGCAUACAGGAUGUGUUAGAUCAUCUGUUUUCUGUUUAAGUCCGUAGCUGGACCUGCUGCUACUCUGAAUAAUGUGUGUGUGUAAGCUAUAUGAUAUAUUCUUAACAAAUGGCAAGUGUAUGUCCUACUUGUUAAUCUUUAAUUAUGUAUUGUGAUGAUUAUCCCGUUUGCGAAACGCAUAGAUGCGCCCCUUUCCCCUUUUGAGGCCUCGUCCCCAAAUAAGGAAAGGGUCGCAUCUUAGUCGUUACAGGGCAUUACUUGGUCAUAAACUAGGUGAAGAGGCACCUCCUAACCAUCAGGCCCCUUCGGCCCUACUCGUGCCAGUUCUUCAGGAUUAAGCUUCGUAAACCUUGUCUUCACCAUUGCCCAUGCCUCUCGAGCACCUUCCUGGCAGGCCGAUGUUUUCCAAAAUUCAAAUCGGCGCCGAGCUCCUUUAAAGCACUCAACCAGUUCUGGCAUCCUUUCUGGAGGCUUCUUGAUCGGCCAUAACGCCUUCAGCAUGCUCUUCAUCGCUUUUCGCCCGCGCUCAUAAGCUAUGGACAAUUCCUUUAGAAAGUCACCACUAAACGAACUGGCUUCUUCCUCAUGACGCCCAGUCACGAGUGCUAUACCAAGGAAAUGGAAUUUUUGUUAAUAUCAUAUGUUAUAUUUGUAUAUUUACAAAGUUCGCUAUAUUACUUACCAAACAUUCCAUCCUUUAAUCUCUUGUUUUCUUCGGUGACUUGUGCCAGCCGAGUCUUUAGAGUCACAAAUUGGCUUAUCUGUUCUUGUUUUUCCGUCUUAAGCAUUUUAUUUUCAUCAACACUUCGGAAUAACGACUUGUAGGUGGCCUGAUUUUGAGAUUCGGCGUAUCUUUGUGAUUCUCUCGCCGCUUCUAGAUUUUUUUAGUUAACCUAUAGAUUCGGCUACUGCAAAAUAUACUUUCAUUUAAGGACAAUAGGACAACCAUCCAUGUGAGUUCAAAAUAAAAAACUCUCACCAUGUGCUUGUCUCGUGUAAUUCCUCACUUGCUCUAGUUCGGCUUUAACAACCUCGAGUUAUGUUCGGUAUGUCCCAAUCUCUUGGGAUAACUCCUUAUUCUUGUCCCUCGCAGCCUAAAGAGCACGUUGAGAGUUGUGUUUAGACCCUCAGAUCGUCCAUUCUGCCCAAUCAAAGAUCGGGGGCUAGUGGCUUGGGAUUUGUACACAACGGCAGAAUUUUAAACGCAUACCUUAAGGCUUGUUGACAUAUGGUUGUCUACUCCUUCAAGUCCUGAUUAGGCGGCUCUGAGGUGCGGGUCUACCAAACUCAAGCCGUUAAACUCGUGUUCGGAAAAUUCAGGAUGACGCAAGGAUUCUUUCCGACGGCGAUGGUUAAUUACGCUCUCCAUUUUGGAGUUGGUAACCAAAACCUCAUCAUGGUCCCCAGUGGACUGACCUGCAAGAGGGACCUCCGCGUUGUCCACUGUUGUUGAUGGGGGUGGAUGUGUUCGAUCCUACAAAAUAUGGCGACAGAUGUGAAUAUUUGUCGUUUAUUGGAAAAGCAAUGCUCGUAUUAAAAUUGUUACCUCUUGGCGAGGGGAGCAGCUGGAAUAGUCCUGGUAGAUGCUUCACGUUUAGAGGACCGUCCAUUGUUCGGCACGGGUUCGACAUACCCUACAAUAAUAGGUGCCCGACACAUGGAACGAUGACCCGUUGUAACAUGAGGGGAUGUUGUGGCACACGGAUGACCUUUUCGAGAAGGAGCUUUCUUCUUUUCCUUGAUCAACGGAGGAGGUAUCUUGGGAUAAUCGGCUACGAGGGUGGUCUCAGUGUCGUUAAUGCUCAUCUGAAAGAAGAACCCAUUUUCAAAGAUAAUCGACGCAUCCGGAUCAUCAUGGAAACCGGGGUUGUCGUCCUUGACAUAGUUCUCUGGCAGAGGAGGGAGUUGAUUUUCUCUACCACGCGCCUCCAUUCCUAUUUGAAUCUUUUUCCAAGGAUUUAGUCACACAAGGGACACUAUAAAAAUCUGAAUUAGGGAAGUUAAGCUAUACUGACCCAUUCGAUGGGGUUAUGAUUAGAAUAGUCGUCCUUGGUGUUCUAACUGAUAAAGUCUUCCUUUUCUCCUUUAUAGGGGUCCACCAAUACGACACCCAAUGCCGCUGGGCUACCCGGACCAUCCCGCUUGUAUCGAGUGGCAUCGCUUGAACCAUUGAAUUGCCACAGUAGAUGGGACCUUUGUUGGAUAGGUCAAACACACCAUCUUAUGGCCUCGUCCAUUACAUCAAUCAUAGUAAGUCGGAAAUGUGUCAACAGUUUUUUCCUUGGCAACCAACUGUCUCACCUCUGCGCCAUCUUCUUUAUAAGGGCUUCUUGGACGCUAGUUGAACCACUUAUUAAGAUGAGCGGUUGAGAAUUCGAGCAGACCCCUUCAGACAGGGUCAAAUAAAGGCACGUCUUUGAUAUAUAACCACUAUGACGUCCACUCUUCAGAAGCUGCCCUCGGGGUCCCUACCGGAUACCCAGUCCCAGCUAUGCGCCAUACUUCGGCUCCUCCAACUUCACAAAUAGUCCCACCCUUAGUUCGGGGGACGCGACAUGAAAAUUUCUUCCACAAUUCAAAGUGGGUUUCUCAACCCAGGAACAUCUCAUAGAGAGCGAUGAACCCCGCGAUGUGGAGGAUGGAUCCGGGGGUAAGCUGAUGAAGUUCGAUACCGUAAUACUCCAAGAGGUCGCGUAGAAAGGGGUGGAUACGGAAGCCCAUGCCUCGUAAGAGGAACAAAACGAAGUAUACCCUCUUCAUCGUGUUGGACAUGGGGAAUCUCUCUGCAAAGGCCUCGCCAUUGGCGGAGGUUAGCACGGGGCGAGAGGGUGCUAGAUUUGAGUCAGGCAAAUACCCUUGCACCUCAAGCUCGCUUAGACGGAGGCGUGAGACUGAGCAACUAGCCCAAUCUCCUGGGAGAGAGCCAUGAGGGCGCGAGGAUGAGCCUGGAGAAGACACCAUGUCUUUGUUUCUUUGGUGUUCUUCUCCACGUGUUGGAGGGGAUGGGGAGCGUUGCUGGGGGCAUGCGUGGGUUGUAUGAUAAGUAACUUGCCUUUUUUUCUUUGGGAAGGAACCACUUAUUUUCAUUGGCACACAUGAAUCGAGCAGUUGGUUAACCCCGCGGUAAGAAAAUAUUCAUUUUUGUGGGCUCGAUGAUUUUUCAUGAGUCGCAGAUGAAGGACAAUGCGGAAUGGGAUCAACCAAGUAUAAGGUGGAACUCGCCUCACAAGUCAAAGAUCGCAGAAACAUGAAGAUGGCGAUCCUAGACAACUGCAAUAGAGGUUAGUUCGGGGGCUACUAAGGUAGUCUGGGACUAAGGGGUCCUCGGGUCGUGUGUCUAUUCUCAUGAGCCGGACUCCCGGGCUUGUUCGGUCAUCAUUGGAAGUAUCGAAAUCAAGAUGGACUCUUCCGAUGACUUGACAUACGAUCCAAGGCAACAUAGUAAUCGACAUGUUCAUUCUCUAUUGUAGCCGACUUUGUGUAACUCUGGCACCCCUGGUAUCUAUAUAAAUGAGGGGCUCAUAGUUCAUGGGAUACAUUAAGGUCAUUACAAUUAGGGUUCAGACCACUACAUCUGGUCUGGAAGUAGAUCAACUUUGUACUCUGUACUACUCCAUCAUCUCCUCGAGCCCCUCGCAUUGGCGCUUGUCGUGGGUGUGGAGGGAGUCCUCCAUCACGUGCCGCAUAUGCUCCCCCUCAUCAUCAGUUAUAGGGACUGGUUGGGGUGGCGACGACAGUGAUGGGAUCAACGUGAACCUGGACGACCGACAAAGUAUGACUGCCGCCGCACGUCGUGUUUAUCGCGGAACCAAGUAUCCCAUCGAGUUGAGUCUAUGGCAUACCGGUGGUCGUUGACGAGGUCGAGCGGUAGGUGGGUGCGACGGCGGCGGAUCUCCUUGCGGAGGGCUCGGUCGCUCAUCGGGACCGGUGGGAUCGACACCCGAUAUGCGAAGAGGUCUGAGUUAUUGAGGAGGUGCACGUUACUCCUCGAGAACAGUGAGCCCGUCUCCUAAUACCUCUCGUAGAUCUCAGCCUUCACGUACGAUCGCAUGCGAGUAGCGGCCGCCGCCGACGAGAUGUGAAAUGAUGGGGGUGGAGGAGGUGGGGAUGGAGGAGGAGCGGCGGCCGAAGGAAGACCCGACCGCGUGGUCGUGCUUCCUCUUGCGGCCGAGGAUCCGGUGCCAACCCAUUUCGCUGGCGGUGAGGUGGAGAAGAGUAGGCGUCGGAGCUAGGGUUUGGCACGAACGUGUCGGCUUGAAAGAGGUCCAGAGUUUCCACAUUAAGAAAGACAGCGACUCGAGGCGUCAAAAAUACGAAUGCUCAUGCGAGUUGGGUCUUCUUGUCACAUCCGGACGAUUUGGGGGUGUACGUUAGAGUAACCCUUAGCCGAUCCAAAGAAAAGAAAAAAAAAUCGACGUCCGUGUUAACCUGAGAAAAUGCACCGUCAAGGCACAGCAAGACACGUGCACUCCACUGCAUGCCUGCCCUCCCCUCCCCUCAAGGUGCCUUUAUCCUUCUUCCCCUUCCCCUUCCCCUUCCCCCUCCCCAUUAUUUUCGCUAAAUGGCCCCUUCACAUUAUCCUGAACUGAGUAUGUAGAUACGCGCAGACAUGGAUCUGGAACCGGAGCGGAUACCCAUCCGGGUCCAGAUCUGGACCGACCCCUUCUCCCGCUGGCGACGAGCCCCUAGCUAGCUAUCUCGGACCAGUCCGGCUGCGAGAGGCCACCGGCGGCAUGGCUGCGUGCGGCGGCAAGGCCGAGUGCAAUGCGAGCGCUCUACUCGUAUCUGUCCGAAUCCUGUCGCCACGCCCGUCCCGCUCGCCGUGGCCGCUGAUCGCGCGCGUUUGCUGGGGCCGCGUCCCUCCCCGGACGGCGGCGAUGAUGGAGGGAGCCGCCGGCGCCGGCCAAACCCCCGAACGGCGGCCGCUCCUCGGGGCCAACUCUCGCCGCGCCGGACCGCGCAUCGGCUUGGAGGCCCCUCGGGGCUGCN
rnacentral:lncRNA from 1 species